rnacentral:lncRNA from 1 species
GUGGUUUCUCUCCCUUGGGAGGUUUACCAAUUGGGGUUGGUGGCUUGUGUUCUGGGAGUGGUUUCUCUCCCUUGGGAGGUUUAGUGGGUGACUUGUGUUCUGGAGGUGGCUUCUCCACCGAAGGCUUGUGCUCCGGUGGUGGCUUUUUGGUUGGAGGGGGCUUGGGGUAAUCAGCAAGAGAUGGGGUGGUGAGAACCACCAGUCCAAGGAACAACACUAGCAAGUAUGUGGGAGACAUUUUUGAGUUUGGGCUGAUCAGAUGAUGCAAAACUAAAGCAUUACGUGACCUUUUAUAGCAAGUAGCUCCCAAUACCUACUUGACACGUGUUACUGUGACCCAUAAAUAUUAUGGGGUCUAUUUGUGCCCUACCGGGUUGAAAACUUGGACAAUUGGGCAAGGACCCGCCUGACUAUGGAGGACUACUGAGGUGUGAUCACAGCUUUAGGAUUUUUCUUCCUCUGCAGCCGUCUUGCCGUUGGCAUGAUUUUCUUAAUCUCAAAUAAAGGCAUAGUUAUAGAGUUGUUUAAUCUCUAAAUGGGAUUUUAUAUAUCUUCAGAUAGCCAUUAAUACAUUUGAUGAAGAAAGAAAGACAAGUGCAUACAACAUGUAUACGACUAGCUUUCAUGGAGUUCAUUUAUGAUCAGUUUUCCUGUACAUGUAAACCAAGAUCAUAUAUGUUUUUGUUCCACAACAAUUUUGGAAUCUUGUUUAUCCGUUUUUAUCAUUAUAAUGUCACAUAGGCUGCCAACUUGGGCGCUAAAUUAAAGAUCCAGUUGGGCAAGUUCGUUUCAGAAUUUCAAUGGUGGAUUCAGGAAUUGUUUUAUAAGAUAUGCAAAAUAGUAGAGGGAUGAAUAGUGUUUCAUUAAGAAAAGAGCCCUGUAAAAAUAUUGUUUAAAGGUGCCAUAGAAACUAUAAUCAAUAAAUAACUUUUUUUCCCCAUGGGUGGUGUUUCUUGUGGGGAUCAGUGACUGGUUUGAGUCAACGCCGUGUCUCUUUAGUCCAGAAAUCAACUAUUUUAUGCAUUGAAUACAUCAACAAAGAAAAUAUGAAAGCCAAAUGACACCUCCCCCGCAAAAACUAAACCCUGGUUGCUAACUUUCUAUGUUUCAGUUCCAUUCACACAAGAAUAUUAGUUCAAGUUUGAGAAAAAUGGCGACUUACCUAGUGAUAACUCGGUCUUGGUUUGCGAUUUGACUUUAACGUCAUGGGUUGAAGCCUCCUACAAUCAUCGUGUAUGCUAGUUCAAAGCUCGUGGAAGAAGUUAUACAGGGAGGGAGAAACCUCCACAGCAAGCUCCAAAAGAGAAUUAUCACAUUGAAAGCUCCAGUUGAACACUGGGUGAAAGCCAUAACAAGAUUGGUUUUCUAUCGCUCUUUUAAGUAAUGGAAGAUUAUUAUCUCUGCUUGUCACUACAACCGUGCAUGCUGCUAGAUCUUUCUAGACACUUCAAACAGUGAAACCAAGUAUGAUUCUUUUUCUCUUGAGUGGGUCCACUUGCAUGCCAAUGAACGAGUUGAAAAGUUGGACAAUUGGCCACAGCGCGCACUUACCUUCUGGAACCGAAGGUCAGUGAAGUGGGGUUCCUUUUGGCCCCUUGUGUUUCUGUUCCAACCUACUCCAGGAACCGAAGUUCAGUGAAGUGGGGCUACUUUUGGCCUCUUGUGUUUCUGUUCCAACCAAACAAAAAUGGGAGGGAAAAAUAGCAUUAUGCUUGUGCUAAAGAUCAACGCAUGAUAGCUGAAUAAGGGAGAAAAAGGCAUUGCUAUCUCAAUUUCAUAAACUUGAUAAGUAGUGACAUUAAUAGUCUUCCUCAUAGAUGGAUACAUGGUUUUAUUUUAUUUAUUUAUUUUUAUUUUUUUGUUUUAUGUCAAUGCUAAUGAAUGAAGUGCAUUAGCUUGUUUUGUGACUAGAACUACAAAUGUCCAAAUUGGAGCUUCUCCAAUAUAUUUCUCAGUGAGUUAUUGAUUAGAACUCUUGGAUUGAGUUCCAAGAUUUGAAUCAGACCCCUCUAGCAGCUUCAGGGGUACGUAGCAACCUAUAGCAUAUUAAUGAAGACUUAGGAUUUAGACUUAGGAAUACAAAUUAAUAUGUACCUCAUGCUCUGACUAGCUUCCCUGCGUAUGCACAAAAUGGAGAUGACUCCCAAAAAAAUAGCAGAAUCGCCUUAGUAUGUUUUUGUGGUUAAGAUGAUUCUCCACUUUAUAUAUCCACAUUGGUUCAUUAUGCAAAUUAAUCAACUAAGCUAUUUUUAUUUUUUCUUAAAUGUGAAAUAGGAGCUCCAAAUUAACCUAACCAUUGGCCUGAUUGAAUUGAUUUCACUUGCAUAAUGUUAUAGUAGAAGUCCGUAAUUUGAAUUUUAUUUUUGCAAAAGGUAACGUAAAUGAAGCAUUGUAAUUAAAUUUAUUUGUAAUUACAAACUAAUUUUAUUUUAUUAAGAAUUAAUUUAAUUACUCAUUUAAAAUAAAAAUCAGUUAUACUUUUACCAAGAUGAUAAUAUUCAUAUUUUUCUAGUUAACAUAUAUAAAAUAGUACACUUUUUCAUAUAAAAAAAUAAUUUAUGAUUUAUUAUAAUGUUACUAUUCACAUUUUACUAAAUUGAUGGUACAUGAUAGUGAGAGAAGGGGGUGUCACACUCAGCUAAAGUUCUUUUCAAAAUAUUGCAUGGUGUUUAAUUUUAUGUGUCGGCGCGCGUGUGAAUGGAACCUGCAAAAGUCCAAAUUGGCGUUUCUCCAUUUUCCACAUAGGAUGGUGACGUUAAUAGACAAAGAUACAAUAUCUGUAGACAUUGCUUAAAAAUCGAUGUGAAGUAUUAGAAAUUACAGGGCACUGUACUGGGGGAGCGGCUGCCCCGCCAAAGGAGGAAGAAUGUAGCAAUUUCUUCUGUUAGCCAGGCCUUAGGAUUUAUGCAUGGGAUGCCUAAUAACAAACAGAGAAAAUAUACUUUUGGGGAAGGUAUCCAACAACAGACACCAUCAUUCAGAUGGUGGGAAGGUAUCCAACAGAUGCCAUCAUUCAGAUGGUAACAUAUAUAUACAUUUAUUAGUGAGUUUUUUUAAUACCUAUAAAAAAAAAUAUACACUUUGAUAUUGUGGCUGAAUCCAUUACAUACUCAACUAACCUUGCUCAUUAGGGAUUUGACUUAACAAGGGCAACGUUGCAGUACAAGCUCAAAACUUUAUGCAGGUGACAUUACAUUUGGUAAAGAAGAGGAAAAUAACGAAAGCCAUCCAUAAAAGCAAAAUUCCACAUGGGAUGAAAUUCACAAGCUUCAUUUACGAUAGAGUCGCAUCCAGGCAAUUAAUUCCACAUUAGACCGCCUGUUGACAUGUGUACCAAUCUUUUUUCAAAAAAUAUUUAUAAAUAAUUGAUACUCACAAAAAUAAUUUAAUAUUUAUAAAGGAUAAAAAAAUAUUUUCAAAUCUAUAACAAUUUAUAAAAUAUUAAUAAAAAAUUAUCUCUUAAACUUAGUAUAGUUUUAUCAGAUUAAACUUUUAUUUUGAACAAAUAAUUUUAAUCUAAGUUUUAAAUUCUAAAAUUAUUUCCUUAAAAUAAAAUUUUAAAAUUCAACACUUCAAUUGAAAUUGUCUUUUUAAAAAAUAUCUUCUUAUUUUAAUCCUUAUAAACUAUAGUUGAUUGAAAAUACUAUUGAAGUUCUCUCUUAAAAAAAAGUCUUAUUUUAAUCUUCAUAAAUUGCCCUUGAUUUGAAAAUAAAUUUUCAGUUAUCAUAUUUUAAAUAAUAUCUAUAUUUAAAAUACUCUAUUUAAAAAAAAAUGAACUAAUUUUAAUUAUAUUAUAUUUUAUUUUUUUAUAUAUUUUUAAUGAUAAACCAAACAUAGAAAAUCAUUUUUCUAAAUAUUUUAAAAUUUCUAAGCAACCAAACAUAAUCUUCAAAAUAAAAGGAAAAUAAGGAGGGACAUUUGAGAAAUGGCGAUUAAAAAAAAGUGUACAAAAGCUCAAUUAAUUUUCUUCUAGUCUUUUAUAUAAAAAAGUAAAGGAAUUGAAAAGUAUUGAUAUGUAAAUUAAUAUUUGGAUUUUAAUAGUAUUUUAUUUGUCUUUCUCUAUCUCAUGUAAAAGAGAAUUUAAGAUAUUUCCUAAAGCAAAGCAUUAGUUAUCUGCAAUCAGUGGUGAUCAUGCCCCAUGUCAAUUUCGGACCCAUAUCUUAAAACUGUAUAAUUUGCAUUCAAACAUUACUGAUUUCUCAGAUGUUUCAUACUCCACAGAAGAGCAUUGUUUGUGAAAGCAUGCAUUUAUGUUGGAUUUUGGAUGAUGUGGGAACUGGGGCAAGGAUCAUAUGGAAGAGUGGUCGAUUUUGUUCUGUACUUUAACAUUUGAAAUAGGAGAAGCUCGGGCAUUUGUGGGGCUUAAUUGAUUUUGAAGCCUGAAAUUGCGUUUCUGUCAUUUUGUAAAAAAUAUGGCAGAUUCCAUGCUCUCAUAUGUUUGGUCUGUGGCCAUGUAUAGAUGCCCCUUAGUGACCAGUUUGUAACUGUCAAUCAUAGUGUUUUGACUCUGGCUCAACAACAUCAGCCAUUGACGGAUUUUCAUACUUGCAAAUCAAAUAGUCUUCUUCCUCCCUUAGGAAUUUCGGUUUAAAUGUUAUUAAGCAUACAUUUGGCUGACAAUUAUUAACCACUUCAUGAUAUGGUUUCUUACCCUUAAUCAAUGGUUUCUAAGUGAAUAUAUGCAGAAGGAAAUCUGAACUGUAGACAGCAGUAUUGAUAACUCUCAAUAUUCUUUAUAUAAGAGAAUAAACAACGUCAUAGUGAUCGUCGCCUACAAGAAAGGUACAUUUCCCAACAAGAUGUAGUUGUGACUGGUACAUGGACGCAAUUAACUCGUACAAAAGAAUAAGACCAGUGCACGGCAGCUCUUAUUUUACAUGCUAAUUAUGCUAACCAAAGUCACUCAGUUGGGAUGGGAGGGAGAUGGAGGUUUGUGCGGUGGCUUGUGGGGCGGAGUUGGUGGCUUCUUUUCAGGAGCUUGUGGCUUUUUCGGAGCUGAAGGAGGCUCAAUCUUAUGAGGCGGCUUGUACGAGUCUUCUUUACUCUCGACAGGAGGGUGGCCAGGGUUGUGACCAUAAUGUGGUGGCUUCUCUCCCUUAGGUGGCUUGCCAACUGGGGUUGGUGGCUUGUGUUCAGGAAGUGGUUUCUCUCCCUUGGGAGGUUUACCAAUUGGGGUUGGUGGCUUGUGUUCUGGGAGUGGUUUCUCUCCCUUGGGAGGUUUAGUGGGUGACUUGUGUUCUGGAGGUGGCUUCUCCACCGGAGGCUUGUGCUCCGGUGGUGGCUUCUCCACCGGAGGCUUGUGCUCCGGUGGUGGCUUCUUGAUUGGAGGGGGCUUGGGGUAAUCAGCAAGAGAUGGGAUGGUGAGAACCACCACUCCAAGGAACAACACUAGCAAGUAUGUGGGAGACAUUUCUGAGUUUGAGCUGAUCAGAUGAUGCAAAACUAGAAGAAUUACGGGACCUUUUAUAGCAAGUAUCUCCCAAUACCCACAUGACACGUGUUACUAUGACCAUAAAUAUUAUAGGGUCCAUUUGUGCCCUACCGGGUUGAAAACUUGGACGCUUGGCCGAGGACACACCUGACUAUGGAGGACUAUUGACGUGUGAUCACAGCUUUUGGAUUUUUCUUCCUGUGCAGCUGUCUAGCGGUUGGCAUUAUUUUCUUAAUCUUAAAUAAAGGCAUAGUUAUAGAGUUGUUUAAUCUCUAAAUGGGAUUUUAUAUAUCUUCAGAUAGCCAUUAAUAUAUUUGAUGAAGAAAGACAAGUGCAUACAACAUGUAUACGGCUUGCUUCAAUCGAGUACAUUUAUGAUCAGUUUUCCUGUGCAAGUAAACCAGUUUUUUGUUCCACAACUAUUUUGGAAUCUUGUUUAUCAGUUUCUAUCAUUAUAAUGUCACAUAGGCUGCAAACUUGGGCACCCAAAGAUCUAGGUGGGCAAAUUUGUUUCAGACUUUCAAUGGUGGAUUCAGUAAUUGUUAAAAGGUGUUUCUUCAUUAAGGAAAGAGUCCGGUAAAAAUAUUGUUAAAAGGUGUCAUAGAAACUAUAAUAAAUAAAUAACUUCUUUUCCCCAUGGGUGGUGUUUCUUCUGGGGAUCAGUGACUGGUUAGGGUCACCCAAAAUGAGUCCAGAUUAAAAUUGGUUCGAGUCAAAGCAGUCUCUUUUGUCCAGAAAUCAACUAUUUUGCGCAUUGAAUGAAUCGAUAAAGAAAAAAUGAAAGCCAAAUCACACCUCCCCUGCAAAACCUAAACCCCGGUUGCUAACUUUCUAUGUUUCAGUCCUAUUCAUAUAGGAAUAUUGGUUCAAGUUUGAGAAAAAUGGCAACUUACCUAGGGUUUACUUGGUUUUGGUUUGCGACUAUUUACGCAACCAACCAUGAGUUUGACUUUAACGUCAUGGGUUGAAGCCUCCUACAAUCAUGUAUGAUAGUUCAAAGCUCGUGGAAGAAAUUAUACAGGAAGGAAGAAACCUCCAAAGCUAGCUCCAAAAGAGAAUUAUCACAUCGAUAGCUCCAGAGAUUCCCAAGGGAACUGAAUCAAAGACAAGUUCCUCACUUUUUCUUCUUUUGAGGCCAAAUAUGAACCAAGGAUCACACGACCUCAUUCAACUUCAUAAGUUUGAUUUCAUGCAGUUGAACACUGGGUGAAGGCCAUGACAAGAAUUGAUUAAAAAAUUCUACCACUCUUUUAAGUAAUGGAAGAUUAUUAUCUCUGAUUGGCACCACAACAGCACAUGCUGCUAGAUCUUUCUAGACACUCCAUGCAAUGAAAGCACAAUGGAUCUUGUAAUGAUAGAAACUAAGCCAUGCUACAGUACUAGAUGAGGGGGUAAAACUAGUAGACAUCUUUCUAGACACUCCAUGCAAUGAAAGCACAAUGGAUCUUGUAAUGAUAGAAACUAAGCCAUGCUACAGUACUAGAUGAGGUGGUAAAACUAGUAGACAUGGCUGGCAGUUGAUUACUACUCAAAAAGUACUCUUUUAUAGCUUGAAACUAACUGUUUUAAACACUUUUGAGUAGUAGUUAAUACCUUUUAACUUAAUUGGCACAUUAAGGAACCUAGCAAGGGUUACUAAUCAACAUUUGGCAAGUUUUGAUGUUUUUGGUAGCUAUUUGAUCAUUGAAACAAGCCAAGAAUGAGGGGGAAUUUUGUGAAGUCCAUGGCAAUGCAAGUUAAAGCUCAAAUACAUGAAGAAUCCAAGCUUUGGAGCACUUCAUAGCCCUUUGCCAAGCCAAUCAAAGAUGCAAGGAAGAAAACCAAAGGAAGAAAUCCAACAAUCAGCAUUUUGGCAUGGCUAUGUGAAAUUUCGCACACCAUGCGAAACCACAAGAGGCAGCCAAAGAAUUUCGCAUGGUAUGCGAAAUCUUCUUGUGCACUGACUCUGUUAGAUUUUUAUCUUCAGAUAUUUUGUGUAAUUUCCUAGUUUCUCCUUGUAACCAACUUAGAUAUUUUCUUUUAUAUCUUUUUUUAUAUUUUUUAGGUAACAUCAUAUAUAAGAGGAGAGACAUAAGGAGGAUAUGGAUGUUUUUCAUAGAACACUUGUAAAUUUUUGGUAGUAAGAAAUAUACAAAGCUUUUUGCUCUGCCUUACCUUCUCAAGGGAUGAGUGGCUAGGUUUUCUUGGAGUGAGGGAAGCUAGGUGAAGGACCUGAAUGCAAAGGUGGGAGUUUUCCUUACUUUAAAUGAAAGUAGUUGUUAAACAUUAAUGGUUUUUAUUUUAAGGUUUAGCUUUAAAUCCCUGAAAAACACCUUGAAUGGCCAAUACUUGGUAAGCUUUUUAGAUUCUAUGGAUGCUUAUUGCUAGAUCCAUGGAUGUCUAUUAGUUAUCAUUUACGAGCCAUUGGAAGGUGAUUCAAGGUGAGGGUCUUUAGUGUUUGAAGCCAUUAAUGGGAAGCAAUUACCAUUUUUUCAUGAAUCCUUUGGAUCAAAUCUUAAUUGCUAAAUAUAAAACCGGUUUCGAGAGAUAACCACCAUCCUUUAUGUUAUUAUCCCCAACGCGAGGAGAAGAUCCGAAAUCUUCCUUUUUAUCUAAGGAACCCGAUCCUAGUGACCUAAAGCUCCAAGAUACCUUUUCUUUGUAGUUAACUUCAUUUAUUGUUUUUGCUUAACUUAAAAUCAAUCUUUGCAACCACAAUUCCAUUUUCUUUAAAAGCUAAUUUUUAUAAGGAAAAACACCAUUUUAUUUCCUUCACUAAGUCAACUGUACGAUGAAAACCCAUCCCUGUGGACGAUCCUAGAGCCACUAUACUAUGUUAGCUAUGCUACCCUAGUGUGAGGUGAUUUAGGUUUUAUAAAUUUUUUUGAUAACACCCAUCUGAGCCAGAAUCAAAUGGCACGACUGAACCAGGGACGAAUCAAAUGACGCCGCUACCAAGGAUGGUGCCAAAGUACAUUGACAUGACUUUUGGUGAACACUUGUGAUCUUCACCACAAGUUUGGUGAUUUUUCUUUUACUAAUUUUUUUUAUUUUAGCUUAUCUUUUAUUUAGUUUUUAGUUAACCUUAAAUUUUUCCUAGAAUUGUAUUUCUUUUGUUUUCUUUGUUUUUGUUUCAGUGAUCUUUAGUUGUGCAUGCCCUAUUGGAUAAGAGAUAUUGAGGGAAUACUUGUGAAGAUUGAAACUCCUCGAGAAACUGAGUUAGAAGUGUGCUUGAACAUCAUGGAUGUUCCACCUGAAGACCAGAAUAGCCAACAUGGUUAAGAGGAUAAUUUCAACACAUACCGAUCCAUGAGGAACCGCAUACAUCCACCUUGUAUGAGUGCACCGUCAGGCAUAAUGCCUCCCACUGAGCAGCUAGUAAUCUGACCUCACAUUGUGCCACUCCUACCUACUUUCCAUGGGAUGGAGAGUGAGAAUCCCUACUCGCAUAUUAAGGAAUUCGAGGAGGUUUGUAAUACAUUCCAAGAAGGAGGAGCUUCAAUUGACUUGAUGAGGCUCAAGCUAUUUCCUUUCACUUUGAAGGAUAAGGCCAAGAUUUGGCUUAAUUCUUUAAGGCCAAGAAGUAUCCAAACUUGGAUUGAUUUGUAAGCCGAGUUUCUUAAGAAGUUCUUCCCUACCCAUAGGACCAAUGGUUUGAAAAGGCAAAAUUUGAACUUCUCAGUUAAAGAGAAUGAGAAAUUCUAUGAGUGUUGGGAGAGCUACAUGGAAGCUAUUAACGUUUGUCCUCACCAUGGCUUUGACACAUGGCUCUUAGUGAGCUAUUUUUACAAUGGUAUGUCUUCUUCAAUGAAGCAACUCCUAGAAACUAUGUGUGGAGGAGACUUCAUGAGUAAGAAUCCGGAGGAAGCCAUGGACUUUUUGAGUUAUGUGGCUGAAGUUUCAAGAGGAUGGGAUGAACCAAAUGCUAGAGAGGUGGGAAGAAUGAAGUCUCAACCUAAUGCUAAGGGUGAGAUGUAUGUUUUGAAUGAAGACAUUGACAUGAAAGCAAAGGUUGCAGCUAUGGCAAGGAGAUUGGAAGAGCUAGAAAUGAAGAACAUACAAAAAGUGCAAGCCAUUUCUGAGACAUCAAUGAAAGCUAUGCCUUGUUCCAUUUGUCAAUCUUAUAAGCACCUAGUGGAGGAGUGUCCUACAAUUCCAGCAGUGAGAGAGAUGUUUGGUGAUCAAGCAAAUGUUAUUGAUCAAUUCAAGCCUAAUAACAAUGCUUCAUAUGGCAACACCUACAAUUCAAAUUGGAGGAACCAUUCAAAUUUCUCUUGGAAACGAAAGCCACCUCAAUACACACAACCUACUCAAGCACCUUAGCAAUCCUCGAAUCUUGAACAAGCUAUUGUGAACCUUAGCAAGGUUGUGGGAGACUUUGUGGGAGAUCAGAAGUCCAUCAAUGCUCAACUGAAUCGGAGAAUUGACAGUGUGGAGAGUACAUUGAACAAAAGGAUGGAUGAGAUGUAAAAUGAUCUGUCUCAAAAGAUAGACAAUGUCCAAUACGUAAUCUCAAGGCUUACCAACCUCAACACAGUGUAAGAGAAAGGAAAGUUUCCUUCUCAACCUCAUCAAAAUCCUAAGGGUAUCCAUGAAGUAGAGGCUCAAGAGGGAGAAUCUUCAAAGGUGAGGGAAGUCAAAGUAGUUAUCACCUUGAAGAGUGGUAAAGAGGUUGAUCAACCCACAUCCAAGCCAAAGCAUAAUGAAGAGAGUGUAGCAGAAAAAGAAAAGAGAGGAAAAUAAAGGAAUUAGAAUAGAGAAAAAUACAAAGAAAGAUGACCAUGAGUCUAGUGUGGAUGAAGAGCCCGAGAGGAUGGUGAUCAAGGAAGAUAUGAUGAAGAAACACAUGCCUCCACCUUUCCCCUAAGCUUUGCAUGACAAAAAAAGAACCAAUAAUACAUCAGAAAAUUUUGAAGUAUUGAGGCAAGUGAAGGUCAAUAUCCCUUUGCUAGACAUGAUCAAACAAGUGUCGACAUAUGAAAAAUUCUUGAAGGACUUGUGCACUGUAAAGAGAGGGUUGAAUGUGAACAAGAAAGCUUUAUUGACCGAGCAAGUGAGUUCCAUCAUACAGUGCAAGUCCUAGUGAAGUACAAAGAUCCGGGUUGCCGUACCAUCUCAGUGAGUAUUGGAAGGACUUGUGUGGAGAAAGCUUUGUUGGACUUGGGAGCAAGUGUGAAUUUGCUAUCCUACUCUGUCUAUAAGCAGUUGGGAUUUGGAGAGUUGAAGCCAAUAUCCAUCACUCUAUCUCUAGCGGAUAGAUCAAUGAAGAUUCCAAGAGGGAUGAUCGAAGAUGUCCUGGUUCAAGUUAACAAAUUCUACUAUCCAGUAGAUUUUGUUGUUCUUGAUAUGGAUCCGGUUGUCAAAUGAACUAAUUAUGUUCCUAUCAUACUUGGAAGACCCUUCCUAGCUACAUCAAAUGCAAUCAUCAAUUGUAGGAAUGGAGUCAUGCAACUCACAUUUGUCAACAUGACAUUAGAGCUCAACAUCUUCCAUUUGUACAAGAAGCAUAUCCAUCAGGAGGAAAAAGAAGGUCUAGAGGAAGUGUGAAUGAUUGACACUUUAGUGGAAGAGCAUUGUGAUCGAGAAUGCAAAAAGAUUUAGUUGAGAAUUUUGGGGAUCUUGAUGAAAGGUUACUUGAACCCUCAGAUUUGCUUGCUACCCUACUCCAUUGGAAGAGAAGAGAAGAAAUUCUACCCUUAUUCAAUGAGGAGGAGACGCAAAGAGCUGCAAAGGAGAAACCCCCAAAACUUAUUCUUAAGCCACUACCCACAGAGUUGAAGUAUGUAUACUUGGAAGAAGACAAGAAGUGCCCUAUUGUUAUAUCUUCAACUCUUACCAUUCAUCAGGAGGAUUGUCUACUUGAAGUCCUUAGAAGAUGUAAGAAGACAAUAAGGUGGCUAAUUUCUUAUUUGAAAGGGAUCAGCCCUUUAGUCUGCACCCAUCAUAUUUACAUGGAGGAUGAAGCUAAGCUAAUUCAUCAACCUCAGAGAAGGUUGAACCCUCACAUGCAAGAGGUGGUUCGAGCUGAAGUUCUGAAGCUACUUCAGACCAGUAUUAUUUACCCCAUAUCAAAUAGCCCAUGGGUGAGUCCUACUCAAGUUGCGCCAAAGAAGUCUGGGAUCAUGGUGGUGCAAAAUGAUAAGGGAGAAGAUGUCUCUACACGCCUCACUACAGGUUGGAGGGUGUGUAUCAAUUACAGGAGGUUGAAUGCAGUGAUAAGAAAGGACCAUUUCUCAUUGCCCUUUAUUGAUCAGGUGCUUGAGAGGGUCUCUGGGCUUUUUUUUUUAUUGUUUCUUGGAUGGCUACUCCGGGUACUUUCAGAUAGAAAUUGAUGUUGAAAACCAAGAUAAGACCAUUUUCACAUGCCCAUUUGGAACCUAUGCAUAAAGGAGAAUGCCUUUCGGCUUAUGCAAUGCACCCGCAACUUUCCAAAGAUGCAUGUUAAGCAUUUUCAGUGAUAUGGUGGAGCGUAUUAUGGAAGUCUUUAUGGAUGAUAUCACCAUUUAUGGAAGUGCAUUUGAUGAAUGCUUGGUCAACUUAGAAGCUGUUCUGAACCGAUACAUUGAGAAAGACUUAGUGCUUAACUGGGAGAAGUGCCAUUUCAUGGUACACCAAGGGAUUGUCCUUGGGCACAUUAUCUCCAAGCAAGGCAUUGAAGUUGACAAAGCAAAGGUUGAACUCAUUGUUAAGUUGCCAUCCUCAACAAAUGUCAAAGGAGUAAGGCAAUUCUUUGGCCAUGUCGGGUUCUAUAGGAGGUUUAUCAAGGAUUUCUCUAAGCUUGCAAGGCCUCUUUGUGAAAUAUUGGUGAAUGAUGUUAAAUUCAUAUGGGAUGAUGGAUUUGAAAGGAGUUUUGAAGAAUUGAAGCUAUUUUUGACAACCGUACCAAUAGUGAGGGCUCCCAACUGGCAACUGCCCUUUGAAGUAAUGUGUGAUGUCAAUGAUUUUGCUAUAGGAUUUUUUCUUGGGCAAAGAGAAAAUGGAAAACCUUAUGUGAUCUACUAUGCGAGGAAGGCAUUGAAUGAGGCACAAAGAAACUACACAACCACCGAGAAAGAAUUGUUAGCUGUAGUUUUUGCCUUGGAUAAGUUUCGCGCUUACUUGGUGGGGUCCUUCAUCAUGGUUUUUACUGAUCACUUUGCUUUGAAGUAUCUGUUGACUAAGCAAGAUGCUAAAGCAAGGCUGAUUAGAUGGAUUCUCUUACUUCAAGAGUUCAAUCUCCAUAUCAAAGAUAAGAAAGGAGUGGAGAAUGUGGUAGCAGACCACAUUUCAAGGCUAGCUAUCGCACAUAAUUCCCAUGCUUUGCCCAUUAAUGACGAUUUUCUAGAGGGGUCUCUCAUGUUGGUGGAAGUUGUCCCUUGGUACGCUCACAUUGCUAACUACCUGGUCACGGGAAAAGUUCCAAGUGAGUGGAAAGCACAAGAUAAGAAGCACUUCUUUGCAAAAAUUCAUGCCUACUAUUGGGAAGAGCCAUUUCUAUUCAAGUAUUGUAUGGAUCAGAUAAUAAGGAAGUGCGUUCCUGAAGAAGAGCAACAGGGGAUCCUUAGUCAUUACCAUGAAAAUGCAUGUGGAGGCCACUUUGCUUAUCAAAAGACAGCCAUGAGGGUGUUGCAAUCGGGUUUCUGUUGGCCAUCACUUUUCAAAGAUGCCCACACCAUGUGCAAGAGUUGUGAUCGAUGCCAGAGGCUUGGGAAGUUGACACGCAGGAACAUGAUGCCUUUGAACCCCACUUUAAUAGUUGAUAUUUUUUAUGUUUGGGGCACUAACUUCAUGGGACCUUUCCCUAUGUCUUUUGGCUACUCUUACAUCUUGGUAGGAGUAGAUUAUGUUUCUAAGUGGGUUGAGGCAGUCCCAUGCAAACACAAUGACCAUAGAGUGGUUCUCAAGUUUCUUAAAGAGAAUAUCUUCUCAAGAUUUGGGGUGCCCAAAGCCAUAAUUAGUGAUGGGGGUACUCAUUUUUGCAACAAGCCUUUUGAAACUCUCCUAGCCAAGUAUGGGGUGAAGCAUAAGGUAGCUACACCUUACCACCCUCAAACUCAUGGACAAGUUGAGUUAGCAAACAGGGAGAUUAAAAACAUAUUGAUGAAGGUGGUGAACACAAACAGAAAAGAUUGGUCAGUCAAGCUUCUUAAUUCACUAUGGGCAUAUAGAACAACUUACAAGACCAUUCUCGGGAUGUCUCCUUAUCGCCUAGUUUAUGGCAAAGCAUGCCAUCUCCCUGUGGAAUUGGAAUACAAAGCUUGGUGGGCAAUCAAGAAGCUCAACAUGGAUUUGAGCAGAGCUGGGUUGAAGAGGUUCUUAGACCUUAAUGAGAUGGAGAAAUUGAGAAAUGAUGCCUACAUCAAUUCAAAAAUUGCAAAAGAAAAAUUGAAGAGGUGGCAUGAUCAGUUGAUUUCCCGCAAGGAUUUUCAAAAUGGACAAAGAGUCUUACUUUAUGACUCUAAACUCCACAUCUUUCCGGGCAAGCUGAAAUCAAGGUGGAUAGGUCAUUUUACCAUUCACCAAGUGCAUUCAAAUGGAGUAGUGGAACUACUCAACUCCAACAAUAUCGAGAACUUCAAAGUGAAUGGCCACCGUCUCAAGCCCUUUGUGGAGUCUUUUUCUCACAACAAGGAGAAAUUCAUCCUCCUUGAUCCACAUCAAGCUUAACAAGACCAAUUUUCUUGAUGGACUUAGUCUUUCUAAAGACUAUCGAGUCCAUAACUUUUUGUUUUAUUUUUUAUUUGAGAUUUUUUCGGUAUUGUUACUUGUUUUGUUUUUUAUUUUUCGUUUUAAUUUUAUUUGGUUUGAUUUAACUUAGGUUUUUGAUGAUCAAUUACAGGGGGGAUUUCAAAUAGAGGAAAAACCAAGAUAAUUCGCACACCCUACGAAAAUUUCGCAAGGCAUGCGAAAUUUAUGGCUUAUUUUGCAUGGGGUGAAAAUUUUCGUACAUCUUACGAACCAAUUUCGAACACUUUGCGAAAAUAAACCAACCCUGCGAAAUCAUUUCGAUUACUCUACGAAAUUUUCGUAGAGCAUGCGAAAAAUUUAGCACACCAAACACCAUUUCGCAUACUAUGCAAAAACCUAAGGGGUCUGCGAAACCAUUUCGCACCUCCAAAUCCAUUUCGCACAUUGUGCGAAAACCAAGAGGCGCUGUGCGAAAAUGAAAAGUCGCCCUGUCAUCCCUUUUUAAACCCCUCGAGCCCUAAAAUCUCCAUUUCGCAAGCACCCCUGUCCUUGCGAAUCCCUCAUUUUCCUCUACUACCUUGCAACCUCGUCCCUUUCCAUUUGAUAUUGUGCCCCGCGCACAUCUCAUUUCAGAGACUCGCACUCCGCGCCCCCUCAAAGCAUGGACUCGAGACCCACCUUCCAUUUCCGACGUGGCACGGACCCAAGGAGCCCUUUCUGCCCCUUCACUAAGACACACACCAAGGCAGAAAGCCUCCUUUGCUCAAGUGCCUAGUGAUUCUCCAUCUUAGGCCUCAGAGGCCUCGGAGGCCCCGUGGAUUCCACCUUCCGAGGGUAGAGCAGCCAUUGGUCCUUCCUCUUCUACUCCUUAGCGUAGAUACGAGACGAGGAGACCACCUACUACACAAGGGGCGACUACUUCGAGCCUUGAGAAUUCAGUACGAUGCCUUCCUGCCAAGAGGGUCAAGACUUCAGGUCCAAGUGAGUCAUCCAGAGCUUCAUAGCCUAAGCCUCCUGUAGAUUCCAAGGUUCCUACUGACAUAUCACCGGAGUCUAUUAUCAGAAGCCCGAUGCUCAUAGCACCGCCCAUUGAGGGCAACUCAGAUUAUAGAGCGAGAUCUUUCCACUUGGAGCUAUAUUUUGAUCAGGAGGCCAUACGACAGCAGCCUGAGCUCCGAGACUCUUAUGGCUUACUGCAGAGGUACCAUCUUGAGGAACUUAUGACUCCUCGUGAGUUUUUUUAUCCCAGAGUAGCACUAAACUUUUACCAGUCCAUGACUACUCGUGGCGUCCCGAGUCCUACCACGAUUCACUUCACCAUUGAUAGACGUCAUGGUAUCCUCAAGGCCAGACAUAUUACAGAGGCUCUACAAAUUCCUUUCGAGCUAGAGGAUCCAUCUGUUUUUCGCUAAUGGUCCCCAGUAUCUCAGAGGGACAUGGUCCGUAUUUUAUCUAGGGGAACAUCUACAGAUUCGAUCUUUCUACGGAAGGAGCUUCGACCUGGGAUGCUCCUCUUAGAUGUGGUGCUAUGCUCCAACCUCUUUCCCUUACAACAUUCGGUACAUAGGUGAUGAGCUAUUUUGGACGCUUUAUUCCGUAUAUCAGAGGGCUUCUACUUUGGCCCGCACCACUUGAUCAUGGUCUCCCUCAUCCACUUUGAGGAGAAGGUUCAUAGGAAGAAGCUUCAGAGGGUGGACACCAUUCCAUUACUAUUCCUGAGGUUACUUUGCCAGGUCUUGGAGUACAUGGGCUUUCCUACUGAGCCUCGGCUCGAGCUUUGCCGCCUUUGUCGAGAGUGAUCCACUCUCGACAAAUGGAAUUAGUUGGCGGGCUAUUCUGCACCUCCAGGAGCCCCUCCCAUGGUAGCACCUCCAAUGUCCCCACAGGCAAAGUAGGGCGAGCUCCCGGCAAAGACUGUACCACCAAUGCCCACACUUGAGGCUAUUUCUGCUGCUCUGCCUAUGACUCCUACUGUUCCACCAGUUGGUCCUUUUACAUCCGAGCCUUCCAUCACCAUCUCGGCUUCGGAGUUUCGCGCCCUUGUGCAUACCUUUCAGACACUCACCACCACACAUACUCCUCUCUUCUAGCAAAUGGUUGAGAUGUGUGCCCAUCAGGACCGGAAGACUACUAUACUCUGCCAAAUUCAGCAGCACCUAAGACUUUUGCCUCAACCUCAACCUAACCAUCCCAUAUCAUCAGAGCCUCUAGCUCCAACUGAGGAUACUAUUCCACCUGAGAACACUACCACAGUAGAGGUCCGGUUUCCACCACCUUAAGAGGCCACCACAGCUACAUCAGAGGAUGUGUCAUCUCCACUUGAGGCUCCCACUACUUGAUCAUAGGACAUAUCUUUAUCUUAUUGUAUUUACAUAUUAUAUUACUAGAGAUUUGUCCUUGUUUUGAUACUUUAUAUUCUGGGAUUGGAUGUAUUGCCUGAUGAUAUCUCAAUUGUACUUUCUCAUAUUAAUAUAUAGACAUCAAUUUUUUUUAGUAUACUUAGCAUUUUUCUAUUUCCUCUACUCAUUACUCUUUUGUUUUUUUUUACUCAUGUGGUUUCUCUUAUACAACUCAGACUCCAUUUCACUCAGGAGGUACCACUUCCUCCCUUUAUUUUCAAUUGCUCUUGAAAUAUUGAGUGCAAUGUUGAUCUUGGUUGGGGGGAGAGUUGAGGAAGGAAGUUUUGUUAAUAAUGCUAGGUUAAUUUGUUAAUUUAGUUACUUUCUGCUUAAUUUUAAAAGUUUUCACUCUACUUUCCAUGGUUAUUAAGGAAAAAUUCUCAAAAUGAAAUGGGAGAAAUCGAAUUCUUGCAUUUUUACUUGAAUCUUAGAAUUUGUAUCAUGCUUAUUAAAGUUGAUGAAUUAUUGAAACUCCUAUUGAAUUCAACCUUAUUUUUUCCACUUUAAUCUUACCACACACGGUGCACAUUAGGUUCCAGUUAUAAGAUAAAAAACUAUCUCACCCCCUAAACUUAGAAAAAUUUACACUUGGUACCUUUGACAUCGUUUUAAUAGUGUUGGGACACCUUAUAAAAGGCCAAUGAGCCUUUAAAAAAAAAAAAAAAAAAAAAAAGAGAAAGAACAAAGUAUUGCACUUGCCUUGAAACCUGAGCAAGAUCCGAGGGGUAUACAGUGAAAGUCUUUAAAACCUGGUGCCCUAAGCCUUGAUUGGUUGGGAGUCACCGACCUCAAUGCUCGUUAUAAGGGUGAAUAGGUGGAGUUUAACAUAUUGUAGGUGCUUGGGUAUUGAAUUUCAAUCUCAAAAGUCCGGGAAAAAAUCUAAGGAGUUAGUGGUCAAAAGAUCCUUAAAGCUUGAUGCCCUAAACCUUGAUUGGUUGAGAGUCAUUGAUGGAUCCCCGCUACAUGGACAUUUUAGAAAACAAUACCUUUAGCAUUGCACGCCUACAAUGAAAAAAAAAUGUGAAAUAAAAGAGGUGCGUUCUUAGCCUAUUGGAGGUUGGUCAGUUUGCUAAAGUUUGAGAAAUCUAGGUUGGGGGGAGAGAAUAGUCCGACAUACUAUAAUAAAAAACUAAUAACCUUAACACUUAGAUUUUUGUGGAAGAGUAAGGAUUGGACCUUUAGGGGUGGAAAUUCUUUUGAUGCUUAAAUUUGCAUAAUGCCUACUCUUUAUAAAUUAUGAUUAGGCAAGAGAUUUGAUGACUCUUGUUCAAAGUUGGGUUUUUCCUCUUUGAUGUUCCAUGAGAGAGUAUAAUCCUCAUCAUGCCACUUGAAAUCUUUUUGGAGUGAUUAACAUGAUUUUGUAAAUUAUUUUACUGUCUAUUUUUCUUUAUCUCUCUUUUAUUGCUAAUGGACUAGCAAUAUGUCAGUUGGGGGGAGUGAUUACUACUCAAAAAGUACUCUUUUAUAGCUUGAAACUAACUGUUUUAAACACUUUUGAGUAGGUGUUAAUACAUUUUAACUCAAUUGGCACAUUAAGGAACCUAACAAGGGUUACUAAUAAGUUUUUGGCAAGUUUUGGUGUUUUUGGUAGCUAUUUGAUCAUUGAAACAAGCCAAGAAUGAGGGAGAAUUUUGUGAAGUCCAUAGCAAUGCAAGUUAAAGCUCAAAUACAUGAAGAAUCCAAGCUUUGAAGCACUUCAUAGCCCUUUGCGAAGCCAAUCAGAGAUGCAAGGAAGAAAACCAGAGGAAAAAAUCCAACAACCAGCAUUUUCGCAUGGCUGUGCGAAAUUUUGCACACCAUGCGAAACCACAAGAAGUAGCCAAAGAAUUUUGCACACCAUGCGAAAUUUCGCAUGGUAUACGAAAUCUUCCUAUGCACCAACUCCGUUAUAUUUUUAUCUUCAGAUAUUUUGUGUAAUUUCCUAGUUUCUCCUUGUAACCAACCUAGAUAUUUUCUUUUAUAUCUUUUUUUUAUAUUUUUUAGGUAACAUCAUAUAUAGGGGGAGAGACAUAAGGAGGAUAUGGAUGUUUUUCAUAAAACACUUUUAAUUUUCUGGUAGUAAGAAAUAUACAAAGUUUUUUGCUCUGCCUUACCUUCUCAUUUUGUUUUCACCUAUCUUUCUAGCCAAACAACCUCUGAGAAUGAUUUCUCAGGGGAUGAGUAGUUAGGUUUUACGUUUCUUGGAGUGAGAGAAGCUAGGUGAAAGACCCAAAUGCUAAGGUGGGAGUUGUCCUUGCUUUAAAUGAAAGUAGUUGUUAAAUAUUAAUGGUUUUUAUUUUAAGGUUUAGCUUUAAAUCCCUUAAAAACACCUUGAAUGGCCAAUACUUGGUAAGCUUUUCGGAUUCUAUGGAUGCUUAUUGCUAGAUCCAUGGAUGUCAUUAGUUAUCAUUUAUGAGCCAUUGGAAGGUGGUUCAAGAUGAGAGUCUUUAGUGUUUGAAGCCAUUAAUGGGAAACAAUUACCAUUUUUUCAUGAAUCCUUUGGAUAAAAUCUUAAUUGCUAAAUAUAAAACUGGUUCGGGAGAUAACCAUCCUUUAUGUUAUUAUGCCCAAUGCAAGGAGAAGAUUUCGAAUCUUCUCAUUUGUCUAAGGAACCCGAUCCUAGUGACCUAAAGCUCCUAGAGACCUUUUCUUUGUAGUUAACUUCAUUUAUUGUUUUUGCUUAACUUAAAAUCAAUCUUUGCAACCACAAUUCCAUUUUCUUUAAAAGCUAAUUUUUAUAAGGAAAAGCACCAUUUUAUUUCCUUCACUAAGUCAACUGUAUGAUGAAAACCCAUCCCUGUGGACGAUCUUAGAGCCACUAUACUAUGUUAUCUAUGCUAUCCUAGUGUGAGGUGAUUUAGGUUUUAUAAAUUUUGUUGAUAACACCCGUCUGAGCCAGAAUCAAAUGGAACCACUGAACCAGGGACAAAUCAACAGCCUAUAUGGGAGGGACACAAGUUUAAUUGAUUUGCAUUUCAGCGUUAUAGAUAAGUAUGUUUUGGAAGAUUUGUUCUGGAAAUACUGCACCAAGUACGAUUCUUUUUCUCUUGAGUGAGUCCAUUUGCAUGCCAAUUAACGAGUUGAAAAGUAGGAGCACCUACCUCGUGCUCAUGGAACCGAAUGUCAGUGAAGUGGGGCUCCUUUUAGCCUCUUGUGUUUCUGUUCCAACCAAGGCGGCGUAGGGAAAAACAACAAUAUGUCUGUGCUAAAUAUCAACGCAUGAUAGAUGUUUUUUUUUUUUUUUUUGGUAUGUCAAGGCUAACGAAUGAAAUGCAUUAGCUUGUUUUGUGACUAUAACUGCAAAUGUCCAAAUUGGAGUAUCUCCAUUUCUCACUUCGGAUGGUUAACUUUAUAAACAAGAUAUAGGAAACAUGUGAACAUCUUGAGGAACAAUUCAAAUUAUUCAUUAGAAGUCCUGGGUUAAGUUCCAAGAUUUAAAUCAGACCCUUCUAGCAGCUUCAAGGGUACUUAGCAACCUAUAACAUAUUAAUGAAGAUUUAGGAUUUAGACUCCGGAAUACAAAUAAAUAUGUAUCUCAUGCUUUGACUAGCUUCCCUACAUAUGCAUAAAAUGGAGAUGACCCAAAAAAAAUAGCAGAAUCUAGCUUCCCUACAUAUGCACAAAAUGGAGAUGACCCAAAAAAUAGCAUAAUCGCCUUAGUUUCUGUGGUUAAGGUGAUUCUCCGCUUAAUAUCCACAUUGACUCAUUAUGCAAAAUCAACUGAGCUAAUUUUAUUUAUUUAUUUAAUGUCAAAUAGGAACUCCUAAUUAACUGAUUACUGUCGAAAAGUGCUAUUUUGUAGACCUAAUUAUAAGGGUUUUAAGCACCUUUGAGUAGUAAUCAUAUUCAUUUAACCUAAUUAAUUCAUUAAGCUCCUUAGUAAUUAGUUCUAACCAUUUUUAGUGGCAAGUUUACAUGUUUUUCAUCAGCUUAUGAACCAAUUCAAGCAUGCCAAUUGAUGGAGGAGCUACUUGGGCGAGUUAAGCAAGGAUUUUGGACGUUUACAGGCUUGAAUUUCAAGUGGAAACACGAGCACAAGCAAUGGGAACACCAUUUCGCAAGGGGAGGCAAUUCACCUUGCCAAAUGACCAAUUUCGCAAGGGGAUUUUCCUCAUGGUGCAAAAUUUGGUCAUUUCGCACCAUGAAGAAACCACCUUGCAAAAUUUCGCAAGGUGGAUUUAGGCACCUUGCGAAAUGCCAAAUUUCACAAGGUGGCUUUUCACCUUGCGAAAUUUGGACCUUUCAUCUUCCCCCCUUGCGAAAUGCCUUUGAAAUCCCCUGUUUUGAGACGCUGUUGAUGAUAUUCCACUGCCGGUUCUCCAAGAUAUUUUGCUUGACUUUUAGCUUUAUAAAUACCUAUUUUACCCUUGUAAUCAACCAAUGAAAAGGUUGCUUUUGUAAUAGCUCUUGUAAUUUAGCUUUUUAUUGUCUUUAAAUAGAGGUGAAGAGCCUCAGACACGAUCAUCUUGUAACCUGUAACUUUAUAAGUUAUAAGAGCACUUUUGUUCAUACGCUUCUUUUCUCUUUUCUUUCUCAUUUUCUUAGUAGCCAAACAUCCUUGGAGGAUGAAAUCCCCAAGGAUGAGAGGCUAAAACCUUUUAGUUUCUUGAAGUAAUGGAUGCCAUGUGAAGCUCCCGUGUCAGGAUGGAGAUUUCCAAGCCAUAAAUGUAAGUAGCUGAGCGUCAUAAAUGUUUUCAUUCAAAGUAAAGCUUUUAAUCCCUCUGACUUGCUUUGAAUGGCCAAUACUUGAUAACCUUUUGGUCUCAAUGGAUUCUUAUUGUUAGAUCCACUGACGUUCAUUAGUUAUCUCCUACGAGCCAUUGUAUUGCAAGUCGAGGAGAUGACCUAUACCAAUAAAAGAGCAUUUAUGAGGUUCAACUACCCUUUUUGUAAGUUUUCAAGGACUAAAACUCAGUUGUUAAACUCAUACCGGUUCGAGAAGUAAGCAUCACCUUAGUUGCUUCCCCAACUCGAGGUGAAAAGUCCCAAAAUCUCCAUUUUUACACAGUGAGUUAAGCAUGGCUAUCCAAAGCUUUAAGAAACUUCUUUUUCCAUCUUUUAACCUAUUUUCAUGUUAGUUUAGUUUACAACACCUUCAUCUUUUUAUGUUUUCAUCUUAACCUAAUUUUUAUUAAGAAAAGUUCACUCCAUCCUCCGAACUUCACCAGUUAAAGUAAAAACCCUUCCCAGUGUUCGAUCCUAGAGCCACUAUGCUAUAGUAGCUUUGCUACUUUAGUGUAAGGACCUUAGGUAUAAAUUUUGUUGAUACCCUUACAUGCCAAGCUACCAAGAGUCGGGUUAUCAUUAACCUAACCAUUGGCCUGUGUAAAUUGAUUUCACAUGCACAAUGUUGUAGUAGAAGUCCAUAUUUUGAAUUUUAUUUUUGUAAAGGUAAGGAAAAUGAAGCAUUGUGUAAUUAUAAAAAUAACUUCAUUGGAAUUCACAAGGUUCACCCAAAAUGGAGCUACAUCUGUAUUCUAUCCUACAGUAGACUAUAUAGAUUGUACAAUAGUAAAUUGCAAAUACAAUUAAUAAGUCUUGUGCUUCCUUACUAAUAAUCCUUUGACAUGAACAUUGCAGCACUAAGGUCCUCUUGGGAAGACACCUUGCACCCAUGAGAGCACUAAGAGGAAGCAAGGCAGAGUCAUGGGUGCAAUGUCAUGACUUGUUGUUGCACCAAGAGAGGCUUGGUGAUGCCAUGGUGUUGCAGUAGCAAGAAUGUUGCCUUGGCAGGGACACGAUCUAGGGAUAGAUGCCAAGAAAGGCUUAGCACUCACAUGAGUUGCACAAAGAUGAAUGUAAUAGAGCAUCAGAGAGACGUCUUGGCAAGUAAAUGAAUGGAUCCAAGAGACAACAACAUGAGGAGUUUCAAAUGGAUAAGGAAUGACUCAAAGACAUUUGAAAGCUACAAGUUGGAUUCUAAUUACGAUUGCAAUUUGAGUUUGAGUAGGAGUUUAGAUUUUGAUUGUAAUUGUAGUAUGAGUUGGACUAGGAUUGCUUAUCCUUAGUCAAUAUAGGAGCGGUUCGUGUCACCCUAUGAAAAGAGUUUGAGUAGGGACUAGGAUUGCUUACUCCUAGUCAAAUAUGGAGUAGGUGGUGCCACACCUAUAAAAAAAAGGGACAACAUGAGAGAGAGAGAGAGAGAGAAAGAGAGAGUGAAUUCACUAAAGAUAUUGUGGGAGUUUUGCUUUGUUACGUCUUGUAUUAUUACUUAGAAUAGGAAUAAAAUACAAGUUGGGGCUAGAGCCCCAUAAUUAAUCUCGUGUGCCUUUGUGGUUAUUCUUUAUUUGUCAUCUCGUGUGGAUUGGAUUAGGUUGACUUAGAGGGCUUCUAAGCACCACCUUUGUGGGUUAUUAUUUAUUUUCCAUCUCUUGUGGAUUAGAUUAGGUUGACUUAGAGGGCUUCUGAGCACCACCUUUGUGGGUUAUUAUUUAUUUUCCAUCUAUUGUGGAUUAGAUUAGGUUGACUUAGAGGGCUUUUAAGCACCACAUUUGUGGGUUAUUCUUUAUUUUCCAUAUCGUGUGGGUUGGAUUAGGUUGACAAGGAGAAAAAUUAUGUGGGAAAUUUGUGUUGGGACACUUACCAUAACCAAGUAAAAUCUACCAAGUCCUUUGUAAUAUCUUCAACAAAUAUUUUAGACUAGUUCUUUCAGUUAGUGUAAAGGAGGAAGAAGUGGUAUUGAUUCUAGAAAUAGGGUGUGUGUAUUUGAACUACAAUCCUUAUGAUCCUUAGGUCUCUAAACCUUCGUGAUGGGCUCCCUGACAUUUCAUAGGUUGUGCUACACAUGCGUUUGAAAUUUAGAGUGCGUUUGACAGUGAUUCCGGGAAGUGUUUUUGGCCUUUCUUACACUUGAAAAUUUUUAUUUUUCAAGUAUUAGAAAUGCUACAAACACUUUUGAAAAUUACUGUCAAACACACUCUUAGGAGCGCACAUAUAUAGUAGAAAACUAGAAAUUGUGGUUUUUUUAGGAUUUACUGUAAUGUCAUUAGGAGGGUAGUAAGUUGAAAUUGAGUAUGAACAAAUAUUUCUUUCUUUGGGAUGUUCUUCUAGUAGGUGCUGAUGAAACUGUUCUUUCUACUGCCAAUGUCACAUAUCAGCCAGAAAUUGAAAAUUUCAGUCAAGGUGUCCUCUGUUUUAGUGGUGAGGAAAGCUAGAAAUUUUAAGGUGAAGUUUUGUUAAAAACCUUAAGUAGCUGGGAUAUCAGGCCUGUUUUGCUUGAAAAAAAAAGUUGCAAGAUAACUCAUAUGCCAAACAGGUUCUGAUAUUGUGAAUCUAUCGGCAGACAUCAGUAAUCUCAUCUUCUGAGAUGGAUGUUGGGGGUGCAUGUGGUGGUGGAGGGGCAAGGUUUCAUUUGGUUUAUUUUGUUGAUGGAUAUUGUCUAGCCACCUGCGCCAAGUUUGAGGGGUGGUGGGUUGUGAUGACCCUACAAUUACUAUUAAUUUCUUCAUCUUUUACCGAUUAAAGUGUCCGAACAGUCGAAGUUACCCUUAUGCAUGUCAACUUGAUCACUUACCUCUUCAAUGGAGUUUAUGCUGGUUCAUUUAGGAACUGAUUUUUAUUGUUAUGUAUUAUAUGCUGAUGUUUAGGUCUCUCCAUCAUCACUAUAUACAAAAAUUCUAGGUUGAUACUAUAGGUUGAGAUUUAUUUUUUAAAUAAAAAAUAAUAAAAAUAAAAAUUAUGGUGAUGUUUAGUUGUUUUAUGGAAAAUUUUAACAAGUAAAAGUUAUUUUUGGGCAAGUUUUCAAACAAAAAGAAAAGUAAAAGUUGUUUUGACAAAAACAUAUAGAAAAAAAAAUCAUAGAAAAUAAAUAAUUUCCCCAUAUUCUAACUUUUUUGAAUUUUUCUCAAUGGGCAAAGGAAUAUCAAAUCAAGUUUGAGUAGGAUUUCUUAAUUUUUAAAAUAACUUACAAUUAAAAAAUUUUGGUGUUUUCAUUUUUGGACAAUUUUUUAUUAAGCAAAUGGACUCUGAGUCAUGCAAGAGAUAUGGUUCAUUAACCGGUCGAACAAUUUUUUUAAAUUAAUUUAAAAGUCAAAUACAUAAUCAAUUUCACAAAAUUUAUAAACAAAAAUAGGUUUAGAGAAGAUCUACACAUAAUUUUACUUUUCUAAUUUUAUUUUAUUUUAUUUUUUGUUGGAAAAUAGUCUUCAAAUCAUGUAAGAUUUAAUAGGUUAAAUUUGUUAACAAUAAAUUUUAAAUUAUAAAAUAUAAUCUGGAACUCAAAAAUCAAUUCAAGUAAUGCUAAAAAAAAAUCAAAUUUGGUAUAGAAUGACUUUGUAAAUUUUUUUACAAAACAAAUGAAUUUUAAAUCAAGUGAGAUUUAAUGCAUUAGAUUUUUAUCAAAUAUAGUAAUUUUAAAAAUAAAUUUGGAACUCAACAAUAGACACAAUAAAUACCAAAAAAUAAUGAACCAAAAUUGGUUUGGAAUAACUCCACAACCUUUUUUUUUUUUUUUUGGUGCACACGAAUUUUCUUACUAGGUAUAUUGCUUUCAAAUUGAGAAAGAUUUACCAUUUAGAUUUUUUUUUAAUGAGUUUAAUGGUAUUUUAAAAUAAUUCAAAAUUUAAAAAAUUGACUAAUUAAUAUUAUAAAUUGAUAAACCAAGACUAUUUCAAAAUGCAUUGGGGGCUAAGGGGGUUGAAAAUAGGGACAAUGGGAUGGGUUUGGGACAUGACACUCAUAUCUCAUUUCCAUUCCAAUUACACAGUUAUCUCCCAUCCUUAUCCCAAACUUGUGUUGGAGCAAGUUGAUUUGUUCCCAUCUUUGUUGACGAAAUGACUAAUAACCUCAUCCCCUCCUUAUCUUAGAUGUACAUUUUGUCAAAUUUGAUCAGGUAUGAUUGAUCCAAGCCCUAACCCUAAUUGGUAAUGAGUGAAUACUACACCUAAUUGCAUUCUUCUUUCAUUGCAAAAUAAUGAGAUUAUAAUAAUCUAGCAAAUAAGAAAAAAUAGUAUGGAAGUUCAAAUUAACACCAUAACUAUCAAUAAUUUUAAGCUUAUAGAUGACUUAAAUGAUUAAAAACUAAUGCAAAAUCCUAAAAAAAAUAAAAAUCAUAUAAAGAAUUCACAAGAGAACAGAAUGAACAAAAACCAAAUAUGAACAUGGGUCAACAUUAGUUAUGGAUUUGGAUUCCUUUCAAGGCCAAUCUUUGAACCAAGACUUCAUCAAAUCAACUACUUCAAAGGCUUUUGUGUUCUUCUUGGGUUGUGCUCUCAAACAAAGACUUCGAGGUGAUGUUCUAGAUGAUUGAAUUACACAUAUUUAGGGUGGAGAGAUUGGAGAAGCUUGAAGAUGCCAACGAUGGGUACAAUUGAGUGGUCAAUAAGAACAAUGUAGCCUAUGACUAGUUUGAUGUCAUGGUACAAGAGUUUUAGGCAUUGAGGUUAAAGCAAGAGCAACAUGGAAUUGAUUUCGGAGUCUUUCAGUUAGUGUAAAGGAGGAAGAAGUGGUGUUGAUUCUAGAAAUAGGGUUUUAAGUGGUGCGUGAUUACUACUCAAAAAGUGCUAUUUGAUAGCCUUUAAUUAAUCCUUUUUAACACUUUUGAGUAGUAGUUUAGGCCUUUUAACUCAAUUGGCAUGUUAAGGAUCCUUUAAAGCAAUUUUGAUCACUUUGUGCAAGUUUUGGUGUUUUUGUUAGUAUUUUGAUCACCAAAGCAAGUCAAGAAUGAGGAGAACUAUGAGGAAUCAUGGGCAAAGCUUAGAAUUCAAUUGCCAAGAGUGAAUCCGGAUUGCAAGGAGAAAAAGCAAAGAGAAUCUGUCAUGAAGCCUAUUCUUGAUGACAGUCGUAGCAGCCACUUUUGGAGCACUUUCUGAAGUCCAAAUGAUGCAAGCUAUAUACCAUUUCAAAGAUCAGGAAGUCAACAAUCCAAUGCUUCAAACGGUGCGCGAUUCGGAGUUGAAACGAAGAAGUUGCAGCCAUUACAAGCCAGUCACUCUAAAGUGUUGCGGAAUCAGCCUUUUGUUGCGAGAAUUUCGCAGCACUUUUGUACAGUAAGGUGUUUCUCCUUCUGACGAUGCACGAACCAUGCCGCGAGAGGGAAGCUAGGAACUUCAAGAUGGAAGCCAACUUUGCAGCCUGGUGAAGAUAGCUUGGUCUUGCGAAAUAAUUUCGCAGCCCUCUUGGGUGUCUGCGAAAUUUCGCAGGCACCACUUUUUUCCUGCGAAAUGGCUCCGGAAGCCUCCCGAAGCUUGCUACCGACAUUGGGAGAUAUUUUCCAUUAGAUUUUUGUUGUCUAAAUUCCAAAAUACUCCUUGUAAACCACCAAUUACAUGAUUCCUUAGUUUUUAAGUUAGUAAAAAGACCAAAUAUCUAUGUAAUAAUUAGUUUUAUAUUAGUUUGCUAUAAAUACCUCUCGGGAGCAUGUUCUCAGAGAGGAGUUCCUUCUGUAACCAUUUUGGUAAGCAAGUAAAGUCUUUUCUUUCUACUGCCUUACCUUCUCACUUUGUAUUUUCAUUUUAUUUCUAAGUUAUGAAUUCUCUGAGGAGCUUUCCCCAGAGAAUGAGUAACUAAACCUCCAAUUCCUUGGAGCUAAGGUUGCCGGGGAAGGUUCCAAGUGCAAGAAUGCAAAGCUCUGUGGUUUUAGCUAGUAAUGAAGAGGAAGUGAAAUCCUUUAGUGAUUUCAAUGUUUUUAGUUAACUUAAAACACCUUGGAGUCACCUGGGCCAACACUUGGUAAGGCAAGUGAUUUCCAACCGUGGAAAUGCACUAGUUUACCCCUUGCGAGCCUCUGGUAGGUGACUUCAAGGUAGGAUUUUCUGGAAUUACCAACACUUGGUAAGCUUUUGGACUCCUAGGAGACAUCCAUUAGUUAUCUCUUGCGAGUUUGUGAAGGGGAAUCCAAGGUUAAAGAUCACCUUGAAUGGUAAGUGCUCGUGAGAGGCAUGAACCAUUGCAAGUUGUAUCAGUGAGAGAAUUAAAGUGAAAUCUAAUUGAAGGAGUCUCUGUACAUCACCGGUUAGAGAAUUGACUAUAAGUUGAAUCUCUAAUGCGAGGAAAUGAACCAUCUGACCGGAGCUAUGUCUUUUGCAUGAGGAACCACCCCAGUGAACCUAAAUCUCCAAGGAAUGCUUUUCUUCCUAAAUUAUUCCAAACUUCUGUUAAGUUAGUUAGUUUAAGUCUAAACCUUUACCAAUCAAACUUUGUGUUUUAUUUCUUAAGCUAACCGUGAAAUGAAACAAAACCAAUUCACUUGGAAUUGGUAUCCUUGAUUGCUUGCAAAUCAUUCCCAGUGAACGAUCCUUAGAGCCACUAUACUAUAGUAGCUUUGUAUUUGCUACCCUAGUGUAUGGUGUUAUAGGUAUAAAUUUUGUUGAUCACUUCCUCAAUCAAGGAACACCAGCUGAACACAAAUCAGCUGAGACACCAAUUGGGCAUGAGUCAAAUGGCGCCGUUGCCGGGGAAUGAGUGUCAAGAUCAUUGUGAUACCAUUUUUGAGCACUUGUGAUUUUCAUCACAAGUUGGUAAAGUUUCUUUCACUUUACUAAUUUUCAUUCUCUCUUUGUUUAUUUACAAUCUAAGUUUAUCUUUUUAAAAUUUAGUCUAGUUUAAUUUUGCUAUUGUAGCCUUGUUUCUCUUGUUGUCCUCUGUUCUUGUUGUCCUCUGUUUUCAUUUUAGUUGCAGCUGAAUACUAGUUGUGUAUGCCAAAGUGGAUACGAGACAUUGGAGGUAGGCUUAUUAAGUGUGAUACACCUCAGAGAGGAGAAUUGGAAGUAAUCUUGAAUAUCAUGGAGGCUGCACCUGAAGAUCAGCAUAGUCACCAAGGUCGUCAAGACAAUCUCAAUGAAUUCAGAUCAAUGAGGGACCGUAUGCAUCCACCUCGUAUGAGUGCACCAUCAUGUAUAGUGCCCCCUACAGAGCAACUAGUGAUCAGACCAUAUCUUGUUCCACUUCUACCAACUUUCCAUGGGAUGGAAAGUGAGAAUCCGUAUGCACACAUCAAGGAAUUUGAAGAUGUUUGUAAUACAUUCCAAGAGGGAGGAGCUUCAAUUGAUUUGAUGAGGCUUAAGUUAUUUCCUUUUAAUUUAAAGGAUAAGGCCAAAAUUUGGCUUAAUUCUUUAAGGCCAAGGAGUAUCCGCUCUUGGACUGAUUUACAAGCUGAAUUCCUCAAGAAAUUUUUUCCUACUCAUAGAACAAAUGGCUUGAAAAGGCAAAUUUCAAACUUCUCAGCUAAAGAGAAUGAGAAAUUCUAUGAGUGUUGGGAAAGAUACAUGGAAGCUAUAAAUGCUUGUCCUCACCAUGGCUUUGAUACUUGGCUACUGGUGAGUUAUUUUUAUGAUGGUAUGUCCUCCUCAAUGAAGCAACUCCUCGAGAAAAUGUGUGGAGAAGAUUUCAUGAGCAAAAAUCCAGAGGAAGCUAUGGAUUUCUUGAGCUAUGUAGCUGAUGUUUCAAGGGGAUGGGAUGAACCAACUAAAGGAGAAGUGGGAAAGAUGAAGUCUCAGUUGAAUGCUUACAAUGCAAAGGCUGGGAUGUAUACUUUAAAAGAGGAUGAUGACAUGAAAGCAAAGUUGGCAGCUAUGACAAGAAGAUUGGAGGAGCUGGAGCUGAAAAGAAUGCAUGAAGUGCAAGCUGUUGCUGAAGCACCAGUGCAAGUGAAGUUGUGUCCCAAUUGUCAAUCGUUUGAACAUUUGGUAGAGGAAUGCCCUGCAAUUUCAGCUGAAAGGGAAAUGUAUAGAGAUCAAGCAAAUGUUGUUGGACAAUUCAGGCCCAAUAACAAUGCUCCUUAUGGAAAUACCUACAAUUCAAGUUGGAGGAAUCAUCCAAAUUUUUCAUGGAAGGCCAGAGCAACUCAAUACCAACAGCCGGAUCCACCAUCUCAACAAUCUUCAAGUAUUGAACAAAUAAUAGCUAAUCUCAGCAAGGUAGUGGGAGAUUUUGUGGGAAAGCAAGAAGCCACCAAUGCUCGAGUGGAUCAAAGAAUGGACAGAGUGGAUCAAAGAAUGGACAGAAUGGAGAGUAUGUUGAACAAAAGAAUGGAUGGAAUGCAAAAUGAUAUGAAUCAAAAAUUUGAUAACAUCCAAUAUUCAAUUUCAAGGCUUACAAAUUUGAAUACACUGCAAGAAAAGGGAAGAUUUCCUUCUCAACCUAACCAAAAUCCCAAAGGUGUCCAUGAAGUGGAAAGCCAUGAGGGAGAAUCAUCACAGGUGAAAGAUGUGAAAGCUUUGAUCACUCUAAGGAGUGGUAAGAAAAUUGAGCAGCCAACACCCAAGCCACAUGUUGAGAAAGAAGAAGAGAUGAAGAAAGGGAAGGAAAUGGAAGAUAAAGGCAGUGAGAUCAGUGAAGAAAAGAAGGACUCUGAUGCAACAAUGAAAGUAAUUCCAGAGAAGGAGCUUCUGAAGGAAGAAAUGCUGAAGAAAUCAACUUUUCCACCUUUUCCUCAAGCAUUACAGGGGAAAAAGGGGGUUAGAAAUGCAGCUGAAAUCCUAGAAGUAUUGAGGCAAGUGAAAGUUAAUAUUCCACUGCUGGAUAUGAUCAAACAAGUUCCAACGUAUGCAAAAUUCCUAAAGGACUUGUGUACUAUCAAAAGAGGGUUGACUGUAAACAAGAAAGCCUUCUUGACUGAGCAAGUAAGUGCAAUCUUACAGUGUAAGUCUCCUUUGAAGUACAAAGACCCUGGAAGUCCUACCAUUUCAGUCAUGAUUGGAGGAAAGGUAGUGGAGAAAGCCUUGCUAGACUUGGGAGCAAGUGUGAAUUUGCUUCCAUAUUCUGUCUACAAGCAACUGGGACUUGGAGAGUUGAAGCCAACAGCAAUCACUUUGUCUCUGGCAGAUAGAUCAGUGAAAAUUCCAAGAGGGGUAAUUGAGGAUGUAUUGGUUCAAGUAGAUAAUUUCUACUAUCCUGUAGAUUUUGUUGUUCUUGAUACAGAUCCUACUGUAAAGGAAGCUAAUUUAGUUCCUAUCAUCCUUGGAAGGCCAUUUCUUGCAACUUCAAAUGCAAUCAUCAACUGUAGAAAUGGGCUUAUGCAACUCACUUUUGGUAACAUGACACUGGAUCUAAAUAUUUUCUAUAUGUCUAAAAAGCAAAUCACUCCAGAAGAAGAAGAGGGUCCAGAAGAGCUAUGUAUUAUUGAUACUUUGGUGGAGGAGCACUGCAAUCAACAUAUGCAAGAUAAGUUGAAUGAAAGUUUUGUGGAUAUUGAGGAAGGUUUUUCUGAAUCUCCUAAUGGGCUUGCUACUCUACAAAGUUGGAGAAAGAUAGAAGGAAUUCUACCUUUGUUCAAUGAAGAAGAGGAGGCAGCUGUUGAAAAAGAAAUUCCAAAACUCAAUCUGAAGCCUUUACCUAUGGAGCUGAAAUAUACAUAUCUUGAAGAAAAUAAUCAAUGUCCUGUCGUAAUAUCUUCAUCUCAAACCAAGUCUCAAGUGAAGGAUGCAAGCUUCAAAUGGGAUCCGGGCAAACUGAAUCAGGAAGGGCAAAAAGUUUUGAUGUAUGACACAAGACUCCAUAUCUUUCCUGGGAAGCUCAAGUCAAGGUGGAUUGGUCCAUUUGUUAUUCACCGAGUAUAUUCCAAUGGAGUGGUGGACUUAUUGAAUUCCAAUGGCAAGGACAGCUUUAGAGUCAAUGGAUAUCGUCUUAAGCCGUUCAUGGAGUCAUUCAAAUCAGAAAAGGAGGCAAUCAACCUCCUUGAACCUCAAAAAGCCUAAGUGAAAUGGGUUUGCUGGACGUGGUUUUACCACAGUCCAAAAAUUUUUGUAAAUUUUGUAAAUUUUCAAGUUGUUUCCAUGCUUUUAAUCUUAGUUUUUGAUUUUAAAUCAUGUUUUUAGGUGUGUUUUAAUCGUUUUAUAUGAUCCCAGGCGGAAGAAAUUUCAAGGGGAUUGAAAAGAAAAAAAUCGGGUCGAAAUUGGAGCCGAAACAGAGCAAAAACAGGGGAAAAACAGAGCUCUGCGAAAUUUCGCAGGGUGAAGGAAACUUCUGCGAAAUUGGCAUUUUGCUGCCAAACCAUUCCGCAGCACUGUAGAAGCCUCUGCGAGUGUAUUUCGCAAUUGCGAAAGUGGAUUUGGCACACGAGUGCCACUUCGCAGCACAGUGACAUCAAUUUCGCAGCUGCGAAACUCACUGCGAAGUUGCUGCGAAAAUGGCAAGUUGCUGCGAAAUUGGCGUUUUGUUGCGAAACGUAAUCUGACCCCUGGGCUUCCGUUUUUCCUAUUUAUACCUGUCAAAAGUGCUGCGAAAAAGGUUUCAAAAAUUAGAGCACCAUUCUCGCAGCCCUUUCAUCUUCUUCGCCAAGCCACGCCGUCCGUUUCUCCGGUCGUCUUCUCCGUUUAGCAGCGCCGGCCAAAGAUCGAUAGCCCAAAAAUGGCACGAACGCGAGGGGCAAAGUCUUCAUCCCCUUCGAACCGCAAAAGGAGUCUGCGAAAGGAGCCAAGUUCAGGCUCUGUUCCAGAACCUGCUCCAAAGCCUUCGCCGUCGAGACCACAACCUUCUCCAGUGAAGCCGGCGCCACCAAAGCCGCCGGCAAGGCGAUAUUUAACCAGGUCAGGUGGUCAGCCAUUGAAGAAGAAAGCCAGAGUUGAGAGCUCUGAACCAAUCGAUUUGACUGAGCAAUCCCCUGAGAAAUCACCAAAUCCUUCACCGGUACAAAUUCCAGUGCCAUCACCGGUUCCCUCGCCAAUUCCCUCACCAGAAGCAACUCCAAUUCCAUCGCCGGUACCAUCUCCGGCACCCCAAGAAAAAGCUCAGGAGCCUCAAGCGCCAAUUCCAGAGCCCCAAAUUGCAGCUGAAGCACCUCUGGAAGAAGUGAUCCGAAGGCCAAUGCUGCCUCAGCCCCCAAUCGAAGGAAACCUGGAUUGCCGAACUCGGGCAUUCCAUUCUGAGCUUUGCUUCGAUUUAACAGCAUUCAGAGUGAGGCCAGAGCUUGCCCAAUCCUUCCAACUGCUGAGGAGAUAUCAUAUGGAGCAUCUGCUAGCUCCAAGGGAUUUUUUCUAUCCCCGGGUAGUCACGGAUUUCUACCAAACCAUGACAACCAAAGAAGUAAGAAAUCCAACUCUGAUUCAUUUCAUAAUUGAUGGAAGGCAUGGUAUUUUGGGAGCAAGACAUAUUGCUGAAGCCCUGCAAAUUCCUUUUGAGCCAACUCAAUUCGACAAUUUUAAAGCUUGGACAAAUCCUACUGAGUUAGAGAUGGUUAGCACACUAACCAGAGGAGCUGCAAAUCGAUCGCAUUUGUUGAGGGGGGAGCUACCUCCAGUUAUGUUUUUGAUUGAUGCCUUUUUGAGGCAUAAUAUCUAUCCCCUGCAGCAUUGGACCCAAAGAAGGGGAAUUCUCCUAGAAGCCUUGUACAAAAUGUCUGAAGGAUUCUUCUUUGGGCCUCAUCAUCUGAUCAUGGCAGCCCUUCUAUACUUUGAGGAGAAGGUUCACAAGAAGAAGCUUCAAAGAGCAGAUUGCAUUCCACUCCUCUUCCCAAGGCUGCUAUGCCAAGUUUUGGAGCAUCUCGGAUACCCCUCUGAGCCUCAGCAGGAAAGAAAGAGAAUAUGCCGUGAGCCUUUUACCCUUGAUAAAUGGAAUAAUAUGACGGCCUACAAAAUUGAUCAGCCUGGGCAGCCUCAGCCAGCAGCAAGGAGAGUCUCCCCAAGACAUAUACCUGAAGGUAUAACACUUGCUACUCCUGCCAUCCCUCGAGCUCCACCAGCUGCACCUGCUCCAUCACAGCCAUCCACAUCAGCUGAGCCGAGGAUGGCCAUCCCUAUAUCCGAAUAUCGAGAGCUGUGCCGUGCAUUGGAGACUCUUACAGCUUCUCAGAGCAAUCUUGCUCAGGAGUUGGCAGCCAUUAAAGCAUGCCAGGAGCAGAUGUUAGCCUCUCAGACUCAACAAGCUGCCAUCCUAAGGCAGCUUCAAGUCCAUUUCGAUCUGCCACAAGCUGUAGAGCCCUCUAUUCCUACUCCACCAGAGCCACACUCUCAGCCUUCAGAGUCUCAUCCUCCAGAACCCGAAGCACCAGCUGAUCCACCUACUGAGGAGGCAGAUCCUUCUGCCUAGCACCAUCACCCCCCUCAUCAGACAUUAUAUAUAUAUUUGCUGUUUAUGUUUUUAUGCAUGUUUGUUUUGUUUUAGUUGAAAAGAAAUCCCAGUAUUUUGGUACUAUAUAUGGGAUUCCUUGUGUUACUUGUCUUUAGUAUUGUAAUCACAUGAACUCAAAGUAAUACAAGUUGACUAUUUCUUGUUAAAAGUUAGCAUUAAAGUUUCCUUAUUUCCUUUUCUCACAUAUUCUAUUCUUUUUGAAACAUGUGGUUUUCCCCAAUCAAUAUUCGAAUUUGAUAUCAGCAUGGAGGUACCACUUCCUCCCUUUUAUUACAGUCACUCAAAUCACAUUGAGGACAAUGCUCAGUUCGGUUGGGGGGUAUGAGGAAGGAAGUAUUCUAAACCUUUUUGGUAUUGCAAUUAUAUUGGUUAAUUAGUUGUAGAUUUUACUUUUUACUAGUGUUACUCUAUUCUCCAUGAAUUUUGAGGAAAAAUUUUCAAAUUAAACCAAGAGAAAUUGAACUGUUGUUUUUCACUUGACUUAGAGUAUGGAUUAUGCUUACUAAAGUGGUUCAAUUGUUGAAACUUCUACUGAAAUUGAAUUGAGUUCUUCCACUUUAAGCUAUCCACACACUGUGCACAUUAGUUUCCGAUUAUAAGAUGAAAAGCUAUUUCCCUCUUGACUUAGUAUAUUUUUGGGACUUGGUAUAUUUGACCUCAUUUGAUAAAAAUUGAAACACCCUGCAAAAGGCCAAUGAGCCUUUGAAAUAAAGAAAGUUGUUUGCUUGCCUUGAAACCCGAGCAAGGUCUGAGGGGUAUAUGGUGAAAAUCUUUAAAGCCUGGUGCCCUAAGCCUUAAUUGGUUGGGAGUCACCGACCUCAAUGCUCGUUACAAGGGUGAAUAGGUAGAGUUAGCAUAUGGUAGAUGCUUGGGUAUUAGAAAUUCAUUCUUAAAAGUCCGGGGAAAAAUCCGAGGAGUUAGUGGUUGAAAGAUCCUUAAAACUUGGUGCCCUAAACCUUAAUUGGUUGGGAGUCAUCGAUGGACCCCCAUUACAUGGACAAGUCAGAAAGAGUACCCCAUAAAGCUACCUUAAAAAAAAAAAAAAAAAAAAAAAAAAAAAAAAAGAUGAAAGUGUGUUCUUUUCUUAUUGAUUUUGGUCAGUUUGCUAAAGUGUUGAAAAGAGAUAGGUUGGGGGGUGAGAUUAGUAGCAUAUUAUUCUCGGAACCUAAGGAACCAAUACACAUAGAUUUUUGUGGAAGAUUGAAGUUUAGUUCUUAGAAAAUGAAAUGAUUUUAAAACUUCAGUUUGCAUAAUGCACUCCCUUGAUUGACAGUGUUUAGCAUAGGUGUUAUGACUCUUGUUGAGAUUUGGGUUUGUAUUUCUUUAAUGAUUCAUGUGAGAAAUAGAUCAUCAUGCCACUUGAGAAUUAUUUUCCUUUUAGCAUGAUGUUGUAAAUUUUAGAUUAGUUUGCUAUUUAUUUUUUAUUUUCUCUCCUAUAUUGCUAAGGGACUAGCAAUAUGUCGGUUGGGGGGAGUGAUUACUACUCAAAAAGUGCUAUUUGAUAGCCUUUAAUUAAUCCUUUUUAACACUUUUGAGUAGUAGUUUAGGCCUUUUAACUCAAUUGGCAUGUUAAGGAUCCUUUAAAGCAAUUUUGAUCACUUUGUGCAAGUUUUGGUGUUUUUGUUAGUAUUUUGAUCACCAAAGCAAGUCAAGAAUGAGGAGAACUAUGAGGAAUCAUGGGCAAAGCUUAGAAUUCAAUUGCCAAGAGUGAAUCCGGAUUGCAAGGAGAAAAAGCAAAGAGAAUCUGUCAUGAAGCCUAUUCUUGAUGACAGUCGUAGCAGCCACUUUUGGAGCACUUUCUGAAGUCCAAAUGAUGCAAGCUAUAUACCAUUUCAAAGCUCAGGAAGUCAACAAUCCAAUGCUUCAAACGGUGCGCGAUUCGGAGUUGAAACGAAGAAGUUGCAGCCAUUACAAGCCAGUCACUCUAAAGUGUUGCGGAAUCAGCCUUUUGUUGCGAGAAUUUCGCAGCACUUUUGUACAGUAAGGUGUUUCUCCUUCUGACGAUGCACGAACCAUGCCGCGAGAGGGAAGCUAGGAACUUCAAGAUGGAAGCCAACUUUGCAGCCUGGUGAAGAUAGCUUGGUCUUGCGAAAUAAUUUCGCAGCCCUCUUGGGUGUCUGCGAAAUUUCGCAGGCACCACUUUUUUCCUGCGAAAUGGCUCCGGAAGCCUCCCGAAGCUUGCUACCGACAUUGGGAGAUAUUUUCCAUUAGAUUUUUGUUGUCUAAAUUCCAAAAUACUCCUUGUAAACCACCAAUUACAUGAUUCCUUAGUUUUUAAGUUAGUAAAAAGACCAAAUAUCUAUGUAAUAAUUAGUUUUAUAUUAGUUUGCUAUAAAUACCUCUCGGGAGCAUGUUCUCAGAGAGGAGUUCCUUCUGUAACCAUUUUGGUAAGCAAGUAAAGUCUUUUCUUUCUACUGCCUUACCUUCUCACUUUGUAUUUUCAUUUUAUUUCUAAGUUAUGAAUUCUCUGAGGAGCUUUCCCCAGAGAAUGAGUAACUAAACCUCCAAUUCCUUGGAGCUAAGGUUGCCGGGGAAGGUUCCAAGUGCAAGAAUGCAAAGCUCUGUGGUUUUAGCUAGUAAUGAAGAGGAAGUGAAAUCCUUUAGUGAUUUCAAUGUUUUUAGUUAACUUAAAACACCUUGGAGUCACCUGGGCCAACACUUGGUAAGGCAAGUGAUUUCCAACCGUGGAAAUGCACUAGUUUACCCCUUGCGAGCCUCUGGUAGGUGACUUCAAGGUAGGAUUUUCUGGAAUUACCAACACUUGGUAAGCUUUUGGACUCCUAGGAGACAUCCAUUAGUUAUCUCUUGCGAGUUUGUGAAGGGGAAUCCAAGGUUAAAGAUCACCUUGAAUGGUAAGUGCUCGUGAGAGGCAUGAACCAUUGCAAGUUGUAUCAGUGAGAGAAUUAAAGUGAAAUCUAAUUGAAGGAGUCUCUGUACAUCACCGGUUAGAGAAUUGACUAUAAGUUGAAUCUCUAAUGCGAGGAAAUGAACCAUCUGACCGGAGCUAUGUCUUUUGCAUGAGGAACCACCCCAGUGAACCUAAAUCUCCAAGGAAUGCUUUUCUUCCUAAAUUAUUCCAAACUUCUGUUAAGUUAGUUAGUUUAAGUCUAAACCUUUACCAAUCAAACUUUGUGUUUUAUUCCUUAAGCUAACCGUGAAAUGAAACAAAACCAAUUCACUUGGAAUUGGUAUCCUUGAUUGCUUGCAAAUCAUUCCCAGUGAACGAUCCUUAGAGCCACUAUACUAUAGUAGCUUUGUAUUUGCUACCCUAGUGUAUGGUGUUAUAGGUAUAAAUUUUGUUGAUCACUUCCUCAAUCAAGGAACACCAGCUGAACACAAAUCAGCUGAGACACCAAUUGGGCAUGAGUCAGUGCGUUAGAGGAUCAAGAAGAAGAAAAAGAAGGAACUGUUGGAAUUAGUAUGAGUGUGAAGAGAAAAGUAUAUAAAUAAGGGGAAGUAAAAGCAAAGUUCAAAAAGCUAUAUUUUUUUAUUGUUGGUGUAUGGUUGCAUGAUUAUCCCUAUAAAUAAUAGGAGUUUUUUGGUAUUCUACUAGUAGUUGAAGCAUAAUUUCAUAAAUUAAUAUUUAGAGCGGGGUGGGGUGAGUUGUGACAAAAUUCAUACCCGUCCCAAACCUUGGUUCAGAUUUUUAAAAUAUUCUCAAACUUAUCAUAUACCCAACUUUUAUAUUUCAUACUUGUCCUAAUAGAGGCACGUUAGGCCGGGUUACUUGAGUAACCUACAUAAUUGUCAUCCCUAGUUGAAAUACACUUUUUGGCAGUGGCCACCAACUGAGCUAGAAGCUUGAUUGAUUGACCUACAAGAUUAGUUCUCAUCAUUUUAAAAAAAGUUCUGGCUUUGGUUGUGAGUGCAAUUGAAUCUAAACUGGCAUUUGCUUAAUGCAUCUACUUCAAUCCUAAACUUCUUACUUCUUAAGCCUCAAUUGUUGUUAGGAUUUUGGAAAACCCAUUUCCUUAAAUUGUAAAUUUAAGAUAAAAUAAAAUAAAAGUGAGACAUUUCUUGAUUGAAUAUUGUUAAAGGUCCCUUGGCAUUAAGACUUGGUUGAAGCCUUGGAAGAUUAGUGGAACUCUCAACAUGUGUUUGAAUCUUGAGGAGAGUGGAUGUAAGCCAAAAUUUUGUCAAACCAUUAUACAAAUUGAGUUUGAAUCCUCAUUUCUUGAUUUCUUAUUUAUUUGCUUUUUCUUAUUAUUACUUGAAUUGUCAUUUGCAUUCAUUAAUGUUAAAAUUGGUUAUAAUUAACCAACACUAAUUCUCUUUCCCCUUCCCUUUCUUGGGUGUAAACCUAGGUUGGAUUAACUAGAUAAAUCUAUUAAGAUGGUAAAAGAAUAAUUAUUCUUAACAUACAUAAGAUCAUCUUCAAUCAAAUGACUCAUUGGCUAAUAUGUUGAAUUUGCUUAUUACUUGCAACUCAAAAUUGUGUUCUAGUUGUGUCAAGUCCCCAGUGUAUGGACAUUAAAUUUGUAGUACGUGAUGAGUAAUUAGAUGGUCCAACUCCAAGAAAGUGAUUGAAAAGUAGUUCAAGAAAGGUGCAAAAGGGAAUUGUUUUGGUAUUUUCGUUUUUAUUCUUGAAGGUGGCAGAGCUAAAAUUUGAGAAAUCAAGCAAAACAUACUGAAAUUACAUUGAAAGAAAGAAGAUGGGAGUUAAUGUCUUGCAGUACAUGAUAAGGACUUCAUGCAUGUAGUGUGACCCAUGUCUUGGACUGAUGCCAACUCACGGUUACACUUAUACCCUUGGUUCUCUCUUUACUACCUUGGCUAACCUAGAUCAGGCUAUGAGAUAGGCUCCUCACCACACCAUUACUUGCCCAUUAAUUAGAGACAUUUUCAAGCAAUGAGGUAACAUGGUGACACCAAGAGGGUCUAUUCCUCGCCCGGAACAAGUCUAGACUUGGUCUCAAAAAAAUGGAGAAAAAUGAGGUGUCGUUAUGUAGAAAUACAACAACCAUGCCUUCCUCAUUACUUAGAUUCAGAAUGUGAAGGUGAAAUUGAGAAACAGAAACUCUUGAAACCAAAAUGAAAAUUGAUACUUUUACGAAGAAUUACAACAACAUUAGAGGAAGACUACAUUCUUCCUCUUUAUUCCUACAUUUCUACACUACUUCUACUCCACUCCAUAUUUCUACAUACAUCUUUAAUCAGUCUUCCCUCCUUUAUAUAGAGCCAUCUUCACACAAAUUUCGCAAGGUAGAAAAGAGGAAUGAAACUUGGAGCAAGGUUCGACUACUGGUUGUAGCUUGUCAAGGCUGGAAGUGAACUUUUCUUGGCUUUCUGGGCAUGGGUAGUAACUUGUGGGUUCCUGUUUGGCAUAAAAAUGGCUAGAACAUGUGGCACUAUCUUGUUGGAUGAUGUGUCAAGCAUGUGGCAGCCAUCUAGUGGCGAUUAUGUCAAUUUUGGGAUGGAGAGUUGGCAUCCAAUUGCAAAGAAAUAUGACGUCUACCAACAUGCAAUGUAAACCUAUGUAGAUCAUAUGAAGAUAGAGAGGAAAAAUAUAGAAAUGGAUAUAUACCUAGAACUAGCUUUUUAUUAAAUGAAACGGAGAGACAACAAUGAAGGAAAAUAAAAUUUUUUGGCUUAUAUCAAAGAGUUCACAUUGUGUUACCCUAGGUUUUCUUAAAACUUACUUUUAUGAUAACAAAAAAGAAAAAACCAUUAUUGUUUAAUCCUUUGUUUUAAACGCAUGUAAGGUGUAAUUAAGUUAGUUCAAUGCAUUAAUUUAAGAAACUUGACCUAUCAAAAGUACAAAAUUAGAUGAAAUCCAUUUCAAUGGUUAAAAUGAUCAAAAUCAAACUUUUUCUAAGUAUUUUUUAAAAGCAUCAAUAGUGAAAGACAAUUUUAUAUUUAGUCGGAGUUUGGACAAAACUGAAAAACACACAAAAUCCAAGCGACCAUCUCUAGCUUGGAUGGUCGCUUGAUCCCACCUAGAGAUGUGCAUGAGUAAAAGGAUUUGAAAAUGGAAAUUGACUAUGUAGUCGAUCAAUUAACUUUGCAACAUCAUAUGCAAUCCUAAUUGCUAGUCAUCUAAUCAAUUAGGUAGUCAAUCAACAGGCCAAAAAUAUGUUUAUAAUGACUAUUUUGUACAAAAACCACCUGUAUAGUUAAAUAUAAUGCAUUUCAUUUAUAAAUCUUCUAAUUCUUGAAUAACGAUCCUAUCAUCCUUUGAAAGUUUUUAUUACACUUUUUUUACUUUUGUUCUAAAACUUACACAUCACCCUUAAUUGUACCAUGAGAACCUAGCUAUUUUUUAUUUUUUUUUUUGUAAUUCAUCAAAGUUAGCUUUUGUAUUCAUUGUUGUAUUAUUUUUAGUAUAACUUAGAAAGCUAGUGUUUUCAAGUGAGUAAAAUUAACUUGUAAAUAUUGUAAAGAUUCAUCGACAUGUAUCUUAAACUAAGUGUACAAGUUAAAACAUUUGCUAGUAGAUUUUCUCAAAAUUUAGAAUAGAGCUUGAGACUAUUGAAAUAGGUGGGGUUGCACCAAACCACAUCACAUCGUUGUUUGCACCUUUUUUCACUCUCUUUUACUUAGUUGCUCUAUAUUUGUUGUCUAGUAAUAUCCUAUAGGCUUGAUGGGUUAGGGAGCAUCCCUUUGUGAAAAAAUUUUAUUCAAUCCUUAGUUGUAUCACGCAUAUAUAAAAUGCCUCAUUGUUUUAAUGGUAUUCAGUCGUGGCAUCACAGAUAUGGGCAUCUAAAUUUUAAAAGUUUGAAACUUUUAUCUAAAGAAAAUAUGGUGCUUUGCCUUUUUGUAAAGCAUGUUGAUGAAAUCCAUGAGAAUUGUGUACUUGGGAAGCAACACCGAGAUGACUUUUUUUUUUUUUUUAUAAUAUUGUUUGUCCAAAUUCCCUACAAAUUAGGCCACCAGAUGUUCAUAAUUCUCCCUUCUUGAAUUUGAAAACUCGGACAAUUGGACAAUGCGACACCUAAGUCCGGUUUCUAAAUGCUAAAGUGAAAGGGUAGGUAUGGACCAUUGAAAUGUGAUCACAACUUUUCUCUGUAGCCAUGUUGUCUCUUUUUUCUUUUGCAUGAUUUUCUUACCUUAACAGAAUCAUAGACUUGUUUAGUCUCUAAAUGGGAUUAAUUUCAUCCAGCUUUAAGCUACUAUAUUAUAUCUAGGUGGAGGACUUUUAAGAGUGCAACCGACAUAGAGCACAUGGAAGUGGGUAUAUGGGACAUGAAAUUUCUUCUUAUAAAGAUUGCAUGAUUUUUAUAUUAGAGUUGUUGAGGCGCUAUGUAUUUAGCUUGUUUUGCAGUUAAAUUAAUUGGAUAAGUAGACAUUGGCGUUUCUAAAUCUACUGUGAAGUGCUUCAUGUACGUGUGAAGUAUUAGAAAUUUCUUUCUUGGCAACUUGUUUUUCUUUGCGGUCUACUGAUAGGUUUGACUAAAAUUAUAUUCCCUGUCAUGCUAAUUAAUUUUCACGUGCAUGCUCAAAAGAAAAGUAUGACCUUAGUGCACCAAAAUCACUUUGAUUAAUUUGUGAUAGGUUUUUGUGCAUCAUGACAUUAGCCUUAUUCAUUUAGAUAAUGUUUAGUUUUUAGAAAGUAUUAAGAAAAGGAAAAUAAAUAUUAAGAAAAAUAUUCUUAUAUUUGAUUGUAUUAUGAAAAAUAUCAUAAAAAAAUCAAAUAUAAUUUAAAUUAAUUAAUAAUUUAUACAUUUUCAAAUUAUUUAAUCUUUAUAUUGAAGAUAUAAUAUAAAUGAAAUGAGUUUUAAGUAUUAUAUAAAAGUGAUUUAUUGAUCUUACAUAUAUAUAUUUCUUUUUUUUUUCCUUCUAUUUUUUCUCUUUAUUUUAUUUUCCUUAUGUUUUCCUCAACAUUUUCCGGAACCAAACAUAGCCUUAGGAAAUCCACAAUUACCUUCAACUGAGUAGAUUCUGUUGUUUUAGCAAUGUUAGGCUGCUAACUUGUGUUGGUACGAACCUAUUAAGCCUAAAGAUGUAAUUAGUUAGGAUAUUCUUUUCCCUCUAGUCUUGUAGCUCCACGUGUACAGUUGGUUAGGACCUCAUUGUAUAUAAUGCUUGCCCUGUUAUUGUAGAAGACAACAAAGAUAAAUAAUAUUAACAUUUUUCCUCUCAUCUCUCUCUGUUUCCCUCUGUUUUCAUCUCCUCUCUCAUCUUGGUAUCAGAGCCUCCAUGGCUUCUUUCAAAGAAACCUCCGAAUCACCUUCUGCUAGCAUUGUUAAUGUGCAAAACCCAUUAUCUCAAUCAAACAACCUUCCUUCACCAGUAGCCACACCCUCUUUUUCUUUCUCGUCUAUGAAUCAACCUCUCACAGUGAAGCUGGAUAAUGGGAACUACCUCAUAUGGAAGAAUUAGCUUCUAAAUGUCAUCAUUGCUAACGGACUCGAUGAUUUCAUUGACGGAUCUCGACCCUGCCCUCCUCGAUUUCUCGAUCUGCAACAACAAACCCUCAAUCCAGAGUACUCAGCUUGGCAGAGAUACAAUCGACUUCUGAUGAGUUGGCUGUACGCAUCCUUGUCCAAAGAUAUAAUGGCUCAGAUUGUUGGGUAUUCAACAGCUAUGGAGAUUUGGAAUGCCCUUAAUCAGAUUUACUCUGCCUCUUCUAUGGCGCGGUUUACUGAGCUUCGCACCAAGCUUCAAACGCUCAAGAAAGAUGGACUCUCAGUUGGUGAAUAUAUUCAAAGGCUCAAAUCCAUUUGCAAUAGUCUUGCAGCAAUAGGAGAACCAGUUUCUGAGAAAGACCAUCUUAUCUAUUUGUUCAAUGGAUUAGAUUGUGAGUAUUAUUCUUUUGUUACCUCCAUUCAAAAUCGAUCUGACCAACCAACUAUUGACAAAAUCCAUAGCCUAUUGCUUAGCUAUGACUUCCGGCUUGAACAACAAAACUCUGUUUCUCUCCAUUCUGCCCAAGUCCAUAUGGCUCAUCUGAACAAGAAACCUUAUAAAUCAACUCCUCAACCUACAUUCAAUCAUAUUCACAUUCAACCUAGAUACUCUUCUCCACCUUUUAAGCCAACCACUAGUCAAUAUCAACCCAACAUUUUGGGCAAACCACAACCACAACCAUGACAGCCUCAACCUCAAUGGAAACCACAUUUUUCAAUCUAAAAUCAAAAGCCUCAGCGCCAAAUUUGUGGUAAAUUUGGACACACUGCUCUUAUUUGCUUCCAUCACACAAAUUUGAACUAUUCACCCCAACCUUCUCCUAAAUCUUUCAAUACUGUUCUCACCACAAAUUCCCAGCUCCCUAAUCCUCCAAAAUUUUCUUACCCUACAAUGGCUCAUCCUGCUGCUACGCAUAACACGGUUCCCGAUACAAAUUGGUACAUGGACUCAGGUGCUACACAUCACUUUACUCUGGACAUCAACGUGCUUGACACUGUGACACCAUUUAGUGGUUCAGAACAGGUGACAGUUGGGAAUGGUAAGCAACUCUGUAUCUCACAUCUUGGUACUGCAAAACUACCAUCUUCGUAUUCUCCUCCUGUUCUACAUCAGGUAUAUCACACUCCAAAAAUUUCAAAUAAUCUUAUUAGUGUUAAAAAAUUGUGUUCUGAUAAUAAAGUUUUUGUUGAAUUUUAUGCCACUCAUUUUCUUGUCAAGGAUCAGGUUUCGAAGAGAGUUCUCCUUUAGGGUCAACUUGAUAAUGGCUUAUACAAAGUUCAGUCGUCAUGCUCUCCUUCUGCUGUUUCCUUUCCUCCUCAAGUUUUCAUAGCCAACAUCAAGUAUCCAAAUCUGUGGCACAAGAGACUAGGCCACCCAGCUUUAUCUGUUGUUAAUCAAAUCUUGGAUUCUUGUAACAUUGCUCGAACACAGAAAAUUUGUUUUAAUUUUUUAAAUUCUUGUCAAUUAGCAAAGAGCCACAGGCUUCCUUUUUCUCUGUCUCCAUCCAUUGCAGAAAAACCUUUUGAGUUAAUUCAUACAGACCUAUGGGGUCUUUCGCUCGUUCGCUCUAUUUCUGGUGCUCUUUAUUUUUUACUUUUCAUUGAUGAUCAUACUCGUUUUACUUGGUUUUAUUUGCUCAAAACAAAAGAUGAAGCAUAUCCUACUUUUCUCAAGUUUCAAGCUCUCAUUGAAAAUCAAUUUAAUACCAAGAUUAAGGCUGUCCAAUCUGAUUGGGGAGGUGAGUUUCGAUCUCUCUCCAUACCGUUUUCAAAUAUGGGCAUUGUCUAUUGUUUAUCGUGUCCAUACACCUCACAACAGAAUGGGCGAGUUGAGCGAAAAAAUCGCCAUGCGAUUGUCCUUUCUUGCUUGCUCUAUGCCCUUAUCUUAUUGGCCUUAUGCCUUUCAAACUGCCACUUACCUUAUUAAUCGUCUCUCUACCCCUGUGCUGCAUCAUCAAUCCUCUUACUUCGCACUCUAUCACAAACUCCCAACUUAUACUCAUCUUAAGGUCUUUGGUUCCUCUUGUUUUCCGUAUUUGCACCCUUAUAAUACCCAUAAACUCCAAUACAGGUCACUAGAGUGUGCUUUUCUUGGUUACAGUUCACACCACAAAGGUUAUCUAUGUCUUGACAUUCAUUCUAGCAGGGUGUAUAUUUCUCGCCAUGUGAUUUUUAAUGAAGAUUCUUUUCCAUUCAAGAAUUUGAAAUCUUCUCUCUCUCAGUCUAUUUCUUCUUCCUCUUCUUUAUAAGUUCCUCUGUUCAUUCUCUUGCCUCCCCUUUCCCCAUCUCCUCUUAUUUCUUCAUCUAUACCUCAUUCUUUUCCCUCUUCUUCUUCUACCUCUAGUACUUGUUCCCCUCUCGUUGCUCCUACCUCUCUUCCUUCCUCUUCACACUCUGUGUCUCCAUCUAUUCCACCUCCUUCUCCACCUUCUCCGAGUGUGGACCUGCUUGCACCUUGUGUGAAUACAAAUUUACAUACUUCUUCUCGCACUCACAAUAUUCAUCCUAUGGUGACUAGAUCUAAGGUUUGUAUCUAUAAACCUAAGUUGUUGUUGAGUGUCUCCAUAGGUUCUCUCACUAAGCCUACUUCCUUUCUUCAAGCUAUUAAAGAUCCUUCAUGGAAGCAAUCCAUGGAAUUCGAGUUUGCUACCCUUCAACACAACAAGACCUGGCAUUUGGUUCCUUCACCUUCCUCAGGCGAAGUAAUCGGUUGUAAAUGGGUCUAUAAGCUAAAGCUUCAGCCUGAUGGCUAAAUUGAGAGAUACAGCCUGCUUAGUAGCUAAGGGUAUCAUCAAAUUGAAGUAUGGACUACUUCGAAACAUUCAGCCUGAUNNNNNNNNNNNNNNNNNNNNNNNNNNNNNNNNNNNNNNNNNNNNNNNNNNNNNNNNNNNNNNNNNNNNNNNNNNNNNNNNNNNNNNNNNNNNNNNNNNNNAGCUUCAGCCUGAUGGCUAAAUUGAGAGAUACAAGGCCUGCUUAGUAGCUAAGGGUUAUCAUCAAAUUGAAGGUAUUGACUACUUCGAAACAUUCAGCCUGAUUGUCAAGCUUUCUACUAUCUGUAUUGUGCUCAGUCUUACUUUUUCCCAGAAUUGGUGUAUUAGACAGCUGGAUGUUCAUAAUGCCUUCUUACAUGGUGACUUAGCUAAAGACGUUUUCAUGGAACAACUGCCUGGAUUUGUUGAUCCUCUCUAUCCUACUCAUGUCUGCAAGUUGGAUAAGUCUCUCUACUGUCUUAAAUAGUCACCUCGGGCUUGGUAUACUAAGCUGAGUACUUCUCGCUACACUUGGGAUUUGUUACUUCUAAGAAUGACUCUUCCUUAUUUAUUUGUCAUUCGUCUCAUGGGUUACUUCUUGUUCUUGUCUAUGUGGAUGAUAUAAUCGUCAUUGGGAGCCACUCUCCUCAGGUUACUCACCUUAUCCAACAGUUGCAUCAUUAGCUUUCUUUAAAGGAUCUUGGUCCUUUACAUUAUUUUCUGGGCUUGGAGGUUCAUCACACCCCUACUGGUAUUCACCUCAGCCAAGCAAAGUAUAUCACUGAUCUCCUUACCCGGGCGGCUAUGUUGGAUGCCAAGCCAUGUCCCACUCCUAUGUCCUCCAACACAUAUCUCUCUUUUCAUGAUGGAGUGGCUCUUGAAAAUGGUUCAGAUUAUCGAAGUUUUGUUGGUGCCCUUUAGUAUUGUACCAUGACACGCCCAGAUAUAGCUUUUGCAAUAAAUAAAGUGUGUCAAUUCAUGCACCAUCCCUCUAAUGUUCACUGGCAGGCUAUAAAACGUAUUCUCCGGUACUUAAAGGGCACAUCUCAUUUUGGUCUCUUCCUACAGCCUUCCUAUGACUUCAACAUCACUUGCUAUACAAAUGCCGACUGGGCUUCCUGUCCUGAUGACAAGUGUAGCACCAGUGGCUACUGCCUCUUUCUUGCCUCUAAUCUGGUUUCUUGGUCAUCUUCCAAACAAAAAGUGGUCUCCCGCUCCAGCGCCGAAUCAGAGUACCGAGGGGUAGCAAAUGGGGCUGCUGAAAUUGCUUGGACUGAAUCUCUUCUUUGUGAACUUUCCAUUACUCCCCCUCCCCUCAUUCUCUGUGACAAUAUCAGUGCCACGUACUUAGCUGCCAAUCCUAUUUUGCAUGCCCGCACCAAACAUGUGGAAAUCGACUAUCACUUUGUCACGGAACGUGUUCUUCAAUGCUCUCUUUUUGUCCAGUUUACACCUUCUGAUGAUCAACUUGCUGAUUGCAUGACCAAGCCUCUCUCCACCCAACGUUUCAUCACUCUACGCUCCAAGCUCACUGUUCUCACUAGACCAAUGAGCUUGAGGGGGGAUGUUAAGCCUAAAGAUGUAAUUAGUUAGGAUAUUCUUUUCCCUCUAGUCUUGUAGCUCCACGUGUACAGUUGGUUAGGACCUCAUUGUAUAUAAUGCCUGCCCUGUUAUUGUAGAAGACAACAGAGAUAAAUAAUAUUAACAUUUUUCCUCUCAUCUCUCUCUCUGUUUCCCUCUGUUUUCAUCUCCUCUCUCAUCUGAACCAAAUGAUCCAUGUUAACCUUGGCUUGGUUUGAUUUGGCUCUAUCUUAGAGAGCUCAAGGAUCACGUCAACUCUGGUUUCUACUAUUCAGGUCCAUUCCCAUAUGAACUGGUUCAAAUUUGAGAAAAUGGUAACAGACCUUUAGUGAUGUUGGUUUGGAGCCAGUUGCCAAACCCGCCCUGAGCUUUACCACUAAUGUCAAGGGAGAAAGCCAUUUGAACAAAAACAAUAGCUUCAAGGGACUGAAUCGUGGAUGAAAUCUGAUCCACAUUUCUUCUCAUUUUGGAAACAAAUGAGAACUUAACUAAGAAGAUUCUACGGCCUCAUAGUGCUUUUCCUGAUCUAAGGUUGGUUCGUUUCCCAAACUGUGAGAUGCACGUGCCAGACUUCAGAACUCUCACGCUCAGGAGUGUAUCCACGUGGUGGACAUAAGAUGGUGGCUUAAGAUCUGGUGUCGGUGGCUUUACUUUACUAGGAGAGUAGUGUGUCUUCAUCUCAUUCACUGCCGGAGGGUGGCGUAAGCAGUGACGCUAAGGUGGGGCACAGUCAAUAUCAUUUGCAUUUGACCAUUAUAGUUUUCUCCCGGCUUUAAAGUAACCUUAUCGUGAUAAAGGAUUACUAGCACUAGUUCAGAUGAUAGUCAUGUUAAAUUCGGACCAUGUUUGUGUCACAUUAUCAGCAACCAUGUGUUUAUGGUUCAUGCUUUCUGCAACUAAAAUUGAUAUAUAACCAGGUGAACUUCAAUCUAAAUUCUGAAAGUACUCAUGUGAUAGAUGGUGCCCGUCUGCAGAGUCCAUCAAUUGAAAAAUGGAGUGAGUGUAUCUAUAAGAGGGAAGGCUUGGAAAAUGUUCAGUUUUCUGGGAAUUCAACAAGGAUCUAAAAUAGAUUGUUUUCUUUGCUGAUUUCAAUGGUUGAAAUUUGAGAAGAUUGUGUCCACAUAACACAACUAUUACUGGUCCUUCUGUUGCAAUUUAUCCUCUAAAGCUCUAGCAUGUCUUCCAAUUCCCACUUCCCUGUUACUCCAGGAAAGCUAUUUCUGUCAUUGUGAAGAAGAAAAGAGAAUGUACAUAUCGAUGCUUUUAAGUGACUGGAGCAUUUAUAUCAGGUGGUCUGCAGCCAUAUAUGCCACUUUGUGAAGAUUGGAACAGUCAAUCACUAGGCUAUAUAUUAGUGUGGCCCAGCCACUUUAAUCAAGGACAAGUCUUCAUACUUAAAGUCAAAUUCUGCCUUUAGUCUCAUUAUAAAUUUCUGUUUAAAUAUUAAGCAAACAUUUGUUUAAUGCGAUUAAGACAGUACUAACUCAAUACCUGUUCUAUUUUUGGAUGCAAAUGCUUGAUGGUUUCAUCAUUGGAUGGGAUAAAGGUGCAUUCAUGAUUAGGAAUACUAGUAGUUAUAUUUUAAUUCUCUUUUUUCUCAAUGAGACUUGUUGGCACAAUUUUGCUGUUGAGAAACCUACCUCUCCAUGGAAAAUAAGUUGUGAUUGAUAGUACUGGAUAUAUUCAAGAAAUCUAAAUAUAGAUAGCACAAAAUAUUAUCGACAUAAAUAGCAUUAACAGCGUACGUAUGUCUCAGUGCUCAUCAGCUAUAAGCAUGGGGCAAACACUUACUAUGAGCAACUUACGUCAAAAUUCCAGAAUAGGACAUAGAAGUGACAGAUAUAGAACAUUGCAUAUGAGUCACAAGAAAGGAAAUUACGGGUGCAUAGCAGCUCUUAUUUUACAUACUACUACUCAUACUGAUCAAAGUCACUCAGUUGGGAUGGGUGGGAGUAGGAGGUUUGUGGGGUGGCUUGUGCGGAGGAGUUGGCAGCUUCUUUCCAGGACCUGGUUGCUUCUCUGCUGGAGUUGAAGGAGGCUUAAUCUUCCGAGGUGGCUUGUAUGAGUCUUCAGCAUUCUCAGCUGGAGGGUGACCAGGGUUGUGACCAUAAUGUGGUGGCUUCUCUCCCUUAGGUGGUUUGCCAACUGGGGUUGGUGGCUUGUAUGAGUCUUCAGCAUUCUCAGCAGGAGGGUGACCAGGGUUGUGACCAUAAUGUGGUGGCUUCUCUCCCUUAGGUGGUUUGCCAACUGGGGUUGGUGGCUUGUGUUCUGGGAGUGGCUUCUCCCCCUUGGGAGGUUUUUCCAAUGGGGUUGGUUUGUGUUCAGGAGGUGGCUUCUCCACUGGAGGCUUGUGUUCAGGAGGUGGCUUCUCCACCGGAGGCUUGUGUUCAGGUGGUGGCUUCUCCACCGGAGGCUUAUGCUCUGGUGGUGGCUUCUCGAAUGGGGGAUGCUUAGGAUAAUCAGCAAGUGAGGGGGCGGUGAGAACCACCAGGCCAAGCAACACCACUAGCAAAUAUGUAGGAGACAUCUUUGGGUUUGGGCUCAGAUGGUGCAAAACUAGGAGAAUUGGCUAGCCUUUUAUAGCGGAUCGUACCCAAUAAUGAAAUGACACGUGUCAUUAUGACCCAUGUGUAAUGGGGUCGAUUUGGGUCCUACAGUGUUGAAAACUUCGACAUCCACUUUUGGCCUUUUGCUUUCUCUACAGCCGCCUUGCUUUUUCCCUCUUUCCUUUUGUUUUCCUCCUGCCCCAUUCUAUCAACUAAACACAAUUAUGUAGUUGUUUAAUUCUUAAAUGAGAUAUUAUCCGUCAAUCGUAUUAUAUUUUAUCAAGAGAGAACGGAGUGCAAUGUGGCUGUAAUUUUAUCGUUUAGUUUUAUCUCUUGGACCACUGCAUUUUUGUUAAGAGGUGCAAUAAUACACGUCUUUAUCUGCCAUUCAAUAUUUACAGUAAAGAGAGGGCACAAAACUCUUCACUUCGCACCAUAAUUAUUUUGUUUUCUGGACACCCCGGGGCCCUUUGGUUGGUUUGGGGGUCAGAAAGUGAACAUCAUAGGGGGUUUUUCCCUUAUGUGCAUUUGUAUCUGAUGGCUUUAACUCGCCUUGUUACUACAAAGAAACUGUCACAGAUAGGAACUUAUUCCAGGCUGAGUAUCUCCUCAUAGACCCUAUAAAAGAAGACAAGUCAUAAUGAACAUCUAACCUUUGUUCAAUUUGAUUCAAUGCCCCCAUUGUGUCCAUCUCACAAAUCUGAAUUAUUAUAUCCAUUGAAUACAUAAAUUAAUGAAGAAAAUAUGAAACCCAAGAUACAUCUCUGCACAACCUCAACCCUGGUUGCUAUGUUUCCCUUCUAUUCACAUGAUUUGAUGCUAAUUGCCAAACUUGCAACAAGCCCUGAGUUUGACACCUAGUAUCGAUGGGCGAAUUUAAAGUCUCCUCCAAACAUAUAUUCCACAGCUUGAAGCUCACAGAAGAUGUUACAGGCAGGGAAAAACCUUCAGAGUUCGCUACCAAAGAUAAUUAUUAAGGAGAUAUCACAAAGAGAAUUCCAAGGGGUCUGAAUCAAAGACAAAUUGGUCGUUCGUGGGGGUUCUUACUUUCUUUUGGGUAUAACUCACUGAGGGCACUGUCUUUGUUAUUUGCAUUUCACAUUUAGAGUUCUGUUCUGGAAACAUAUAAAAGGAGCAUCAUUUUGUUCUUGGGUAACCCAUAGUCGUGAGUGGGUCCAUUUGCAUGCUACUUAGUUGAAAAGUUGGACCAUUUGCUCCGACGCCUACCUCCCGGAUUCCAUGCUCGGAUAAAACAAGAAUAAAAAAAAUAUUUAUAAUUUACAAAUGGGGGAAAGAAAAAAAUGUCAACAACAAACCAGGAAAAAAGAGUAGUAAAAUUCAUGUCACAUGCUAGUGAGAGAAGGGGUUGUUACACUCACUCGAAGUUCUUUCCAAAAUAUCGCAUGGUAUUUUAUUUUAUGUGUCAGCGCAGUUGUGAAUGGAACGUGCAAAAGUCCAAAUUGGCGUUUUUCCUUUUCCCGUGUAGGAUGGCGACCUUUAAUAAAUAUUUAAAACAAAAAACGAAAAAAAGGAGGGAAAAGGGAUCAGAAAAGAUAAAACAAUGUGUACAAGAGCUCAAUUAGUUUGCAAAUUACUGUUUGGAUUUUGAUAGUAUUUUAUUUGUCCAUCUAUAUUUGAUGGAAAAGAGAAUUUAAGAUAUUUCUGAAACAAAAGCAUUAGUGUAAAACUAAAUUAAGGUAUAAUUAAGUUAGUUCAAUGCAUUAAUUUAAGAAACUUGAUCUAUCCAAAGUACAAAAUUAGAUGAAAUCCAUUUCAAUGGUUAAAAUGAUCAAAAUCAAACUUUUUCUAAGUAUUUUUUAAAAGCAUCAAUAUUAAAAGACAAUUUUAUAUUUAGUCGGAGUUUGGACAAAACCAAAAAGCACACAAAAUCCAAGCGACCAUCUCUAGCUUGGAUAGUCACUUGAUCCCACCUAGAGAUGUGCAUGAGUAAAAGGAUUUGAAAAUGGAAAUUGACUAAAUAUUUAGUUGAUCAAUUAAAUUUGCAAUGUCAUAUGCAAUCCUAAUAGCUAGUCAUCUAAUCAAUUAGGUAGUCAAUCAAGUGUUUGUAAUGACUAUUUUGUACAAAAAACCACAUGUAUAGUUAAAUAUAAUGCAUUUCAUUUAUAAAUCUUCUAAUUCUUGAAUAACGAUCCUAUCAUCCUUUGAAAAUUUUUAUUACACCUUUUUUACUUUUGUUCUAAAACUUACAUAUCACCCUUAAUUGUACCAUGAGAACCUAGCUAUUUUUUUUUUUUUUGUAAUUCAUCAAAGUUAGCUUUUGUAUUCAUUGUUGUAUUAUUUUUAGUAUAACUUAGAAAGCUAGUGUUUUCAAGUGAGUAAAAUUAACUUGUAAAUAUUGUAAAGAUUCAUUGAUAUGUAUCUUAAACUAAGUGUACAAAUUAAAACAUUUGCUAGUAGAUUUUCUCAAAAUUUAGAAUAGAGCUUGAGGCUAUUGAAAUAGGUGGGGUUACACCAAACCACAUCACAUCGUUGUUUGCACCUUUUUUCACUCUCUUUUACUUAGUUUCUCUAUAUUUGUUGUCUAGUAAUAUCCUAUAGGCUUGAUGGGUUAGGGAGCAUCCCUUUGUGAAAAAAUUUCAUUCAAUUCUUAGUUGUAUUACGCAUAUAUAAAAUGCCUCAUUGUUUUAAUGGUAUUCAGUCGUGGCAUCACAGAUAUGGGCAUCUAAAUUUUAAAAGUUUGAAACUUUUGUAAAGCAUGUUGAUAAAAUCCAUGAGAGUUGUGUACUUGGGAAGCAACAUCGAGGUGACUUUAUUUUUUUUUCCUUUUAUAAUGCCACACCUAAGUCCGGUUUCUAAAUGCUAAAGUGAAAGGGUAGGUAUGGACCAUUGAAAUGUGAUCACAACUUUUGGCCUUUUCCUUUCUCUGCAGCCAUGUUGUCUCUUUUUUCUUUUGCAUGAUUUUCUUACCAAAACAGAAUCAUAGACUUGUUUAGUCUCUAAGCUACUAUAUUAUAUCUCGGUGGACUUUUAAGAGUGCAACCGACAUAGAGCACAUGCAAGUGGGCAUAUGGGACAUGAAAUUUCUUCUUACAAAGAUUGCAUGAUUUUUAUAUUAGAGUUGUUCACGUGCAAUGUAUUUAGCUUGUUUUGCAGUUAAAUUAAUUGGAUAAGUAAACAUUGGCAUUUCUAAAUCGACUGUGAAGUGCUUCAUGUACGUGUAAAGUAUUAGAAAUUUCUUUCUUGGCAACUUGUUUUUUCCUUGCCAUCUACUGGUAGGUUUGACUAAAAUUAUAUUCCCUGUCAUGCUAAUUAAUUUUCAUGUGCAUGCUCAAAAGAAGAGUAUGACCUUAGUGCACCAAAAUCACUUUGAUUAAUUUGUGAUAGGUUUUUUUGCAUCAUUUAGAUAAUGUUUAGUUCUAAGAAAAAUUUAUAUAAAAAUGGUUUAUUUAUCUUACAUAUAUAUAUAUAUAUAUAUAUUUUUUUUUUUUUCAUUUUUUUUUCUUCUAUUUUAUUUAUUUAUUUUAUUUUCCUUAUGUUUUCCUCACAUUUUCCGGAACUAAACAUAGUCUUACGAAAUCAACAAUUGCCUUCAACUGAGUAGAUUCUGUUGUUUUAGCAAUGUUAGGCUGCUAACUUGUGGUGGUACGAACCAAAUGACCCAUGUUAAUCUUGGCUUGGUUUGAUUUGGCUCUAUCUCAGAGAGCUAAAGGAUCACGUCAACUCUGGUUUCUACUAUUCAGGUCCAUUCCCAGAUGAACUGGUUCAAAUUUGAGAAAAUGGUAACAGACCUUUAGUGAUGUUGGUUUGGAGCCAGUUGCCAAACCCGCCCUGAGCUUUACCACUAAUGUCAAGGGAGAAAGCCAUUUGAACAAAAACAAUAGCUUCAAGAGACUGAAUCGUGGAUGAAAUCUGAUCCACAUUUCUUCUCAUUUUGGGAAAAAAUGAGAACUUAACUACAAAGAUUCUACUGCCUCAUUCAUAGUGCUUUUCCUGAUCCAAGGUUGGUUCGUUUCCCAAAUUGUGAGGUGCACGUGCCACUCUCACGCUCAGGAGUGUAUCCACGUGGUGGACAUCAGAUGGUGGCUUAAUAUCUGGUGUCGGUGGCUUUACUUUACUAGGAGAGUAGUGUGUCUUCAUCUCAUUCACUGCCGGAGGGUGGCGUAAGCAGUGACGCUAAGGUGGGGCACAGUCAAUAUCAUUUGCAUUUGACCAUUAUAGUUUUCUCCCGGCUUGAAAGUAACCUUAUCGUGAUAAAGGAUUACUAGCACUAGUUCAGAUGACCGUCAUGUUAAUUCGGACCAUGUUUGUGUCACAUUAUCAGCAACCAUGUGUUUAUGGUUCAUGCUAUCUGCAACUAAACUUGAUAUAUAACCAGGUGAACUUCAAUCAAAAUUCUGGAAGUACUCUUGUGAUAGAUGGUGCCUGUCUGCAGAGUCCAUCAAUUGAAAAAUGGAGUGAGUGUAUCUAUAAGAGGGAAGGCUUGGCAAAUGUUCAGUUUUCUGGGAAUUCAACAAGGAUCUAAAAUAGAUUGUUUUCUUUGCCGACUUCAAUGGUUGAAAUUUGAGAAGAUUGUGUCCACAUAUCACAACUAUUACUGGUCCUUCUGUUGCAAUUUAUCCUGUAAGGCUCUAACAUGUCUUCCAAUUCCCACUUCCCUGUUACUCCAGGAAAGCUAUUUCUGUCAUUGUGAAGAAGAAAAGAGAAUGUACAUAUCGAUGCUUUUAAGUGACUGGAGCAUUCAUAUCAGGUGGUCUGCAGCCAUAUAUGCCACUUUGUGAAGGUUGGAACAGUCAAUCACUAGGCUAUAUAUUGGUGUGGCCCAGCCACUUCAAUCAAGGACAAGUCUUCAUACUUAAAGUCAAAUUCUGCCUUUAGUCUCAUUAUAAAUUGCUGUUUAAAUAUUAAGCAAACUUUUGUUUAAUGCGAUUAAGACAGUACUAACUCAAUACUUGUUCUAUUUUUGGAUGCAAAUGCUUGAUGGUUUCAUCAUUGGAUGGGAUAAAGGUGCAUUCAUGAUUAUGAAUACUUGUAGUUAUAUUUUCAUUCUCUUUUUUCUCAAUGAGACUUGUUGGCACAAUGUUGCUGUUCAGAAACCUACCUCUCCAUGGAAAAUAAGUUGCGAUUGAUAGUACUGGAUAUGUUCAAGAAAGCUAAAUAUAGAUAGCACAAAAUAUUAUCGAUAUAAAUAGCAUUAACAGCGUACGUAUGUCUCAAUGCUCAUCAGCUAUAAGCAUGGGACAAACACUUACUAUGAGCAACUUACGUCAAAAUUCCAGAAUAGGACAUAGAAGUGACAGAUCUAUAUAUAUAGAACACUGCAUAUGAGUCACAAGAAAGGAAAUUACGGGUGCAUAGCAGCUCUUAUUUUACAUACUACUACUCAUACUGAUCAAAGUCACUCAGUUGGGAUGGGUGGGAGUAGGAGGUUUGUGGGGUGGCUUGUGCGGAGGAGUUGGCAGCUUCUUUCCAGGACCUGGUUGCUUCUCUGCUGGAGUUGAAGGAGGCUUAAUCUUCCGAGGUGGCUUGUAUGAGUCUUCAGCAUUCUCAGCUGGAGGGUGACCAGGGUUGUGACCAUAAUGUGGUGGCUUCUCUCCCUUAGGUGGUUUGCCAACUGGGGUUGGUGGCUUGUAUGAGUCUUCAGCAUUCUCAGCAGGAGGGUGACCAGGGUUGUGACCAUAAUGUGGUGGCUUCUCUCCCUUAGGUGGUUUGCCAACUGGGGUUGGUGGCUUGUGUUCUGGGAGUGGCUUCUCCCCCUUGGGAGGUUUUUCCAAUGGGGUUGGUUUGUGUUCAGGAGGUGGCUUCUCCACUGGAGGCUUGUGUUCAGGAGGUGGCUUCUCCACCGGUGGCUUGUGUUCAGGAGGUGGCUUCUCCACCGGAGGCUUAUGCUCUGGUGGUGGCUUCUCCACCGGAGGCUUAUGCUCUGGUGGUGGCUUCUUGAAUGGGGGAUGCUGAGGGUAAUCAGCAAGUGAGGGGGCGGUGAGAACCACCAGGCCAAGCAACACCACUAGCAAAUAUGUAGGAGACAUCUUUGGGUUUGGGCUCAGAUGGUGCAAAACUAGGAGAAUUGGCUAGCCUUUUAUAGCGGAUCGUACUCAAUAAUGAAAUGACACGUGUCAUUAUGACCCAUGUGUAAUGGGGUCGAUUUGGGUCCUACAGUGUUGAAAACUUCGACAUCCAGUUUUGGCCUUUUGCUUUCUCUACAGCCGCCUUGCUUUUUCCCUCUUUCCUUUUGUUUUCCUCCUGCCCCAUUCUAUCAACUAAACACAAUUAUGUAGUUGUUUAAUUCUUAAAUGAGAUAUUAUCGGUCAAUCGUAUUAUAUUUUAUCAAGAGAGAACGGAGUGCAAUGCAGCUGUAAUUUUAUCGUUUACUUUUAUCUCUUGGACCACUGCAUUUUUGUUAAGAGGUGCAAUAAUACACGUCUUUAUCUGCCAUUCAAUGUUUACAGUAAAGAGAGGGCACAAAACUCUUCACUGCUCUGCAUGUGUCCCAAAAAUGCGAUUGGACAAAUUAUGAUUUGCAUGCUAAAAAGAGGCAAAUGAGGUUAAUUCGCACCAUAAUUAUUUGGUUUUCUGGACACCAUAAAAAGAUGUUAUACAGGCAGGGAAAAACCUUCAGAGUUAGCUACCAAAGAUAAUUAUCAAGCAGAUAUCACCAAGAGAAUUCCAUAGAGUCUGAAUCAAAGACAGAUUGCUCGCUCGUGGGGGUUCUUACUUUCUUUUGGGUAUAACUCACUGAGGUCACUGUCUUUUUUAUUUGCAUUUCACAGUUAGAGUUCUGCUCUGGAAGGUUUGUUCUGGAAACAUAUAAAAGGAGCAUCAUUUUGUUCUUGGGUAACCCAUAGUCGUGAGUGGGUCCAUUUGCAUGCUACUUAGUUGAAAAGUUGGACAAUUUGCUCCGACGCCUACCUCCUGGAUUCCAUGCUCGGUAAAACAAGAAUAAAAAAAAAUAUAUAAUUUACAAAUGGGGGAAAGAAAAAAUGUCGGAAAAAAUAGUAAAAUUCAUGUCACAUGCUAGUGAGAGAAGGGGUUGUUACACUCACUCGAAGUUCUUUUCAAAAUAUCGAAUGGUAUUUUACUUUAUGUGUCAGCGCAGUUGUGAAUGGAACGUGCAAAAGUCCAAAUUGGCGUUUUUAUUUUUCCCAUGUAGGAUGGUGACCUUUAAUAAAUAUUUAAAACAAAAGACGAAAAAAAAAAGGAGGGAAAAGGGAUCACAAAAGAUAAAAUAAUGUUUACAAAAGCUCAAUUAGUUUGCAAAUUACUGUUUGGAUUUUGAUAGUAUUUUAUUUGUCGUUCUAUAUUUGAUGUAAAAGAGAAUUUAAGAUAUUUCCGAAGCAAAAGCAUUAGUUUGCUCUGUGAUGUCCCACAUCGAAUAGGGGAGAAAGUUUCUGGCGCUAUAUAUGUAGAGGCUCCUCUUAACCAAGUAGAUGCGUUUUAAAACCAUGAGGGCCCCCUUAGGUCCAAAGCGGACAAUAUCUACAUGAUUGGGUGUAAGUCAUUACAAAUGGUAUCAGAGCCGAUCCCCGACCCCGGUGUGGGGGUUUGUUUGGCCCUGUAAGGGGUGUUUGUCUGUUUGACCCCACAAUCCCAUGGGACACAACGAGGACGUUGUGUCUGCAUGGGGGGGCGUUUGUGAUGUCCCACAUCGGAUAGGGGAGAAAGUUCCUAGUGCUAUAUAUGUAGAUGUUUCUCUUAACCAAGUAGAUGCAUUUUAAAAUUGUGAGGGCCUCUUUGGGCCCAAAGCGGACAAUAUCUACAUGGUUGAGUGUAAGUCAUUACAUGCUCCAUGUCAAUUUCAGCAUUUCUCAUAUGUUUCACACAUACACAGAAGAGCAUCGUUUUUUAAAGCAUGCAUUUAUGUUGGAUUAAUUUGGAUUUUGUGGGAACUGGGGCAAGGAUCACAUGGAAGAGAGGUUGACUUUUUUCAGUACUUCAAUGGUUGAAAUAUGUGAAGGCUUGAUUGAUACUAAAGCUUGAAAUUGCGACUCUGUCAUUUGUAAAAAAAUAUGACAGCUUCCAUGCUCUCGUUUGGUUGCAUUGUCCGGUCGAGAGGUGCAAAAAGCAUUCUCUCUCUUCUAAUAGUCUUUUCGUUUAAAUCAAGGGAUUUGCCUUCCCGGUCGAGGUCCAAUAGAGGGUAACGGUCACCUACUAAACAUUAAAUGCUCCAACAACUAGUGAACUGAUCGACCCCAGCUCGACUAGUUGAGGUUACUUUUUGGUUUUCUUGUCUCCCGAGGUUAGAAACCUAUAAAUAGAGAGCUUCACUUCAUUUAUGAGUAAGAGAACACCUAAAUUUAUUUGUUUACCUACUUGUUUUUGCCAUAAAAGCUCUCAUUUCUUUUCUUGGUGUAUUAAAUCUCCAUUUGCAUAUCCUUUAGUGCACCUUUGUGAUUCAUUCUAGCCUUGAGUUGUAUUUAAGCCUUUGUUGAGCUAGGUUGAGAGUUUCAUACUUGUUUAUUGAGUGUUAAAGCCUUCAAGUGAGUUAAAACUUGAAGAGAUUGUGUAAGAGCCCAUUGGAGUCGGAAUCCAAGUGUAAAGGUGAUUAAAAGCUUGGUUGAAGCUUCAAGUUAGUGGAACUCUCACUCGGUUAUGAGCUUGAGAAGAGUGGACAUAGACAAGGCAGUGUCGAACCACUAUAAAAUCUGAGUUUGAUUUCUCUAACCUUAUCUCUUUAUAUUUGCUUCUCUUGUGCUUAAAUUUUUUGUGUUUAAAAAGAAUUUUUAAAAACUCAAUUCACCCCCUUCUUGGGAGUUUUUCUCUUUUAAGAUCAGCUUUUAUUUUCUCAAUUGGUAUCAGAACUAUGCCUCUUGUUUAAGACUUAAUCGUCUAAGAGGAAAUGGCUAAUCCAUCAAGUUCAUCUCACAUUGAAAGUUUUGCAACCAAUAGACUUCUUUUUUUUUUUUUGCGGGAACUGAUUAUCCCUAUUGGAAAACUAAAAUGACUUGGUUUUUACAAUCAAUUGAUUUAGAUGUAUGAGAUGCCAUUGAAGAUGACCUAACUUUUCCUUCAAAACUAGUUGAUGGAGUCAUGGUUCCAAAACCUAAGCAAGAAUGGGAUGAGCGUGAUUGAAGAAAUUUUCAAUUAAAUGCUAAAGUCGUUUAUACUUUGCAAUGCUCUAUGGACAGAAAUGAAUAUAAUAGAAUAUGUCAAUGCAAAUCGGUUAAAGAAAUUUGGAGAUUGCUUGAAAUAACUCAUAAAGGAACAAAUCAAGUUAAAGAGUCAAAAAUCAAUUUACUUGUUCAUAGAUAUGAAUUGUUUUUUAUGAAAGAUAAUGAAACUAUUGUUAAGAUGAUCACUAGGUUCACCAACAUUGUUAAUGGUCUUAAAGCCUUGGGAAAGACCUACAAGGAAUCCGAAAACGUGAUGAAGAUCUUGAGGUCACUUCCAUCAAAGUGGCAUACCAAGGUCACCGCAAUUUAAGAAGCAAAAGACUUGAUCAAGCUACCUUUGGAGGAGUUCAUAGGGUCAUUGAUGACAUAUGAAAUCAAUUUGGCAAAGAAGUAACAAAAAGGUGAAGACAAAAAGAAGAAGAACAUAACUCUCAAAGCUACAACUAAGGAAGAAGAAGUUGAAGAAGAAAAACAAAUUGAAGAAGAUGAAGAUUUAGCCCUCAUCACAAGAAAGUUCAACAAAUUCAUGAGGGGUGAAAGGUUUAGAAGAAGAAGGUUCACUUCUAGAAGAGACUUUUCUAAAAAGGAAUCUUCAUCUAAUGGUGACAAAAAGAGAUGGGAAGAGAAAAGAGACUUGGUGUGUUUCAAGUGCAAGAAACCGGGACACAUUAAAUAUGAUUGUCCUCUCUACAAAAGUGAAGUCAAGAGGAAAAAGAAUAAGGCAAUGAUGGCCACUUAGAGUGAAAGUGAAGAUGAAUCAUCCGAAGAAGAAAAUGAGAAAGAAGUGGCAAACAUGUGUUUCAUGGCAAUAGAUGAACUUGAUGAGGUAAAAUCUAACCUUAGUGAUUAAGAUAUACAUGAUGCAUUUGAAGAAUUGUAUGAGGAUUUUUAAAAACUUAGUUUGAAAAAUAUUUCUCUUAAAAAGAAAGUUCAACAACUUGACAAAGAACUUAGAGAAGUAAAAGAAAAAUUUUCAAAUGUUAAAGUUUCUAAAACUCAUCUUGAAAAAGAAAAUGAGAUUCUAAGAAAGAAAAAUGAAUAGUUGAACUCCUCUCUUUCAAUCUUUUCUUCUAGACAAAAAUCUUUUGAAAUGAUUCUAACUAGCUAAAAAUGUGUUUUUGACAAACAAGGGUUAAGAUUUAAAUCUUCAAAAAAUCAAAAGUAUUUUAAAAACUAUUUUGUAAAGGAAUCCACAAGUGCAAGUCCUUCCACUACUUGCAACUUUUGUGGAAGAGAAUGGCACAUUAGUAGUACGCCCUUUAAGAAAUGGUUCUCAAAAGAAUUUAAAUGCAAAAACUAAAAAAGAUUUGGAUUGAGAAAUCCAAGGUCACUAACCCUCAAGGACCCAAAAAGAUAUAGGUACCUAAAUCAACUUGAGUUUUAUGUUGUAAGGUUCAAAGAAUGAUAAGUGGUUCUUAGAUAAUGGUUGCUCAAGACACAUGACCGGAGAUGAAUCCAAGUUUGCUUUUCUUAAAAAGAAAAAUGGAGGAUAUGUUACCUUUGGAGACAAUGCAAAAGAAAGGAUGAUUGGUCAAGGCAACAUUGGUAAUGGCACAUCCUCUCUCAUUGAAAGUGUUUUAUUAGUAGAUGGUUUCAAACAUAACCUUUUAAGCAUUAGUCAAUUUUGCGACAAAGGUUUUUAAGUGAUUUUUUAAGCAUCUCAUUGCAUCAUCAAGGAUAUUCAAAAUGAUAAAACCAUUUUCAUGGGCCAUAGAUGUGAUAAUGUUUAUGCUAUAAAUAUUUCAAAAUAUGAUGGCCAUGAUAGAUGUUUUUCAAGCAUGCAUGAUCAAAGUUGGUUGUGCCAUAGGAGAUUGAGACAUGCUAACAUAGACCUCAUUUCCCAACUCAACAAAGAUGAACUUGUUAGAGGCCUUCCCAAAAUAAUUUUUUAAAAAGAUAAAGUUUGUGAAGCUUGUCAAGUGGGAAAGUAAAUCAAAAACUCUUUUAAAAACAAAAACUUCAUUUCCACAUCUAGGCCACUUGAGUUGUUGCAUAUGGAUUUAUUUGGUCCCUCUAGGACACCAAGUCUUAGAGGAAAUUCUUAUGCAUAUGCUAUUGUGGACGACUUCUCUAGAUACACAUGAGUCUUGUUUUUUAGUCAAAAGAAUAAAGUUUUUUAUGAGUUUUCAAAGUUUUGCAAUAAGAUUCAAAAUGAAAAAGGUUUUUCAAUUACUUAUAUAAGAAGUGAUCAUGGGAGAGAAUUCGAAAAUAUUGAUUUUGAAGAGUAUUGCAAUGAGCAUGGAAUUGACCACAAUUUUUUGGCUCUUAGAACUCCUCAACAAAAUGGGGUAGUUGAAAGGAAAAAUAGAACUCUUCAAAAAAUGACAAGAACCAUACUAAAUGAAAACAACUUACCAAAAUAUUUUUAGGCCAAAACGGUUAACACUUCUUGUUAUGUUUUAAAUAGAGUAUUAUUGAGGCUCAUACUUAAGAAAACUCCCUAUGAGCUUUGGAAAAACAAAAAACCCAACAUUAGUUAUUCCAAAGUCUUUGGAUGCAAUAUUUUAUAAUAAACACCAAAGACAAUCUUGGAAAAUUUGAUGCAAAAUUGGAUGUUGGAAUUUUCCUUGGUUACUCAACUUCAAGUAAAGCUUUUCGAGUUUUAACAAAAGAACCAUGGUUGUAGAGGAGUCCAUCCAUGUUAUUUUUUAUGAAUCUCCAAGAAAGAGAGAGGAUUGAUGAUGAUUUAGGUUUGAAGACCUCUAUAGGAAGAUUGCAAAUCGAAGAUAGAAGACAACAAGAAGAAAAUGGAGAGAAUCCAAAGAAAGAAGGAUCACCAUUGGCACUACCCCCUCAUCAACAAGCGCAAGGUGAAUCAAGUCAAGAGCUUCCUAAAGAAUGGAAGUUUGUCAUCAAUCACCCACAAGAUCAAAUUAUAGGCAAUCCAUCUAGUGGGGUAAGAACUAGAUCCUCUCUUAGAAAUAUUUGCAAUAAUCUAGCUUUUAUCUCUCAAAUUGAGCCUAAAAAUAUAAAUGAUGUUUUAGAUGAUGAAAAUUGGAUAAUUGCAAUGCAAGAAGAGUUAAAUCCAUUUGAAAGAAGUGGAGUAUGGGAAUUAGUACCAAGACCUUCAAAUCAAAGUGUUAUUGGAACUAGAUGGAUCUUUAGAAAUAAAAUGGAUGAAAAUAGCAUAAUUGUUAGAAAUAAAGCAAGAUUGGUAGCCCAAGGUUUUAAUCAAGAAGAAAUGAUAGAUUAUGAAGAAACCUUUGCCCCCGUAGCUAGGUUGGAAGCCAUUAGGAUGCUACUUGCCUUUGCAUGUUUUAAAGACUUUGUUUUAUAUCAAAUGGAUGUGAAAAGUGCUUUUUUAAAUGGUUUUAUAAAUGAAGAAGUAUAUGUUGAACAACCACCCGGUUUUCAAAGUUUCAACUUUCCUAACCAUGUUUUUAAACUUAAAAAGACACUUUAUGGUUUGAAACAAGCACCUAGAUCAUGGUAUGAAAAAUUGAGUAAAUUUCUUUUGAAAAAAAUGUUUUAAAAUGGGAAAAAUUGACACAACUCUUUUUAUAAAAACCAAAGAAAAUGAUAUGCUCUUAGUUCAAAUAUAUAUUGAUGAUAUCAUUUUUGGUGCUACUAAUGUCUCUCUUUAUGAAGAAUUUUCUAAGUGCAUGCAUAGUGAGUUUGAAAUGAGCAUGAUAGGAGAACUCAACUUCUUCCUUGGACUUCAAAUCAAGCAACUAAAGGAAUGAACCUUCAUCAAUCAAGCAAAGUAUAUAAGAGAUCUUCUCAAAAGGUUCAACAUGGAAGAAGCCAAAACAAUGAAGACUCUAAUGAGCUCAUCCAUUAAGCUUGAUAAGGAUGAGAAAGGUAAAUCCAUUGACUCUAUUAUGUAUAGAGGCAUGAUAGGUUCUUUGCUCUAUUUGACCACUAGUAGACCUUACAUUAUGUAUAGUGUGUGUUUGUGUACUAGAUUUCAAUCUUGUCUUAAAAAAUCUCACUUAAGUGUCGUGAAAAGAAUCCUCAAAUAUUUGAAAGGGACAAUGGACAUAGGCUUAUGGUAUCCUAAGAGUGAUAACUUUGAAUUAAUUGGUUUUUUGGAUGCUGAUUUUGUCAGUUGUAGGGUUGAAAAAUAAAACACUAGUGGCACUUUUCAUUUCUUAAGACACUUACUUGUCUCAUGGCAUAAUAAGAAGCAAAAUUUGGUAGCUUUGUCAACAGCAGAAGCUAAAUACAUAGCAACUGGUUUAUGUUGUGCACAAAUCCUUUGGAUGAAAUAAACACUUAGUGAUUUUGAUUUAUCUUUUGAGCAUAUUCCUAUUAAAUGUGAUAAUAGUAGUGCCAUAAGUAUAUCAAAAAAUCUCGUGCAACACUCUAGGACUAAGCAUAUAGAGAUUAGACAUAAUUUUCUUAGAUAUCAUACACAAAAGGAUGAUAUAACACUUGAAUUUGUAAGCAUAAAAGACCAACUUGCCGAUAUCUUUACAAAACCUCUAAGAACAUUUUGUUGAUAUUAGAGGACAAUUAGGAGUGAUUUCUUUAUGAUCUAAUGUGAUGAAUUCUUGAUGAAUAUACUUUUUGAUUGCAUGAAUUUCAUGUCAUAUAUGCAUCAUAUAGAAAUAUACUUAGAUAAUGGUCAAAUUUCGACCAAAAAUCAAAAUUCCCAUGGCAUUAGGCAUAAAAAUUUUGGAAUUUCAACUGAAAAUGGUAGGAGGAGGAUCACAAAAUGAGAAAGUAUGCAAAAAUUGAAAAAUCAAAACGUUGACCAAGCGGUCAAUCGGACUAGACCGAUCGACUAGUUUGUCGAGAUUUAGGAUUUUUAAGAGACUCCAACGCUUCAAUUUUUGCACCGUUCUCCUCUAUUUCUUCACGGUUUCUCUGAUUUUGUCUUUUAGAGACUAAUUUGAGUGCGUUUUGGAUCAAUUGAAGCAUUUUGGAUUGGAUUUUAGGAAGAUUGAAAGUUAAGGUUUCGGAUUUGGGUCGCCUUCUCUUCCUCUCGCGUGUCACAAUCAGCUUUAGCAUUGUUCUCUUUCCAUUUUCACACACCUAGGGUUUCAGUUGUGAGCAUCUCUCUCUCUUUACCAACCACUACUCCCUUGCUUCUUCCAUAUGGCUCCUAGGCGAGAGUCCGCUACUUCUAGGGCACAAGGCAAGCACCCAACUGAGUCGUCUCAGUCAAAGGCACGUCGAAAAGUGAGAUUUGACAUUGCCUUGUUCAGUUCCAUGGAGGACUACCAACUAUACAAGCAACACUUUGCUUAGAGACGAGUAGUUCCCAAGAGAAAUAUUAAUUUUCCUCAACUUCAGCAUUUCGAAUUUAAGGGUCUAUUUACUAGGAUGGUUGGUUGUCUAUUGUCACAAUUUCGGAGCCGGUUUUCCUGACCUUAGUGCGAGUUUUUUACUCGAGGGCGACUUAUGGCAUGGGUGGCAUGAUCAUUUCUACUGUUGGAGGAGUUGAGAUCUGUCUGGACCCAGAGAGCAUCUGCCAUAUUUUCGAUAUUGCUCUGGUUGGACUCAAAGUAUACAAGUCCAAAAUGUGGCCCAUUGUGCCAGGAUUUGAGCUUAGAGAGGUCAUUCAGAGGAUUUGUGAACUUCCAGACGCCCAGGAGAUGGGCAAACCAUUGCCACACAGUUUGACGGUCAUCAACAGGGUGCUACACCAUAUAUUGUGCUCUAUCUUUCUACCACGAAGUGGACAUUGAGAUGAGGUCUCUUAUUAUGAGGCAUUCCUUAUUGACUCCAUUCUAACGGAGAGACGAAUUCAUCUACUAUGUCAUCAUUCACUAAGCCUCCUCACAGUGACAUACCACCUCAUCAGGCACCUCUUGCUCCUGACCAUGCUCCAUUGAUGGAUUUAUUUACUCAUAUUAGCUCUCUAGGCACUCGCAUGAAGGAGUUUGUUGUAGUUAGUGAUACAUGGUUCUACUCCAUAGAGGAUCGCAUGGAUCAGUAUCAGACUGGCUUCACGUCACAGUUUGAGUAUCUCCAAUAGAGGAUUGAGCAUAUUGAGGAUCACUUGAGCAUGAGAAGAUGAUGGCUUUUCUAUGCUCUGUGUUUCCACCUCCACCUCGUCAACCUUGAUUUCUUAGAGACCCAUUGUUUUCAUUUUGUAAUGUUGCCAAAAGGGGGAGAUAUUUAGGAUCUAGGACUCUAUAGGAGACUUACAUGCAUAUCAUUUUCAUAUCAUUGUUUGGAUCGUACAUAUUGGAUAGUGAUACUUUUUACUUAUAUAUGAUAUGCCUAUAUGUUUCAUGUCUUACAUUGUUUCUUAUUGCAAAUUAUCUCUAACAUGUCUUGAUUAUCUUUUUUUUAACUUCAUAAAUUUUGAUUGUUAACCCAUGAUUGGUUUGAGGGGAAGAUUCUUCUUCUCCUAGAUAACCAAGGUUUGUCAUCAUAAAAAAAUUGGAGAUUGUUAGCCCAAGGGUUCUCCUAAUCAUGUUUUGAUGAUAACAAACCAUGCUUAAGUUACUAAUUGGUUUGAAUUAUAAAGAAUUUCAAGUGUUAAUUUGAAAAUUCAUCAAAGAACCUAAUGGAUGCAAGAUCAAGAUUUUUGGAAGACCUUUAAUCAUAAGAAACAUAUGUAAGAUGAAUGCAUGGGUGCACUUAAGAUUUGCAUAUCAUUUCAUGCAUAUUUGGAAAACACGGUUUAUGCUUUAAAGUUACAUUUCCAUCAAAAUUUGAGAUCCAUCAAAUGAACCUUAGGAAAAAUGUUUUAAAAUUGGCAUAUAAUUUUACCUAAAGACCUUGCCUAAGUGUUAGAAGCAAAAGGACAAAAAAAAUAUAGGUUUUCUGGUCAAAAAUGGUGAACCAGUCAAGGCAUUGUCUAAAUCAGCUCAAUCGGCCAAGGUACCGGUCGAUCGGUUUCCCUUUCCCUGUCGAGAUCUAGUCAAGAGGUACAAAAAUCACAAUCUCUGUCUCUUUCUCUCUUUGUCUAUCUUCCAGUAGUCUUUCCUUCCCGGUCGAGGGAUUUGCCUUCCCGAUUGAGGUCCGAUUGAGAGUAAUAGUCACUUGCCAAAUAUUAAAUGCUCCAACAGUUAGUGAACUGGUCGACCCCCACCUUGCCCAGUUGAGGUUACUUUUUGGUUUUCUUGGCUCCCGAUGUUAGAAACCUAUAAAUAGAGAGUUCCACUUCAUUUAUGAGCAAGAGAACACUUGCAUUUAUUUGUUUACCUACUUGUUCUUGCCUUAAAAGCUCUCAUUUCUUUUCUUGGUGCAUUAAAUCUCCAUUUUGAUAUCCUUUAGUGCACCUUUGUGAUUCAUCUUAGCCUUGAGUUGUAUUUGAGCCCUUUUUUUAGCUAGGUUGAGAGUUUCAUACUUGUUAAUUGAGUGUUAAAGCCUUCAAGUGAGUUGAAACUUGUAGAGAUUAUGUGAGAGUCGAUUGGAGCCGAAAUCCAAGUGUAAAGGUGAUUAGAAGCUUGGUUGAAGCUUCAAGUUAGUGGAAUCCUCACUCAAUUAGGAGCUUGAGGAGAGUGGACGUAGCCAAGGAAGUGUCGAACCACUAUAAAAUUUGAGUUUGAUUUCUCUAACAUUGUCUCUUUAUAUUUGUUUAUCUUGUGCUUAAAUUUAUUGUGUUUAAAAAGAAUUUUUAAAUACCCAAUUCACCCCCCUCUUGGGUGUUUUUCUCUUUUAAAAUUAGCCUUUAUUUUCUCACAAACUAUUGUAGUAUAGUGGUUUUUAGGUGUCAUCCAUUAGGAUGAAUUGUUCUCGGUAAUUAAGGCGUGAAUGAGAGGAGAAUUAAUGAUUGUGAUUAAGUAAAAUUGAUUUGAAAAUUCAUGGUGAAAAAUCAAUUUAACAAUGGUUUCUAAUUGAGAAAAACAAUGAAAUGUGAAAUAAAAUAAAAUUAAUAGGAAAUGAAAUUCUCGAAGUUAGAAUUUUCUAAAAAACAAAUUCCAUGGUGAAUGGAUGUUGAGAUCUAAUUUUCAUCAAGUUAGAUUGAAAACCGAAAUUUUCAUAUAAACUGAUUUUUUAUUUAGUUUUAGGUCUAGAUUUAAUUUCCCUUAAAAUUAGGUUAUUUAAUCCAAGAAAUCAAUUCAAAUCAUAUAUUCAAUUCAUCUUAAAUUAUCUUCCAAUUAUUCACACAAUGCAACUAUUCAAUCUCAUCAAAUCUAGCUUUUAAGAAUUUAAUGAAUCUACCUAGUUUGCAUUGUAAUAGUCAUCCAUGACAAUUUGAAGAGAAAAAUAAUUCAAUUAAUCAAUCACUUGGAUCAAAUUACCUUUGCAAUUAAAGUUCAUUUCUCUAAUUCACCACAGAUUUUGUCUCUAGAUCCUCCUUUCUCAAAGAAAAAUGAGAUUUAGCCACACAUGAUUGGAGAUUUGGUCUCAUAAGGCAUGUUUAGCUAGUGAUAAAAUGAGAGAAAAUAAAGAAAAAUAGAGAAUUCGAUUAAGAAAGAAAAUCUAAAAAAUUCUACAAUUAGAAAUGUCCAAAAAGCUUUUUCAUGAGAAAAUCAAGUUUCUAUUUAUAGGCCAAGGUCAAGUGGACACUUGACAUCAUCUAAGAGGUCUUCCGGAAGCUUCUUCAUCAAGAAAUCUGGAGUUUAAUAAUAAAAUGGUCAUUUCACAAGAGCUCAAACAAUUUCGCAUGAUUAUGUGAAAUAAAAAAUGCAACAACAGCAAUUUACAUCUUCUUGGAGCAUUUCGCAUGACUGUGUGAAAUUUUCACAUGAUCAUGUGGAAUCGACUUGACAACUCUCAUUUAGCCUACAACAUAAUUCCACCUUUUGGUCCAUUUUUCAUAGUCAUGCGAAAUGGAAAUAUUUGAUUUUUAAGUUUUCUUUUGUCAUUUCUUUCAUUUCCUUCUCUUGAUUCCACUUCAACUACCUCCGAAUCCUGGUCCAAACCAAUUGCAUUACUUCUUUCAUUAUGCAUUUGGAUCAUCAUCAACAUUAUUUGUUCUCUUCAAUUUGAUUCAUCUCUUUUGUCACCAAUUUAUCAAAAUCAUACCUUGAAAUGACUCCAAAACUUCAUAAAACUUGUUAGUAACUCUUGCAAGGGCAACAACAUAUUAAUUAAGUGUUUUAGGCAUAGUUACUACUCAAAAGAUGCGAAACUCAUGAUAAUUAUUAUAUAAAAUAUGCUCUUUUUGAGUAGUAAUCAACUUUCUUGCAUAAGCAGACCUUUUAGGGUGGAGUACUAAAGACCAAUAUGCUUGUCCUUGUUGUAAUAAAGAAACUUGCUCUUAUUGAUUGCACCAUGGGAGAAAAUUUUGCUACAUGAGUUAUCAUCAAUUUCUUCCCACCAAUCAUAGAUUUAGACGUGACAAGAGGCCUCUUAAUGGCAAGGAGGAACUGACACUCACACUUAUACAAUUAUCGGGCAUUGAUGUGUUGCAACAAUUAGAAUAACUUACACCAAUUAUGUUGGGGAAGUCACAAAAGGCAAACAUGAAAACUAAAAGGAAAAAAGAAAAAUGUUACAUAUCACCACAACUGGAAAGAAAAAAGUAUUUACUUUCAUUUGCCAUAUUGGAAAGCACUUAUUUUACAUCAUAAUAAUUUAGACAUAAUGCAUAUUGAGAAAAAUGUGUGACAAUAUAAUUGAGACAUUGUUCAGUAUUGACGAAGAAACAAGGACAACCUAAAUAGUCAUCUCGAUUUACAAGCUCUAACUAUUAGAAAUGAGAUUCACCCAAUAGAAAGCAGGACCAAAUUUAUUUUGCUUGCAACAUGCUACUCACUCACCCCAAAUGAGAUUAAGGAAUUUUGCAAGUUUUUGAAAUCAAUAAAGGUCCCCAAUGGCUAUUCUUUCAAUAUCUCUCGUUAUGUGCAACUCAAUGAAAGGAAGAUAUAUGAGCUCAAAUUGUAUGAUUGUCAUGUCCUAAUGCAACAACUUCUCUCACUUGUAGUUCGUGGAGUUCUACAUAAGAAUGUUUGUGGAGUUAUCAUAGAAUUGCGUAAUUUUUUCAAGCAAUUGUGCUCAAAGGUGUUAGAAACAAAUCACUUACACCAACUUGAGAACAAUAUUAUUGUCAUACUAUGUAAAAUGGAGCAAAUAUUUCUUCCAUCAUUCUUUGAUAUUAUGGUGCAUUUACUUGUGCAUCUAGUAAGGCAAAGGUUGCAAGACUUGUGCAAUAUUGUUGGAUGUACCUAAUUGAACGAUAUUGUUAUAAUUUCAUAUGAAUCAUUUAAUUUUAUUUUAUAUUAUGUUCAGUUCAUUAACAUGUACAUUGGUCUACAUAUGGAUGAUGAUAGGUACCUAAGCACUUUAAAGUCAUAUGUGCGUAAUAGAACUUUUCUAGAAGGUUCUAUUGUAGAAAGGUACCUUGCAAAAGAAUGUACAACAUUUUAUUCUAGGUACUUGAAUGAUGUGGAAAUAAAGUAUAAUCACAAUGAUAGAAACUUUGUUGGUUUCAACACUAGAGGAGAUGAAAGGGGUUAUCUUUAAACAUAUUGGACAUGCAUUGGGAAAGCCCAUAUUUCAUUAACUUAGUUCAAAAGAGUGGUCACAAGCACAUUUAUAUGUGUUGACAAAUUGCGAAGAUGUCAUACCAUUCAUUGAGUAAAAAAUUUAUUUGAAUUUUAAUUAAAGCUCUAGUUUAUAUCCUUAAUCAAUGUUUUUUAAAUUCACAAGGAGCACAAGCAAACCAUCAAGGCUAGACCACAUAUACGUGUUUGAGACGUAGAUUUAAUUCAUAACAAGGAAUUUAUCAAGUGGUUUGAAAGACAUGUAAGUAUAUUCCUUAUUAUAAGGGAUUUAUUUCACAUUAUGUUUAUAUUGAAUCCAAACCUAUUAUUGAAUUGUAGGUUGAACAAUUACAUAAUGAAGGUCAUAUAUCUGAACACCUUCUCACAUUAUCAUGUGUUCCAAAUUCAUUAGUUACAUGCUUCAAAUGAUAUAUUGUCAAUGGAUUUAGAUCCCACAUUAAAGAACGUGAUAAAAAAGUUUUUAAAAAAAGACUCAGAAUAAUGGAAUUGUUGUAGUUGCAAAAACGUCAAGCUUUACAAGUGCAUGUGAUAUGAGUCCAAUUAUUAGUGAUGCUCUCUACUAUGGUGUUCUAACUAAAGUUGUUGAGUUACAUUAUCUUGGUGAAAAUAAGGUUGUUUUAUUCGAGUUUGAUUGGUGGGAUGUUACAAAUAUUGGAAAAUUGAUAAAAGAUGAUGAGUACAAUUACACAUUUGUUAACUUUGCAUGAAUUCUAACCACGAACGAACGAUUUGUACUUGCAUCUCCAGCAAAGUAAGUGUUCUAUGUGAAGAAUGCGAAUGAAUCAGAUUGGCAUACUAUCAUGGAGAUGCAACCUCAAGACCUCUAUAAGAUGAACGGGAUAGGAUCCAAUGGUGAUUUUGAACCAUUUCAACAAAGUGAACUACAUGAUCACUAAUAUAUCUCAGAUUUAGUUGAUGAAGAUAUAAUCAAGUGGAACAAAAGUGAUGUUUUAGGACUAAUCAUCCUAAAAAAUAUUGUAGUUUCUUAAAAAAAAAAUGAAAAUGAAGAAGAUAAUUGAACCUUUGUCAUACUUUAAAAAGCAACUAUGCAUUGUUCAUUUUGUAUGUUUUGGUUUUCUUCAUUUAAUUUCCUGAUUUUUGUGAUUCAAUGUCAUAUUAUUGAUCUUGAAAUAUUUUUCUAAUUUUUCAUUCUACGAUGGUUUCAACAAGGAUGACAUCAAGUCAAAAAAGGAAAUGUGGUCCCACACACAAUAUUGCAUUACAGGGAUUAAGGUCAGGGAAGAAGGUAAAAGUUGCAUUUAAUGAGUACAAUCAAUUGGUUAAACAGAAAAAUGGAAAACACUUAUCGAGCUACAUAGGGACACUUGUAUCUAACCAACACAAUGUACCUCUCCAAGCUAGUGAUUGGAAAAAUGUUCCAAAUGAUGCAAAAGAGAAAGUAUGGCCUUUGUUUUGGUAUGUUGUAUUUCUCACUAUAUGAUGUCAUUUCACUGUUAUUCUAUUUUGUGACUAACGUUUGAAUCAUAUGUAAGAAAAAUUUGAAGUAGAUAAAGACUGAAAAGAUUACAUGUUGGGUAUAGCCUCAAAUAAAUAUAGAAGCUAUAAAAAUAUGAUGAAUGCAAAAUACUAUGACCCUUGGCAUAAGGAUGCAUGAGGAGAGGUUAAUACAUAAAUCACCAUUUGUCUCUGAUGUUGAUUGGAAGUGGCUUGUCUCUGAUGCAUAAACCAAAUCCCCCACUGAAUGUUUGAUAUUUGAUAGCAGGAAAAACACACCCGCAGCUAUACACCUCCAUCAUUCAGAUAAUUAUAGUGGGGGAGAUGAUUCAUGGUUGCCCUUAUACCCUUUAUUUGCACCAUCUAUUGAGAUUCUUUAUCAUGGCCAGGUUUUACUGCAGCAAUAAGAUAUGGUGGCAACAAUUUUAUCUAUAGGUGCGGUUCCAGACCGCCUCCAUAGGUGCGGUUCCUGACUGCCUCCAUAGGUGCCUCUUCUUGUAAUGUUUGUUCUGGGAAUUACACUUGAAAGCCUUAUCGUGAUAAGGGAUUACAAACACUAGUUCAGAGGACAGCCAUGUUAAACUUCCACUAUGUUUGUGUCACAUUAUCAGCAGCCUAGUGUUUAUUGGUCAUGCUAUCUGCAACUAAUAUAACCCGGUGAACUUCAAUCUAAAUUCUGAAAGUACUCAUGUGACAGAUGGUGCCUUUCAGCAGAUAUCAUCAAUUUAAAAGUAGUGUGUGUGCCUAUAGGUGGGAAGGCCUUGGCAAAUGUUCAGUAUUCCGGUAAUUCAAGAAGGAUAUAUCUAAAAUAGAUUUUCUUCUUGCCCAUUUCAAUAGUUAAAAUUUGAGAAGAUUGUGUCCACAUCACACAAAUAUUAUUGGUCCUUCUGUUGCAAUUUACCUCUGAACAUGUCUUCCAAUUCCCACGGUCCUGUUACUCCAGGAAAACUAUUUCGGUCAUAUUGAAAAAAAAAAUAUUAAAGAAGGUACACAUGCUUUUAAGUGGACUGGGGCAUUCAUAUCAGGUGGUCUGUAUCCACAUAUGCCACUUCGUGAAAGGUGGAACAGCCUAAUCACUAGGCUAUUUAGUGUGGCCCAGCCACGUUAAUCAAGCACAAGUCUUCAUACUUAAAGUCAAAUGGUGUCUUUAGUCUCAUUACACAUCGCUAUUUGAAGAUUAACUCAUCACUAGUGUAAUGCGAUUAAGACAGUCCUAACUCAAUAUUUGUUCUAGUUUUGGAUGCAAAUGCUUGCUGGUUUCAUCAUUGGAUGGGAUAAAGGUGCAAUCAGGACUAUGAAUACGUGCAGUAAUACUUCAUUCUCUUUUUUCUCAAUGAGACUUCUUGGCACAAUUUUGCUGCUCAGCAACCUACCUUUCCAUGGAAAAUCAGUUGUGACUGAUAGUAAUGGAUAUAUUCUAGAAAGCUAAACAUAGAUAGCAUUCAAUAUUAUCGAUAUAACAUUAACAGCGUAUGUCUCAAUGCUCAUCAGCUACAAGCAAUGGACAAACACUUUGAGUAACUCACAGCAGUCAAAAUUCCUAAACAGGACAGACGUGACAGAUCUAUAUAUAGAACACUGCAUAUGAGUCACAGGAAAAGAUAAUACGGGUACAUAGAAGCUCUUAUUUUACAUAUUACUCAUACUGAUCAAAGUCGCUCAGUUGGGAUGGAUGGGAGAAGGAGGUUUGAGGGGUGGCUUGUGCGGGGAAGUUGGCAGCUUCUUUCCGGGAGCUGGUUGCUUCUUUGCUGGAGUUGAAGGAGGCUUAAUCUUCCGAGGUGGCUUGUAUGAGUCUUCAGCAUUCUCAGCAGGAGGGUGACCAGGGUUGUGACCAUAAUGUGGUGGCUUCUCUCCCUUAGGUGGUUUGCCAACUGGGGUUGGUGGCUUGUUUUCUGGGAGUGGCUUCUCUCCCUUGGGUGGUUUGCCAACUGGGGUUGGUGGCUUGUGUUCUGGGAGUGGCUUCUCCCCCUUGGGAGGUUUUUCGAAUGGGGUGGGUUUGUGUCCUGGUGGUGGCUUCUCUCCCUUGGGAGGUUUACCAAUUGGGGUCGGUGGCUUGUGUUCUGGGAGGGGCUUCUCUCCCUGGGGAGGUUUAGUGGGUGGCUUGUGUUCUGGAGGUGGCUUCUCCACCGGAGGCUUAUGCUCUGGUGGUGGCUUCUCGAAGGGGGGAUGCUCAGGGUAAUCACCAAGUGAGGGGGUGGUGAGAACCACCAUGCCAAGCAACAACACUAGCAAGUAUGUAGUAGACAUCUUUGGGUUUGGACUCAGACAGUGCAAAACUACGAGAAAUCGCUAGCCCUUUAUAGCGGCUCGGACCUAAUACUGACAUAAUAUAAAAUAAAUAUUAUAUUUUAUCAAGAGAGAACAGAGUGUAAUUUUAUCAUUAAUACCGAUCGAGGCCAAAGAAAGAAGACCCAUAAUCCAUUUCCCACAAGCAUACACAAUGCAGCUGUAAUUUUAUCAUUUACUUUUAUCCCUUGGACCACUGCAUUUUUGUUGAGAGACACAAUAACACAUUUUUAUCUGUCAUUCAACAUUUACAGUAAAGAGAGGGCACAAAACGCAAUUAGAUAAAUUAUGUUUUGCCUGCUAAAAAGAGGCAAAUAACUUUAUUUGCAACAUAAUUAUUUUGGUUUCUAGUGACCCCGGGGCCUUUCGGUUGGUUUGGGAUCGGAAAAUGAACAUCAUAGGGGGGGUUGUGCCCUUAUGGGCAUAUAUAUCUGAUAGCUUCAACUGGCCUUGUUCCUAGAAAGAAAUUGCCAAAGAUAUAAACUUAUUCCAGGCUGAAAGUAGAUGAGAGUCAUAAUGAACAUCAACCUUUGUUCAGUUUGAUUCAAUGCCCCCAUAGUGUUCAUUUCACAGAUCUGAAUGAUUAUAUCCGUUGAAUACAUAAAUUAAUGAAGACAAAUAUGAAACCCAAGAUACAUCUCUGCAUAACAACCCCAACCCUGGUUGCUAUGUUUCCCUUCUUCUAUUCACAUGAGGAUACUGGUUAUAAUUGUCAAACUUGCAACAAGCCCUUUGACACCUAACGUCAAUGGACGAAUUAAAAGUCUCCUUCAAACGUCUAUUUCACAGCAUGAAGCUUAUAAAGGAUGCUGACAACCUUCAGAGUUAGCGACAAAAGAUAAUUAUCAAGGAGAGAUAGUUCCAUGAGAAUUCCAAGGAGUCUGAAUCAAAGACAAAUUGCUCACUCAAGGGUUCUUAUUUUCUUUUAGGUACAAAUCUCUUGAGUGUUGUUAAAGAAACACGUCACUGUCAUUUUGAUUUGCAUUUAACAUUUCACUUUUGUUCUGGAAGGUUUGUUCCGGAAACAUAUCAAAUGAGCAUCAUUUUCUUCUUCGGUGACACAUGGUCGCGAGUACGUGGGUCCAUUUUCAUGCCACUUAGUUGAAAAGUUGGAAAGAAAAAACAUGCCAACAAGAAGAUAGUGAGAGAAGGGGCACUUCAAGCCUUUAACAUGAACAAACAGUAAAUAAAAGAUGUUUCUCCACUCAUAAAAGUGUGUUAGAUAGCAAUAUAACGAAUCACAUCCAAAAUCUUUACUAGGCUCAAACAUAAAGAAGACUCAUUUUUAAGAAAAGAUAAAAAUGGCAUUGUCUGAUAGUAUCCAAUACACGAGAUGGCACUUAAUUUGUACAAGAUCUGUCAAUGCUGACGCACAUUUUCUGAUUAAAAAAAAACUGAUCAGUCAAAAGCAAUGAAGAGAAGUGAUGACAAUGAAUGAUGCUUCCAAUAUUUUCACCCCUUAUAGUGUUCUUCAUGAUUCAGAUAUAUAAUUGGAAAUAGAACAACCCUAUGCCAUACAUUCGUCUAAGUAUGGUGUCUAAUUUUUUGUGUCAGCGGUUGCGAAUGGAGCGUGCAAAAGUCCAAAUUGGCGUCUCUCCAUUUCCACAUAGGAAGGUGACCUUUAUUGACAAAUACCCAAUAUUUGUAGACAUUCCUUAAAUAUCAUAACUUCUUGUUGAUUUGAAAAUCAUUUUUCAACUACCAUGUUUUAAUAAAUAUUUUUUAAAAUGUAUUUUUAUCAAAGUCCACCAUGAUGGAUAAUAUUCACCAUGCAAUAAUUAAUAAAGUACAAACUAAGCGAAAUGAAAAGCAUUUUCUUUGCUUUGAGUUGAUUUUGGUUGCAUUGAGUUGAUUUUGGUUUCAUGGUUUUUUCAACUCUUAUUUUGAUUGGAAGAUGUCAAGAAAAGAAAACAUAAAGAAAAAUUAAAAGGGAAAAAAGAAGAAAAAUAAAAAAAAAUAGAUUUAAAAGUUAAUAAAUUAUUUUUUAUAUUUAUUUUAAUUCAUUUCACUUAUUUUUCUUUUACUAUAUAAAAUUUAAAUAAUUUAAAUUUUAUAAUUAAUUUAAUUACAUUUCAUUUUCUUCUAUAUUUAAAUAUUGGAAAAAUAUUUUACUUAAUAUUUUUUUCUUUAAUUUCUUUGGCAUUUUGGGAACCAAACUUAGCCUUUAAAAUAAAAAACAAAAAAAAAAUGAAAAUAAGGAGGGAAAAGUGAGAAAAGAUAAAAACAAUAUGUAAAGGAUUUGAAAAGUAUUAGUUUGUAAUUACUAUUUGGAUUUCAAUAGUAUUUUAUUUGUCUUUCUAUAUUUCAUGUAAGAGAGAAUUUAAGAUAUUCCCCAAGGCAAAGCAUUAGUUACCUGCAAUCAGUGGUGAUAAGGCUCCAAGCCAAUUUUGGGCCCCAUAUCUUAAGACAGUACAAUUUCCAUUUCAACAUUUCUGAUUUCUCAGAUGUUUCACAUACCACAGAAGAACAUUGUUUGUGAAAAUAUGCAUUUAUGUUGGAUUUUGUAUGCUGUGGGGACUGGGGCAAGGAUCAUAUGGAAGAGUGGUUGACUUUUUCUGUACUUUAACGGUUGAAAUAGGAUAAGCACGGGCAUUUGUGAGGCUUAAUUGAUUUUGAAGCCUGAAAUUGCGUUUCUGUCAUUUUGUCAAAAAAAUGGCAGAUUCCAUACUCAUAUGUUUGGCCUGUGGCCAUGUACAGAUGCCAUUUAGUGACCAGUUUGUAACUGUCAAUCGUUGCGUUUUGACUCUGCCUCAACAACAUCUGCCAUUGACGGGUUUUCAUACUUGCAAAUCAAAUAGUCUUUCGUCCCAUCAGGAAUUUCGGUUUAAAUAUUAUUAAGCAUACGUUUGGCUGACAAUCAUUAUCCAGUUCAUGAUUUGGUUUCUUACCCUUAAUCAAUGGUUUCUAAGUGAAUAUAUGUAGAAGGAAAUCCGAAGUGUAGACAGUAGUAUCGAUAACUCUCAAUAUUCUCUAUAUAAUAGAAUAAACAGCGUCAUAGUGAUCGUCGCCUACAAGCAAGGUACAAAUACCAAAACGAGUGACUCACAUAGACAUCUCCCAACAAGAUGUAGUAGUGACUGACACAUGGACACAAUUAACUCGUAGAAAAGGAUAAGACCAUUGCACAGCAGCUCUUAUUUUACAUACUACUUAUGCUAACCAAAGUCAAUUAGUUGGGAUGGGUGGGAGAUGGAGGUUUGUGCGGUGGCUUGUGGGGCGGAGUUGAUGGCUUCUUUCCAGGAGCUUCUGGCUUUUUCAUCGGAGCUGAAGGAGGCUCAAUCUUAUGAGGCGGCUUGUAUGAGUCUUCUUUACUCUCGACAGGAGGGUGGCCAGGGUUGUGAUCAUAAUGUGGUGGCUUCUCUCCCUUAGGUGGCUUGCCAACUGGGGUUGGUGGCUUGUGUUCAGGAAGUGGUUUCUCUCCCAUGGGAGGUUUAGCAAUUGGGGUUGGUGGCUUGUGUUCUGGGAGUGGCUUCUCUCCCUUGGGAGGUUUAGUAGGUGACUUGUGUUCUGGAGGUGGCUUCUCCACCGGAGGCUUGUGCUCCGGUGGUGGCUUCUUGGUUGGAGGGGGCUUGGGGUAAUCAGCAAGAGAUGGGGUGGUGAGAACCACCAGUCCAAGGAACAACACUAGCAAGUAUGUGGGAGACAUUUUUGAGUUUGGGCUGAUCAGAUGAUGCAAAACUAAAGCAUUACGUGACCUUUUAUAGCAUGUAGCUCCCAAUACCCACUAAGUAUUGUGGGGUCCAUUUGUGCCCUACGGGGUUGAAAACUUAGACAAUUGGGCAAGGACCCACCUGACUAUGGAGGACUAGUGAGGUGUGAUCAUAGCUUUAGGAUUUUUCUUCCUCUGCAGCCGUCGUGCCGUUGGCAUGAUUUUCUUAAUCUUAAAUAAAGGCAUAGUUAUAGAGUUGUUUAAUCUCUAAAUGGGAUUUUAUAUAUAUCUUCAGAUAGCCAUUAAUAUAUUUGAUGAAGAAAGAAAGACAAGUGCAUACAACAUGUAUACGACUAGCUUUCAUGGAGUUCAUUUAUGAUCAGUUUUCCUGUACAUGUAAACCAGGAUCAUAUAUAUGUUUCUGUUCCACAACUAUUUUGGAAUCUUGUUUAUCAGUUUUUAUCAUUAUAAUGUCACAUAGGCUGCCAACUUGGGCGCUAAAAGAACCAGUUGGGCUAGUUCGUUUCAGAAUUUCAAUGUGGAUUCAGGAAUUGUUUUGUAAGAUAUGCGAAAUAGUAGAGGGAUGAAUAGUGUUUCAUUAAUAAAAGUGUCCUGUAAAUUAGAAGGUGUCAUAGAAACUAUAAUCAAUAAAUAACUUUUUUUCCCCACGGGUGGUGUUUCUUGUGGGGAUCAGUGACUGGUUUAGGUUCACCCAAAAUGAGUUCAGACUAAAAUUGGUUUGAGUCAAUGCCGUGUCUCUUUUUUCCAGAAAUCAACUAUUUUAUGCAUUGAAUAAAUCAUACAAAGAAAAUAUGAACGCCCGCAAAACCUAAACCCUGGUUGCUAACUUUCUAUGUUUCAGUUCUAUUCACGCAAGAAUAUUAGUUUAAGUUUGGGAAAAAUGGCAACUUACCUAGUGAUUACUUGGUUUUGGUUUGCGACUAUUUACGCAACCAACCAUGAGUUUGACUUUAACGUCAUGGGUUGAAGCCUCCUACAGGAAGGGAGAAAGCUCCACAGCUAGCUCCAAAAGAGAAUUAUCACAUUGAUAGCUCCAGAGAUUCCCAAGGGGACUGAAUCAAAGACAAGUUCCUCACUUUUUCUUCUUUUGAGGCCAAAUAUGAACCAAGGAUCACACAACCUCAUUCAACUUCAUAAGUUUGAUUUCAUGCAGUUGAACACUGGGUGAAGGCCAUGACAAGAAUUGAUUCAAAAAUUCUAUCACUCUUUUAAGUAAUGGAAGAUUAUUAUCUCUGAUUGGCAUCACAACAGCACAUGCUCCUAGAUCUUUCUAGACACUCCAUGCAAUGAAAGCACAAUGGAUCUUGUAACGAUAGAAACUAAGCCAUGCUACAGUACUAGAUGAUGAGGUAAAACUAGUAGACACGGGUGGCAGCCUAUAUGGGAGGGACACAAGUCUAAUUGAUUUGCAUUUCAGCAUUAUAGAUAGGUAUGUUUUGGAAGAUUUGUUCUGGAAAUACCGCACCAAGUAGGAUUCUUUUUCUCUUUAGUGGGUCCACUUGCAUGCCAAUUAACGAGUUGAAAAGUAUGAGCACCUACCUCGUGCUCGUGGAACCGAAGGUCAGUGAAGUGGGGCUCCUUUUGGCCUCGUGUAAACUUGAUUCAGAAGUGAAGUUAAUAGUCUUCCAUUCAGAUGGAUACAUGGGAAUUUUUCUCUUUUAUUUAUUUAUUUAUUUUUUUUUUGUGUGUGUAUGUCAAAGGAUAAUGAAUGAAGCGCGUUAGCUUGUUUUCUGACUGGAACCGCAGAUGUCCAAAUUGGAGUUCCUUCAUUUCUUACUUAGGAUUGUUACAUGUAUAAACAAGGUAUAAGAAAUAUGCCAACGUGUCUUGAGGAGUUAUUGAUUAGAAAUAACAAGUCACCCGACUGUAGAGUUCCAAGAUUUGAAUCUUCAGACCCUAUAGCAGCCUCUGGGGUACGUGGCAUCCUAUAGCAUAUUAAUGAAGGCUUUUUCGAUUUAGACUUCACAAUACCAAUUAAUAUGUAUGCACAAAAUGGAGAUGACCCCAAAAAAAACAGAAUCGCCAUAGUUUAUGAGGUUAAGGUGAUUCUCCACUUAAUAUCUACAUUAGCUAAUUAUGUAAAUCAAAUGAACUUCUAUUUUUCCUUUUUUUUUUUGGUUUAUGUCAAAUAGUAGCCCAUAAUUAACCCAACCAUUAGCCUGUUUGAAUUGAUUUCACAUGCACAAUGUUGUAGUAGUUCAUAUUUUGAAUUUUAUUUUUACAAAGGUAGUUAAGGAAAAUGAAGUAUAAUAAUUAUAAAAGCAGACUAUAUACACUACAAUAAUUGUUAGAAUGGUAUCUCAAAUUCUAAUUUAAAAUAUUAUUUUUUGUAAAAGAAAUAUUAUAUAGAAUAUUUCCUAAUUUUAUAAAUGAUUAUAAUUAGAUCUUUAUAAAAUAAGGAAAGUUGGUAAGAAUAUCUUUAUAAAUAUUUUAGGUCAUGAGAGAAAGAAAUGGGAUAAAAAUGUGAUGAAGAGGUGAAAUAAGAGAGUUGAUUAGGAUAUAGAUGUGAAGAAGAAAGGGAUUCAAUAUAUAUAUAUCUUUCAAUUACCACAUUAAAACCCUGUGAACCUUUUAUAUGGUUUACUUUAUUUUUAUAUUCCUCCUUUAAUAUAUUUACAUUAAUGCUUCCAUUGGCACAACAAUAACGAAUUACAAAUACAAGCAACAAGUCCCAUGUUUUAUUACCAAAAGCAGGUAAAAUCCACCUAAUAUAUUACAAUAUAUUCAUCCAAUAUUUUAGACCAAUUCUUCACCAUAAAUAUCAUAAUGUGGCUUUUGUUCUUUCUUAAAUUUAAAUUGAAUUGUCUUAUAUCAAUUUGUUUGUGAUUUUUUCAUUAACUUCACUUUCAUUUGGUUAUCUUUGGUUUUUGAAAAGUAUUAAGGAAUUAAUUAACAAAAUAAUGUUAAGAAAAAUAAUUUUCUCUCUUUUGAUUUUGAUUUUGUAGUAGAAAAAUAUAAUUAAAAUUAUUUAAAAAGUAUGUAAUUUUAAAUUAUUUAAUAUUUAGAUAAAAAAAAUAAGUCUAAUGAGUUUAAAAUAACAUAUAAAAAUAAUUUAUUUAUUUUAAAUUUAUUUUUUAUUUUCCAUUAUGUUCUCUUUCUCUUUUACUUUUUCAUAUUUUUUCUUACGAAGAAUCAAACACAACCUCAUAUUAUAUGUCAAGUGUUUGUCUAUAUUUGAGCAAUGUUAGAUACGGCCAUGGAUUCAUCAAACUAAACUGAUUUUAAUAGAUACUUCACAAAUUGAUUUAUACACUAAAUCAUUGGAUAGCAAUGAUGCAUUGGAAUUAAACGUAGGAUGAAGCUCGAAGAACACUGUUUGUGUAACAACAUAUUUAUGAAAUUAUGCAAAGGAUGAGCUUCGGGGUAGUAGUACAAGGUCAUUAAUGGAGAGCCGUGUUAAACCUUGAUUGUGAUUGGAUUCCGUUAUCAGCAACAGCAACCUUGUUUGUAACCUUGAAAGUCAUUCUGUCCACAUCGAAACUCCAAUUUGACGUUUGUAAUUACCAUUCCUGGAGUGUUCCUUGAUUGAAAUUUAAAUAAUAAUUGCGGCCCACAAGGAAUAUUUUCGAUUCUGUGGGAAUUUGACAAGGUUUGUUAGAGAAGACUGGUGACAUGUUGACUUCAAUGGUUCAAAUAGGAGACGUAUGUGGAUUUGGGGGGUUUAAUUGAAACUGAGUCCCUAUGGCUUUUUAAUAUUUGCAUUGAGCAGUCUCCAUGUGACUUCCUAAUUCCCACCAACCCUCCUGUCCAUGCUGUGAAACUAAAUUGUAAUUUAUCAGCCUUUGUCAAUGGUUUCUAAAUUAAAGAUAUAGACCAUGCAUGUACUUUAAUAAAAGCAAAUCUAAAGUGUAGAUAGCAGCAAUGGUGACACCCAAUAUUCUCCAUAAAAUAGAAUUAGAAUAAGCAGUGUUACAUUGUUCAUGAUCACCUACAAGCAUACAAGAACUUCCAUGAAUAACUCAUAGCAAUUGCCAACAGGGCGUCGUAGAGACUCAUACAUAGAACACUAUCCACCCAGAGGAAAGGACAAGACCAGUGCGCUGCAGCUCUUAUUUUUCACAUGUAUACCACCACUCGUAAUAACCAAAUUCACUCAGUUGGGAUAGGUGGGAGAUGGUGGUUUGUGGGGUGGCUUGUGGGGAGGAGUUGGAGGAGGCUUUAUUUUCUGAGGCGGCUUGUAUGAGUGUGCAGGAGGAUGCCCGGGAGUGUGACCAUAAUGUGGUGGCUUCUCUCCCGUAGGUGGUUUGCCAAAUGGGCUUGGUGGCUUCUCUCCCUUAGGAGGUUUACCAAUUGGGGUUGGUGGCUUGUGUUCUGGGAGUGGUUUCUCUCCCUUGGUAGGUUUGCCAAUUGGGGUUGGCGGCUUAUGUUCUGGGAGUGGCUUCUCUCCCUUGGGAGGUUUGCUAAUUGGGGUUGGCGGCUUAUGUUCUGGGGGCGGCUUCUCUCCCUUGGGAGGUUUGCCAAUUGGAGUUGGCGGCUUAUGUUCUGGGAGUGGCUUUUCUCCCUUGGGAGGCUUGCCAAUUGGGGUUGGCGGCUUAUGUUCUGGGGGUGGCUUCUCUCCUUUAGGAGGUUUGCCAAUUGGAGUCGGCGGCUUAUGUUCUGGAAGUGGCUUUUUUCCCUUGGGAGGUUUGCCAAUUGGGGUUGGCGGCUUAUGUUCUGGGGGUGGCUUCUCUCCCUUGGGAGGUUUGCCAAUUGGAGUCGGCGGCUUAUGUUCUGGGAGUGGCUUCUCUCCCUUGGGAGGUUUUGUUGGUGGCUUGUGUUCUGGAGAUGGCUUCUCCCCUGGAGGCUUGUGCUCCGGAGGUGGCUUCUGAAAUGGCGGGGGCUUGGGGUAAUGAGCAAGAGAUGGAGUACUGGUGAGAACCACCAUUCCAAGCAACAAUACUAGCAAGCAUGUGGGAGACAUCUUUGAGUAGUUGUAGCUAAGAUGGCGCAACACUGUAGGCAUUGGGUGGCCUUUUAUAAAGGGCUGGACCCAACAGCCAUAUGACACGUGUCAUGAUGACAAAUGAAGUUGAGGGGAUCCAGAUGGGUCCUACUGAGUCGAAAACUUGCACUAAUUGAUCUGGUGAGAUGACUAUUUCUGUCCUUUUGCCCUUCUCGGCCACCCUGUGCUGUUUUCCUUUUGCACGAUUUUCGUUGCCAAACAAGCAAAUAAUAUUUCGCCAAGAAAGAGGAGAGUGAAUGUGGAAUGCAUCAAGUCCCAUCAAGGAUGGCAGAGAAGAAAUAGAAGAUUGCCCAACUGUGAUAAACAUAGCAUACACGUAGCACCAGGAACUUCAUUUACUUCCAUCUAAUGGAACAUAACAAUCUUCUAAAGUUUUUGCAUGAUUUUGUUAUAUGUCUCUUAGCCUAAAGUUGGAAAUGCGCAACAAAUUUUGUCACUUCUCUAUUUCCCACUGAUGAUGUUAAUUAGCCUUCAUAGAUAUCAUCCUUUCUACAAAGUGCUUCAUUUGUGUGUUAUUGUAAAGUGUAAGAAAAGUAAUUGAACAUGUUCUUUUUCCUUUCAUAGAUGACUUUUGAUGUGCAUUUUAAAAGCAGCGCUGUGAGUCGGUGACCUUGAUUCACACGGAAACUAAGGCUCCUAUAGGACCCACUUUUAGCUGGUUAGGGGUGAAGAAAAUAUCAACUUUUCAGAGUGAUUUAAGUCAAGGCCAAGCCUCACUGUGUCAUUACUCGUGUGAAUUUUAUAUGCACAUACAUACAUAAAUAAAGUAUGAGACCCAAAUAACACCUUCCCUUUACAAACUUAACCCCAGCCGCUCUCUUUCAAUUCUUUUCACACAAGGGUAUUGACUCUAUAAAGGUCAAGAAAAUCAUAAUUUCCUAGGGUUUACAAGGUAAUUGGCUUAAUGCUAAUGUGAAAACAUAAAAGAUAAUAGUAUAUUGUAAGCUAACGAAUAUUCUAUAGUUAUAAUUAUUUGUGAUGUGCAUAAAUAAAUCUUCAUAUAUAUAAUGGAACAAUGAAUAAAGAACCAAUGAAAAAAUACUAUAUAUCAUUGCUUGGCAUUUAAACCGUAUAUGCUGCUCUUUCUAGCUACUCCAUCCACUGAAAGACAACAAGGUAAUCCAUGUUAUAAUGAUAGAAGAUACUGUCUCUAGGCUUUUUGUGAUGAAAAAUAUAAGAUAUGGGUAGGGUUGACCCUUGUAUGUUUGUCCUAUAAACACUUCAAAGUAACAUAUUUUUCUUCUUUAGCAACUCAUAAUGAUGGGGUUCAUUUGCAUGUCACUGAGUUGAAAAGUUGGACAAUUGCCCAUGUCGCCUUCCUCCUAGAUUCCGUAGUUCACGGGAAGGUAACUCAAGUUUGACAUAUUUUGAAUUCUUUUCACUCGGACGUCUUCAUAACCUGACAAAACAAAAAUGAAAAACAGAGGAUUGGUAUAUUAUUCAUGGUAAGCCUCAAAUUAUAGUAGUAUGAGAAAGGAGAAAAAGAUUUUGGGAACUCCAAUCUGGAUAAUUCUCGUUUCUUCUCUUGAAUAAAAAUUUCACUUACCUAACUUCGUUUGGAGAAAUGGCAUAUUUUAAUUUUGUACGUCAUUGCUAAUAAAUGGAGCAAUUUAGCAUGUUUUGUGACUGAAACUGCAAAUGUCCAAUUGGCAUUUCUUCAUUUCCCACUUAGGAUCUGAUCUUGUAGACCAUAUAACGAUAUGUAUCUGUGCAAGCAUUGAAAACUAAUGUGAACUAUGAGGAGUUACAAGCCACUGGACUGUAGAGCGAGUGCCAAGAUUUAAAUCUUCAGGCUCUAUCUGGGUAAGGGGAGGAUAGCGACCUAACCUUUUACCAAAGGCUUAGAAUUUAGACUUUUGGAAAAAAAUUUCUCAUGUUUUGGCUGGAUUUCUUGUGCUUGGCGCAAAAAGGAGAUGGCCUCAAGAAAUAGCAGACUCACUUUUGUUUUCAGCCCUUAAUAAUUCUCCACUGCUUUCCAUAACUACAUGGGUUAUACAUGCAGUCUGCUGCAAUAUUCCAGUUAUAUUUAUUAUUUCAAAGAGGGUGAAUGACUUCACAUGCAAUAUGUUGCAGUAACAACCCAAAUUUUGGCACACCAUCUUAAGAAUAGAAAAGUAUAAUAAAAGAAAUCAAUCAGAGAAUCACUUUGCAUGCAGUUCAUAGAGUUCGCCCAAAAUGGAGCCACAUGUACGGACAACCCCACAAUAGACAAUCUUCUCUAUACAGUAAUAAAAUACAGAAAUGGUUAAUGAAGCUCUGUAUUUCCUUAUCAUAUAUGACCGGUUGAAAACUCAGCAAGUCUUCCUCAAUCACAGACAGUUGGAGUUGCUUCAUCAAAAUCAUGCCUUCAUUACUGGCUUCAUUUUGGUUUCAAUGUCUGUUCUACCCUUAAAUUGGGUCUCUGCUUACUACCGGGAUAUCCUUUAGCGUCCUGCAAUUCUACUAGAUUAAAGAGAAUGACUUAAUUCUGCAUUCUGCCGUCCCUAGUCCAAGUGGUACUAGAAUUGAUGUUUCCUUUAGUGUCCUUUCUUCAUACUUUCAGGUUCUUCCCUUGUUUCAAUAAUGCUGUUUUCCUUCAUGUUUAACCUCUGUUGAACCACUUAAAACAACACAAUUUGCACACCAAUGUUUCUUUACAGAAAAGACUGUUUGCAAAAAUGCACAUGUUAUAAGGUUAAUGGAAGAAUUAAUUUGGGGAUAAGGGACUAGGAUUGGGCCAAUGAAGUUUGGUGUUAAAUUUUGAUUAUGAUUGCUUUUCAUUAUCAGGUACCUUAUAUUUGCUGAUGCUAUCUGGAACUAAAUUCAAAUCAGACAUUAUCCGAUUACUAACAGGACAUAUCAUGUCCCUCUGCAGAGUUUCUAAACUAACAUGUAUCGAAAUGUGGCCCCAAAAGGAAGGCUAGGAAGAUGGAGGAUUUUGUAGGAAUCGACCAGAAUCAGAUGGAAGAGAGAUAGUCCUGUUGACUUUAAUGGUUGUGAUAGGAACAUGCAUCAUUAUAUGAGAAGUUGCAUGAAUUUAUGUAUCCUGUUAUCGUUCCUUGACGAUUUCCCAAUGCAAUUUCACUGUCCACAAGACUAACCUCUCCAUGCAGUCAAAUGAAUUGUAAUUUCUCUAUUGGUACCAGUAGUACAUUUCAUACCAAACAUAUAGUAAAUAUAAAAUAUAAAUAGAUCAAGGAAAUCUGAAUUGUAGAUAGCACUGCAAGUAACACUCAAUAUUCUCUAUAUAUAAUAAAAUAAACAGUGUCACAAUACUCAUCACCCAGUGGCAAGGGAGAAAAACCUACAAUGAGUACUCAAAUCACCAUUCUCAAACAGAAACAUAGCAGUGACUGAUACAUAGAACCUAUAUGCUCACAGGGAAAGAAUAAGAUGACCAGUGCACAGCGGGCAGCAGCUCUUAUUUUACGUACAACUCAAAUCCCAAACUAACCAAAGUCGCUCAGUUGGGAUGGGUGGGAGAUGGUGGUUUGUGGGAUGGCUUCUGGGUAGGAGCUGGUGGCUUCUGUCCCUUUGGUGGUUUGCCUAAUGAGCUUGGUGGCUUGUGCUCCGGGAGUUGUUUCUCUCCCUCGAGUAGGUUUCGAGUCUUGUCAGAUGGCUUGUGUUCUGGUGGUGGCUUCUCUCCCUGGGGUGGUUUGCCGAAUGGGCUUGGUGGCUUGUGUUCGGGGAGUGGCUUCUCUCCCUGGAGAAGGUUACGAGUUUUGUCAUAUGGCUUUUGUUCUGGUGGUGGCUUCUCUCCCUGGGGUGGUUUGCCGAAUGGGCUUGGUGGCUUGUGUUCGGGGAGUGGCUUCUCUCCCUGGAGAAGGUUACGAGUUUUGUCAGAUGGCUUGUGUUCUGGUGGUGGCUUCUCUCCCUGGGGUGGUUUGCCGAAUGGGCUUGGUGGCUUGUGUUCGGGGAGUGGCUUCUCUCCCUGGAGAAGGUUACGAGUUUUGUCAGAUGGCUUUUGUUCUGGUGGCGGCUUCUCUCCCUGGGGUGGUUUGCCAAAUGGGCUUGGUGGCUUGUGUUCGGGAACUGGCUUCUCUCCCUUGGGAGGUUCAGUUGGUGGCUGCUGUUCCGUAGGUGGUUUCUUCACCGGCGGCUUGUGCUCCGGAAGCGGCUUCUCUACCUGGAGAAGCUUACGAGUUUUGUCCGAUGGCUUGUGUUGUGGUGGUGGCUUCUCUCCCUGGGGUGGUUUGCCAAAUGGAGUUGGUGGCUUGUGUUCGGGGAGUGGCUUCUCUCCAUUGGGAGGUUUAGUUGGUGAUUGGUGUUCCGUAGGUGGUUUCUGAAGUGGGGGAUGCUUGGGGUAGUCAGCAAGAGACGAGGUAGUGAGAACCACCAGUCCCAGCAGCAACACUAGCAAGCAUGUGGAAGACAUCUUUGAGUUCAGGCUGAGAUCUGUGCAAGGAUAACAGAAUUAGGUGGCCUUUUAUAGAGGCCUGGACCCAACACCCAUAUGACACGUGUCAUGCACUCAUGGUGACACAUAAUUCUAUGGGACCAUUUGGGUCCUACAGAAGUUGCAAAGUUGGACUACUGAGGUGUGAUCACAACUUUUGUCCUUAUUGCUUUCUCUGCGGCCAUUGCACGAUUUCCUUUAGCAUCAUUUUCUUGGCUAAAUAAGCGUAUUAUAUUUGUGGCAGACCGUCCACGUGUCAUAAACAGAUAUAUUAUAAUAAUGUAGUAUGCUUUUCUCCAAUGGAACAUGACACUCUUCUAAGUCUUGUUUUAAAUAUUGUGCAGGAUUACUUUAUACGUUGCAGUUCCAAGUCAAAAUUGGUGGGCAAACGUUGGCCUUUUUUCAUUUCACCUAAGAUUAAUGCUCACCUGGGAUAGGCACUACAUGACUUAUCUGCUCUUUUACUGUAAAGUUGCUUUGUGUAUGAGAUACACCUCCCCUGCACACCCUCAACAUUCGUUGCUCUGUUUUCCUUGUGUCCAGACGAGGAUAUUAAUUGGAGGCUGACAAAACGACUGCUAGCCCAGGAUUUACAAGGUCCUGGUUUGAGGCUUCGGUGAAAGUAUUUUUGAAAAGACACACAUAGAGAUAGUGCGUUUGGUGCAAUGCAGCACUGUGAGCCAUUCUGACGCGUUCUUAAUUUCAAAACUAAUGAAUGCUUCAAAAUUUUAAGAAGUGACAUUUCCAAAUAUUUGAGUUCGUUUAAUUGAACAUUGGAUAACUAGUGAUCAUAGAUUAUUAUCUGUGCUUGGCACUAUAAGAGGGUAUAUGCUUCUUUUUCUGGCCCCUCCUUCAAGGGAGGAGGGACAAUGUGAUCUGUAACGUUAGAAGCUAUUCCAUGUCAUCUUUGGGCUCAGUUCAAAACUAAAAGAUAAUGGGGGGGGGGGGGGGGGGCAUAUCAUUUUAUAUUUCUUCUAGAAGGUUUGUUCUGGAAAUAUUUCACAGGAGCAUAUCUUUUUCUUCUAUUACGUCAUCCGCAGCCUCCAAUAGGUCGGUUAACAAGCCACCGAGUUGAAAAGUUGGAAAAAUGGGAACACAGCCCGCCUCUUGUAUUCAGUAGUUAAAUAAAAGGUCACUAGAAGUGAGAUCCCUUUUGGCGUCUUGAUUUUCAAUCCAGCACCUCUGUGACCUGACAAACCAAAAAAACUAAAAAAUAAAAAACAGUACGUGGGUUGGUGUUAAGCAUCAAGACAUGUUAAUGAAAGAAGGUAGAGAAUAGGAUAUUGAAAUCCCAAUCCUGAUAACAUGAUUUUCUUUGCUAACAACCAUAUUAUAUUUUAUCAAGAAAGAGUAAUGCAUGUGGCGUCCAUCAAGACCCAUUAGAGUUCCGCUAAAGCUAUAGUUCUGUCAACGUUAUCAUUUACGUUUCCUCUAGAUAAUGGCAUUUUCCUCUAAAGCUCUUGCACCAUUAGGCUUCAAGUCAAAAUUUCACAUGUGAACUUUGGAAAUUUUCUCCAUUUGCCCCUAAGGAUACAGUUAGAAUUGACUUAAAAUCCUGAUUGAUAUGUACUAUUAACCAAAGAAUAUUGUAUAUAAUAAUUGAAAUAUUGUUGAUUCAUCGUGGAAAUACAUUUUGUAAGGAAAGUUGUUGAGAAUUUAGUAUGCUAUAUGGAGAAAAAAGUCAUGACUUAAGGUUGUGUAUGUAUAUUCUAUAUCAAAUAUUAGGUAGGAAUGUGGGAAAGAGCAGAGUGUAAUGAUAAGAAACAAAGAAAUAUAAGAUAUUCUUGAAAGUGGAAAAUAUAAAAUGGCUAACGAGUCAAAUUUAUGAUGCGUAAGGGGGAUCAUGUCACAUAAGAAAACCAUGGCAUACUAAAGACGUACGUGUGGUAUGGAGUAAUAAUUUUGUUAAAAUAAGUUUCUUGUUGGAGUACAUUAGGUGACUAUUCAUAACGUAUCAAAUUAAAGAGUCAAGUGCAUCAAUGAAGGCAUAUGUAGAAAAUUUGUUUGUGACAUGUACCAUAAAGAUAAGAUUGACUUGAUAGAAUUUAGUCUAAGUAGGAGUUGUUAAAGGUGUCUUAAAUUUCUAAUUGAUGUAUAUUUUUUUCUAAAAAAAUAUUAUAUAGAUAUUUUAAUAAAUGAUUAAUUCUUUGUAAAAAUACUUACAUAAUAAAAAACAUCAUUAAAAAUAUCUUUAUAAAUAUUUUAAGUUACAAGAAGGAAAAAAACCACUGUGAGAUAAUGAUGAACAUGCAACACUGUACCAAGUAAAUAAAAAUGUGAUAAAAAAAAAAGAGAAACACUCGAUAAAGGAAGGCUCGUAUAUAAAGAGUAAUAUUUUUAAUCAUAUGAUAGAAUGAUUUUCUCUCAUUCAUGAAUAUAGGCAAGAUUGGGGAACCAUUAUAAAAUUUUGUACACCUCGUGUAAAUUGAUGUUUGUCUUCAUAUUUUACACCAACAAAUGACAUUGAAGUUGUCAUUGAUAAAAGGGAAAAGGCAUGCCUCCACACCAUGUGCUUGAUUCGAAUGGUUCAAGUUUGAAGAAUUUUCUCCGGAAGAUCUAAAACAUUUUCGCCUUUAAAUUUCAUUUGAUUAUUAAUAUCCGAAAAAAUAGUUAAAUACUCUUUCUAUUUUUGAGUUGUUGAAUUUUUUGAAAGUUUUUAUAUUUGUUAUCAAGAAUUUCUAUUUUAUUAAGGGUGAAUAUUUAUAAAUAAGAUAUUAUAUAAUAUUUGGAUAAGAGAGAAUGGUGGAAUAUAAUAAAGUUUUAAUCCUUCCCAAUUUUGAACCUUUUUUUUUUUUUUUGAUAUAAUCGCCUUUCUCUUGCAAUCCUAUUAUCAGGUACCUUAUAUUUGCUGAUGCUAUCUGGAACUAAAUUCCAAUCAGGCAUUGUCCAAUUACUAAUAGGACAGAUCAUAUCUCUCUGUUUCUAAACUAACAUGUAUCGUAAUGUGACCUCAUAAGGAAGGCUAGGAAGAUGGAGGAUUUUGUGGGAAGCGACCAGAAUCAGAUGGAAGAGAGAUAGCCCUGUUGACCUAAUGGCUGUAAUAGGAGAAGCGUGUGGUUUUAUGGGACUUAACUGAUACUAAACCUGUAUGAUGCUUGGAGUGGUGUUUCUUUCAUUUUGUUAAGAAAAUAUGGCAGCAUACAUGCUUUCAACUGAGUGCAUCAGAGCAUCCAUAACAGAUGGUCUGCAACCCUAGGUGCAUGCCACUUUCUGACUGAUAAUGAAAUUGUCAGGUACCUGGCCUUGACUAAGCUCAACAGCAUCACAUAAAGAGAAGCUUUCAUACUUAGAUUACUGUUUAAAGUUUUUGCUUAUUUGAUUUCUUAAUGCCAUUAUGACAUUAUUGAUUCAAUUCUGCUUCCGAUUUUCGAAGUUCUGGGCAUCUACUGAUUGCAUCAUUAUAUGAGAAGUUGCAUGAGUUUAUGUAUCCUGUUAUUGUUCCUUUGCGAUUUCACUGCUCACGGGACUAACCUCUCCAUUCAGUCGAAAUGAAUUGUAAUUUCUUUACUGGUAGCAGUAGUACUUUUCAUAGCAAAGAUAAUAGAAAAUAUGAAAUAUAAAUAGAAGGAAAUCUGGAUUGUAGAUAGCACCAUAAGUAACACUCAAUAUUCACUACAUAAUAAAUAGACAGUGUUACAUAGGUAGAGAAACCUACAAUGAGUACUCAUCACCAUUCUCAAACAGAAACAUAGCAGCGACUUAUACAUAGAACCUAUAGGCUCGCAGGGAAAGAGUAACAUGAUAAGUUCACAGCGGGUAGCAGCUCUUAUUUUACGUAUUACUCAAAAUCUCAAACUAACCAAAGUCACUCAGUUGGGAUGGGUAGGAGAUGGUGGUUUGUGGGGUGGCUUCUGGGUAGGAGCUGGUGGCUUCUUUGUUGGAGUUGAAGGAGGCAUAUUCUUCUGAGGUGGCUUGUAUGACUCUUCGGCACUCUCUGCAGGAGGGUGCCCAGGGUUGUGACCAGAAGGAGGUGGCUUCUGUCCCUUUGGUGGUUUGCCUAAUGGGCUUGGUGGCUUGUGCUCCGGGAGUUGUUUCUCUCCCUCGAGUAGGUUUCGAGUUUUGUCAGAUGGCUUGUGUUCUGGUGGUGGCUUCUCUCCCUGGGGUGGUUUGCCGAAUGGGCUUGGUGGCUUGUGUUCGGGGAGUGGCUUCUCUCCCUGGAGAAGGUUACGAGUUUUGUCAGAUGGCUUUUGUUCUGGUGGCGGCUUCUCUCCCUGGGGUGGUUUGCCAAAUGGGCUUGGUGGCUUGUGUUCGGGAACUGGCUUCUCUCCCUUGGGAGGUUCAUUUGGUGGCUGGUGUUCCGUAGGUGGUUCCUUCACCGGCGGCUUGUGCUCCGGAAGCGGCUUCUCUACCUGGAGAAGCUUACGAGUUUUGUCAGAUGGCUUGUGUUGUGGUGGUGGCUUCUCUCCCGGGGGUGGUUUGCCAAAUGGACUUGGUGGCUUGUGUUCGGGGAGUGGCUUCUCUCCAUGGGGAGGUUUAGUUGGUGGUUGGUGUUGCGUAGGUGGUUUCUGAAGUGGGGGAUGCUUGGGGUAGUCAGCAAUAGACGAGGUAGUGAGAACCACCAGUCCCAACAGCAACACUAGCAAGGAUGUUGAAGACAUCUUUGAGUUCAGGCUGAGAUCUGUGCAAGGAUAAAAGAUUUAGGUGGCCUUUUAUAGAGGGCUGGACCCAACACCCAUAUGACACGUGUCAUGCACUCAUGGUGACACAUAAUUCUAUGGGACCAUUUGGGUCCUACAGAAGUUGCAAAGUUGGACUAUUGAGGUGUGAUCACAACUUUUGUCCUACUUGCUUUCUCUGCGGCCAUUGCACGAUUUCCUUUAGCAUCAUUUUCUUGUCUAAAUAAGCGUAUUAUAUUUGUGGCAGACCGUCCACGUGUCAUAAACAGAUAUAUUAUAAUAAUGUAGUAUGCUUUUCUUCAACGGAACUUGACACUCUUCUAAGUCUUGUUUUAAAUACUGUGCAGGAUUACGUCAUAAGUUGCUUGUUCCAAGUCAAAAUUGGUGGGCAAACGUUGGCCUUUUUUCAUUUUCCCUAAUAUUAAUGCUCACCUGGGAUAGGCACUACAUGAUUUAUCUGCUCUUUUACUGUGAAGUUGCUUUGUGCAUGAGUUACACCUCCCCUGCACACCCUCAACAUUUGUUGCUCUGUUUUUCUUGUGUCCAGACGAGGAUAUUAAUUGGAGGCUGACAAAACGACUGCUAGCCAAGGAUUUACAAGGUCCUGGUUUGAGGCUUUCACGAAAGUAUUUUUGAAAAGAUACACAUAGAGAUUGCGCGUUCGGUGCAAUGCAACAAUGUGAGCCAUUCUGAAGUCUUAAAUUUCAGAUUAAUGAAUGCUACAAAAUUCUAAGAAGGGCCGUUUCCAAAUAUUUGAGUUCAUUCAUCCGAACAUCGGGUAUAUGCUUCUUUCUCUAGCCCCUCCUUGAAGGGAGGAGGGACAAUGUGAUCUGUAUCGUUAGAAGCUAUUCCAUGUCGUCAUCUUUGGGCUCAGUUCAAUACUAAAAGAUAUGGGCGGGGCCCUUAUCAUUUUAUAUUUCUUCUAGAAGGUUUAUUCUGGAAAUCUUUCACAGAAACAUAUCUUUUUCUUCUCUACGUGAUCCGUGGUUUGAAAGUUGGAAAAAUGGGUCCGUUAACAAGCCACCGAGUUGAAAAGUUGGAAAAAUGGCAACACCGCCAACCUCUUGUAUUCGAUAGUUAAAUAAAAGGUCACUGGAAGUGAGAUCCCUUUUGGCCUCUUGAUUUUCAUUCCAGCAUCUCUAUGGCCUGAUAAAUUAAAAAACUAAAAAAAAAGACAGUACGUGGGUUGGUGUUAAGCAUCAAGAGUCAAGACAUGAUAAUGGAGAGAAAGGAUAUUCAAAUUCCAGUUCUGACAACAUGAUUUUCUUUGCUGAACUACCAUAUUAUAUUUGAUCAAGAAAGAGUAGUGCAUGUGGCCAGGAUCAAGACAUACAUUAAUUUCCACAUGAUGAAGACAGUUUCUGAGAGUUUCUUCUAAAGCUCUUGCGCGAGUAGGCUUCAAGUCAAAAUCUCCCAUGUAAACACUGGUUUUUCUUUCAUUGCCACUAAGGAUGCAGUUAAUAUUGACUUAAGAUCCUACGUGAUAUAUUUUUUUAAAAGAGCUAUAUUGUAGAUAAUAUUUGAAAUAAUGUUGAUUCGUUGUGGAAAUAUAUUUGUAAGGAAAGUUGUUGACAAUUUAAUAUAGUAUAAGAAGAAAAAAGUUAUCAACUAGCUAGAGAUGAGUAUGUAAAGUGAGGCUCACGAUUCAACGCGUAAAUAUAAGAUAUUUUAAGGCUCAAUAGUUAUGAUAUCUAUUUUAUUUUUUGUAUCUCAUAUAUUCAAAGAUAUAGUAAAAUGAUUUUACAUAUAUAUAUAUAUAUAUAUAUGAACAUAACUAUUUGUGCCAAUUGAUUUUUAUCUUUAUUUUGUAUAUUAGUAAUUAUAUUAAAGUUUUUACUAAUAUAAUAACUAAUAUAAAAGCUUUUUCUAAAAGAGUCAACAGAGCAAAACACUUAUUAUAAAAAAUAAUUUUGAUUGAAGGUGGAGUCAAUUAUUCUUUAUUUAACAUGUAAUGCAUACGGCGUGUACUUCAUAACUAAAGUAUAUAAGUGUAACAUCUCUUAUAUAUUCUCAUUCAAUCUCGAAAGUGGAAAUUUUAAAAAGAUUAAACGGUUCAAAUUUGUCGUGCAUAAAGGGGAUCAUGUCACAUAAGCAAACCAUGGCAUACCAAAGACAUAGGUAUGGACUAAGAAUUUUUUUCAAAUAAGUUUCUUAUUAGGGUACAUUAAUAGGUGACUUUUUAUGACAUAUCAAAGGAGUCAAGUGCACCAAUAAAAACAUAUAUAGAAAAUUCAUGCAUGACAUGUAUCACUAAGAGAAGAUUGACUUGAUAGAGUUUAAUCCAAAUAGGAGAUUGUUAAAAGGUGUCUCAAAUUCUUGAUUGAUAUAUAUUUUUUUUAUUAAAAAGGUUAUUAUAUAGAUAUUUCAAUAGACUAUUAAUUCUUUGUAAAAAUAGUUAUAUAAUGAGGAUGGUGAUUAAAAAUAUCUCUAUCAAUAUUUUGGAUUAUAAAAAGAAAAAAAAUGAGAUAAUGAUAAACAUAUAAAACUUGUACAAGUAGAUAAAGAUGUGAUGAAAGACACUUGAUGAAUGAAGGCUUUGUAUUUCAAGAUAUAAAUAUAUGGAGCAAAACUCUUAAUUAUAUGAUCAAAUGAUUCUCUCAUAUUCAUGAAUAUAAGCAGGAUUGGGGAACCAUGAUAGAAUCUUAUAUGCCUCUCCAUGUAGAGUGAUCGAUGUUUAUCUUCAUAUUUUACACCAGUGAAUGACAUUGAAACUCUUAUUGAUAAAAGGGAAAAGGCAUGGCCUCCACCCCAAGAAAAACAAGUAACCUCGGUUUAAAUCACUAGUCUACACCCCGAAGAGAGAACUAGCCAAACCUACUAAAAGAGAAACUUAACAAUUUAGAAAGAAACCGUCCAUGAUAAAGGGCCCCUAAAGGUCCAAUUCAGUGAGGUCGUGAACAAAAACACUUUCAUGUCAAAACAGAGAUAGGUACCACCAAAAUGUAAAGGGAAAGAUGUAAACCACGUCGAACUUUGGUAAUCAAUGGUAAAGAUAGCAUGAUAGCUAAAAGCACUAAAGCUGUGCUUGGUAUGCAAAAAUGAAAAGUGGAAAUCAGCGUCUUAUUCUUUUUCACCUUUAUUCACAUAUUAGGAUAACUAAUAUCUAAUGUUUUUUAUGUCUCAAAUUCUAUUCCAUGUUAUGGUAAACUUUCAUCUUGUUUAGAUCACUUUUGUCUGGUUUGGGCUCAAGACGAUAAGCCUAUAGAGACUUCAUAUUGGGUUGAAUCGAUGCCCUUGAUCUGAUCUGUUCGUUAGAAAAAUCUGAAUUAUUAUAAGCAUUUAGAUAAAAAAUAAAUAAAUGUGAAACACAAACUACUCCCUGCACAACCUUGACCCUAGUUACUCAGUUUCACUGCUCACAGGACUAACCUCUCCAUUCAGUCGAAAUGAAUUGUAACAAGAAGAUUUUUGACAGGAGGACGGUAGUUUAAAAUAAUAAUUUCUAAAGUACUUUUGUGAAAAAAAAUAAUUCCAAACGUGGAUUUUAUCAAGUAAAAAGAAAAAAAAAAGUUAUUUUCUUUUAAAAUCUGUUCUUCUAAAGAUGAUAUAUAUACCAAAAAAAAAAAUUGUUUUCUGAAGGUAAAAUUUUUAAAAUUCAUUUUUAAAAAAAUUUACACACUAAAAUUAUCUUUUCAAGAGAAGAUUUUUUUAAUUUUAAAUAAUUAUUAAUUUAUAAUUAAUUUGUUAUUAAUUAUUUAUUAAUUUUUUUAUUUGAAAAAUGCAUUUAUAAAAAACAAAUUUGUUAUUAAUUUAUUAAAUAAUUUUUACAAAAUAAAUAAUUUUUUUUUAUUUUAAUUUUAAAAUUAAUUUUAUUAUAUAAAUUUUAAAAUUAAAAAUAUUAAUAUUUAAUUUAAAAUUUAACUAUAAAAGGAAUAAAAUAUAGAAAAAUAAAUUAAUUUAUUAUUCAAUAAAUUAAUUUUCAAUAAAAUUUUCAGCAUUAAGAGAUAAAUUUUUAAGUAUUAAUCAAUUUAAAAAGAAAUAAUGAUCAUUUGUAUAUUAAGAUAUUUUAUUUAGUAAUUAUGAAUGAUAAACAACUAAAGUAAUUUGAAAAAAUAAUAAAAUAUUUAAAAAAUAAUAAUUUAAUACACGUAAAAUUAGAAAUGAUUAACUAUUUUUUAUUAAGAAAAAAUUGAGGAAAUAUUUUGUUAUUUAAAAUUUUUUAUUUGUUUUCAAUUUUUAAUGUUAUAGGUUUCAAGAAAAUUGAUCAAAUAAAAAUUAAGAAGUCAUUUUUUCAAAAACUAUAUAUCUAAAUAAAAGCCUUGAAAUUCAAAUACACAAUAUCAUAAAUAUAAACACCAAGUCAAUCCUUAAUUAUCAAAUGUUUUUAAUAUUAAAGAAUCAAAAUCACCUACUAUCAUGAUAAUAAGAAAACCAAUAAUAUUGUUCAUAUAAAUACUAAAAAGCUAACAAAUAUCCCAAACAAUUAAUAAAGUAUCAAACAUGAUAAAAAGUCAAUUAUUAUCAUGAAUGCAAAAAAUCAAUAAUUUUGUUUAUAUGAACCAUCAACAAAGAAAAAAAAAAUCAAUAUCUAAAUAUUAAACAUAAUUUAUAUUUUUAUAAAUAUUAUUGUUGAUAAAUAUCUUAACAAUUAUAAUUUUAGUAAAUAAAAUUAAUUAAUUUUAGUUUAAGAAUUAUUUUUUUAUACUUUCGUAUUCUUAUCAAAAAUCCCCAUUUUGCAUGUCUCCUUUGGCAUGACUUUCUUACCUAAACAAGCAUAUAUAUAUAUAUAUAUAUAUAAAAUAUUUGGUUAAGAAAGAGUACUAAAGUUUAUAUGGCACACAUCAAGAUAGAAACAGAAGUGGAAGAUAAUCCAAAUGUAUGAACAGAUAUAUUAUAUCCAUGUAGUGGUAGUGACUUCAUUAUUUACUUUUAUCUAAUGGAGCAUGACACACUUCUUCUGAAUAUUUUGCACGAUUAUGUUAUGUGUCAGCUUGUUCUAAGUCAAAACUAGUGAUAAAAAUCGGUUUUUUUUGCAUUUCCUUCAUGAAGAUGGCACCUGGAUGGGGCACUACAUGAGUGGCAUAGCACGAAGUGAUUUAUCUGCUCCCUUUACUAUAAAGUGCUUUGUGUAUAAGUUACACCUCCCCUGCACUGCCUCAACAUUUGUUGUUCUGUCUUCCGUCUGUCCAAACGAGGACAAACGUAUGUUGUAGGUUGACAAAACCACAGCUAGCCUAGGAUUUGCAAGGAUCUAGUUUGAUUCGUAUGCAAAAGGAUUGGUGAAAAGAUUCACAAAGAUAAUGCUUUUUGCAAUGCAAUCUUGUUCUAAUUCAACAGUGUGGACCAUUUUCAUGUAAUGCUUCAACUAGAUGUCAGUUUCAUGAAUUUUUGUUCAUCUAAUUGAUCACUGGAUAGGCCAUAACCCGAAGAAAUUCAAAAUUCCCUUCAGUACUGUAGCUAAGGAAAGAUCCCUAUCUACCACUGGGAUUUUAAGAGGGUAAAAAUGUAGGUGGGUGCCUAUAUCAUUUGCACUUCACUAUAGGCCUCUUUGGGAAGAUUUCUUCUGAAGACAUUUCAAAGAAACAUAUUUUUCUCUUCUCUCCGUAAACGGCAGCUGCAAGUCAGUCCAUUCACAGGCCACCGAGUUGAAAAGGCUGGAAAAUUGGCCAAAGCACCCGCCUCCUGGAUUCCAUGGGUAAGGAAAAGGUCACUGGAGGUGUGAUCCCUGUUGGCCUCUUGAUUUCCAUUCCGCCAUCUAUAUGACCUGAUAACCCAAAAACACAGAAGGAAAACGUCACCUGGGUUCAUAGUAAGCAUCAAGUCAUGAUAGAGACCAGACAACAUGACCAACAAAGAGUAGCGAAUGGGGCCAACAUCAAGCCCCAUUACGGUUAGAAGAUGGAAGAAGUAGAAGACAAUCCAAUUCUGAUAGAUUCGGGCAAAUGUAGUGCUGUUCAAACUUAAUCAUUUACUAUUUCUUCAUGAAUCACGGCAUUUUUCUUCUGAAAAUUUUCCAAGAUUAGGCCUCUGAAGAAAAAUUUCAUAUGUAAAUUGGUAUAUUAAGGAAAAGGCGUUACAAAGGUGAAAAAAAACCAAUCAAAUCUUAUAUAUGACAUCUCAAAAAUAUGAACUUGCUAUAAAUAUUUAAAAUCAAAAUCUUGCACAUCACCUCGUAGUACGAACUUGCUAUAAAACUUGAAAAUCAAGAAGAAAGGGGCAGUAUUGGACGAGACUACUUAGCACAUAUUAUUAUGAUGUUUUUUCAUUUUCUUAAUGUUGUUUUUAUGUCUUAAAUUCUAUUAUUCUAUGUUACGGUAAACAUUCAUCUUGUUUGUGUGGAAUAGGAUCACUUUUCUCUGGGUUGAGUCGAUGCCCUUAGUUAAUUUGUUCAUUUGAAUAAACUAAAUUAUUAUAAGUAUUUAGAUAAGAAAAACGUGAUACAUAAAUUACGCCUCUCGGCACAACUUCAACACUGGUUACUCUGUUUCAGUUUCCUCACACAAGAUUAUUGGUUCUAGGGUUUAUUUGGUUUUGGUUUGAUUCUAAUUGCUAAACUUUCUCAAGGAAGAUGUUAUAUAGGGAGUGAGAAACCUUCACUCUUGGCUACCUCCAAGAGAAGAGCAAGUGGUCUGAAUCAAAGAUAUACUGCUCACUUUUUCUUCUUCUAAGGACAGCUAUGACCUUGCUUUAAGGUUCGAAUAGCCUAAUGCAACCUCCCAUUUCUCAAGUCAGCUGAUGAUGUAAGUCACCUUGGCUUUCCACAUUCAUACGGUGAGGACGUUUGUGGGUGUAAUUCUCUUAACAGUUUUCAUUUUAUAUGGAAAAAUUCAUAAUUAAGGGUAAUUACUGAUUCCAUUUGACAGUGACCAAGUUUAAAAUAUUAAUUCAUAUAUUAAAUGCACAUUAAAAAAUCAUGGAAUAAAUAUAUUUACUAAUAUAUAGUUCUUUUGCCAUGUUCUGUCACAGAAGCAUCGAACUUUCCCUAGAAAUUUUUGCAUGGUAUUCUACUUAUGAUUUUGAAAACUCUAGGCACCUGAGGCCACUAAUUGCAUGGUUGGAUGAGGAGCUGCAUGAGAUUAUGUAUCGUGUUGUUCCUUAACUACAAAUAUCAGUUUUAAGUAGCAUCUCCAUGUGACAUUUUCCUGAUGCAAUUUCGCUGUCCACCAACAAAUUUCACCAUGCAGCAAGAUGAAUUGUAAUUUCUUUAUUGUUAUCAACAGCUUUAAUUAAUCUUGAUAUAUAUAUAUAACUUAGUAGAAGUAUAUUAAUCUAGAUUGUAGUUGCACUAAGAUAAUAGGCAAUAUUAUAACAGUGCCACAAUGCUCAUCGCCAAAUAGAAAGGUAGAAAAACUACAAUGAGUAACUCACAACAUUCUCAAACAGGACAUAGCGGCGACUGAUACAUAGAACACUAUUGGCACUCAGGAAAUGAUAAGAUCAGUGCCCAGCAGGCAGCACGUCUUAUUUUACAUACUACUUAAAACUAACCAAAGUCAUUCAGUUGGGAUGGGUGGGAGAUGGUGGUUUGUGCGGUGGCUUUUGGGUAGUUGGUGGCUUCUUUCCUGGAACUGAUGGUUUUUUUGUUGGAGUUGAAGGAGGCUUAAUCGUCUGAGGUGGCUUGUAUGAGUCUUCAGCACUCUCUGCGGGAGGGUGCCCAGGGUUGUGACCAUAAUGGGGUGGCUUCUCUCCCUUAGUUGGUUUGCCAAGUGGGCUGGCUGGCUUGUGCUCCGGGAGCGGCUUCUCUCCCUUAGGUGGUUUGCCAAAUGGGCUUGCUGGCUUGUGCUCUGGGAGCGGCUUCUCUCCCUCAAGAAGUUUACGGGUUUUGUCAGAUGGCUUGUGUUCUGGUGGUGGCUUCUCUCCUUGGGGUGGUUUGCCAAAUGGACUUGGUGGCUUGUGUUCGGGGAGUGGCUCCUCUCCCUUGGGAGGUUUAGUUGGUGGCUGGUGUUCCAUAGGUGGUUUCUCAACCGGGGGCUUGUUCUCCGUUGGUGGUUUAUGAACUGGGGGAUGCUUGGGGUAGUCAGCAAGAGACGGGGUGGUGAGAACCACCAGUCCCAGCAGCAACACUAGCAAGUAUGUGGAAGAGUACAUCUUUGAGUUCAGGCUGAGAUUUGUGCGAGACUUGAAGAAUUAGGUGGCCUUUUAUAGCUGGCUGCACCCAACACUCACAUGACACGUAUCAUGGUGACACAUGUGCUAUGGGUCCAUUUGGGUCCUACAGAAGCUGAAAACUUUUGACUAUUGAGGUGUGGUCACAACUUUUGUCCCUAUUGCUUUCUCCGCAACCGUUUUACAUGUUUCCUUUGGCAUAAUUUUCUAAGCUAAACAAGCAUAUAUCAUAUUUGGUUAAGAAAGAGUAAAGUGUAUAUGGCACACAUCAAGGAAGAGAAACAGAAAAAGUGGGAGACAAUCAAUUGUGAUAAACAGAUAUAUUAUAUUCAUGUAGUACUAGUGACUUUAUCAUUUACUUUUAUCCAAUAGAUCAUCACUCUUUCUUCUAAAUAUUUUGGAGGAUAAUGGUACAUGUUGCUUGUUUCCAAGUCAAAAUUGGUGGCAAAAAUCGGCAUGAUACGAAAGGAUUGGUGAAAAGAUUCACAUAGAUGGUGCUUUGUGCAAUGCAGUCUUGCUCUAAUUCAACAGAGUGGACCAUGGUGAUGUAUUUUAAAUUUUAAAUUUUAAAUUAAUGCAUGCUUCAAAGUUUUAACUAGAUGUCACUUCCAUGGAUUUUUGUUCAUUUAAUUGAGCACAGGAUAGGCUAUCAAACUUGAAGUAAUAUAAAAAUCCCUUCAUUACUGUAACUAAUGAAAGAUCAUUAUCUGCGCUUGGUAUUUUGCCAAGGUAUUUGCUGCUCUUUCUAGCCCUGUCUUACAGUUAAGGACAAUGUGAUCUAGUUAACCUUAGAAGCUAUUCCAUGUCAGAUACAAGAGAUCAAGCACAUUAUCUUUGGGCUCAGUUCAAAACUAUAAUAUAUGGGUGGGGUGGAGGCCCAUAUCAUUUGCAUAUCACCACUAUUGGUUUAGUUUGGAAGGUUUCUUCUGGAAGAUUGCUGCUUUCUGGAAUCAUUUCAAAGAAAUAUAUCUUUUUGUUCUCUUGGUGACGAGCAGCGGCAAUCAAGUCUGUUGACAAACAACCGAGUUGAAAAGUUUGAAAAUUGGUCACAGCCCACGUCCAUGGUUAAGGAAAAGGUCACUGGAAGUGAUCCCUUCUGGGCCUCUUGAUUUCCAUUCUGACAUCUAUAUGACCUGAUAAAUAGAAAGAAAAAAAAACAGAAGAAAAGCGGCACCCGGGUUCAUAGUAAGCAUCAAGACAGGAUACUGAAAGAAGGGAGAAAGGAGAUUGCAAGUCCAAUCCUGAUAAAAUGAUCAACAAAGAGUAUCAAAAUGGGGCCAACAUAAAGACCCAUUGAGGUUAGCAGAUGGCAUGGCAUUUUUCUCCUUAAGUUUUCCAUGAUUAGACUUGAAGUCAAAAUUUCACAUGUAAAUUUGUAUUUCUACAUUUCCCACUGACGACACCCAACUUCAACUUGAGUUAGAAUAACAUUGUGUGAACUUAUCUGGCCCUCAAAAUUUACUGUGAAGUGCUUUCUGCGUGUGAAGAUUCAGAAAAGCACCAAGGGAACAUGUAUGGUCUGCCUUUUUCUGAUGUUAUGUUUGUCUCUAAUUCUGUUCCAUGUCAUGGUAAAUGUUCACAUUGCUUGUAUGGAACACACCAGGAUCACUUUUUCGGGUUUAUUUUGAGGCUUCAUAUUGGGUUCAUAUUGGGUUCAAUGCUUUUAAUGUGUUCAUUAGACAAAUCUGAAUUAUCAUAUGCAUUUAGAUAAGAACAAUAAUGUGAAACCCUAGUUACACCUCCCCUGCAUAACCCCAACCCUGCUUACUCUAUUUCAGUUUACUCACACAAGUUUUACCGGUUCUUAUAAGUCAAGAAAAGGCAACUGAUGUUGGAUUGACUCUCUUCCAUGUAUAAAAAGCAACUUUUAUAUAUACAUAAAAUAACUUCUUCCCCUCACCAAUGUGGGAUAUCAUGGAUUUAUUCUGGAAACACAUCAAAGGAACAUCUUUUCUCUUGGGUGACCCUAAGUGGUGAGUCAGACCAUUUGCAUGCCAUUGAGUUGCACAGUUGGAUAAAUGCACCUACCUCCUGGGCUCCAGAGUUAAAAGGGUGGAUCCCUGGAUCGCAACCCUCUUGGCAUCUUGGUUUCCAUUCCAACAUCCACAUGACUUGACAAAACAAAAAACAGAAUAAAAUCAUCACUAUUUUCAUGCUAAGCACCAAUACAUGAUGGAAAUCAUUGCUUAAAGAUUUGGGGUCAUUUAGGUUUUGACUGCCUCCUAACACCUCACCUAAUCACAAGUUUUUAUGCUUACAAAUCAAAUAUCGUUCUUCAUUAUAUUAAAAUCAUUUUAAGAUUUCAGAUCCAUCUGCUAAUUAUGAUUAUGAUAACAUUAAUUCACCUGUGCUUCUCAUUUUCGACACACAAGGCAUCUAGGUUUGCAGGAUUUCCUUAUUAGAUGAGAUAAAUGAGUACGCAUGGUUAUGUAUGCAGCAUUCAUUAACCAUGGUAUGUGACAUUUAGAAUUAAGAUAGCAAGCAAACUUUCCCUGCAGCUUGAGUAAAUUGUGAUUUCUUAGCCUCUAUGAGUGGUUCCCAAAUCAAAUUAACAUAGUGAAAUAUACGUAGUCCAGUGAAAGGAAAUGUAAAUUAUAAACUAACAGCACUACACUACUGGUAACACUCGAUACUCUCUAUAUAAUGCAAUGAAAUAUACGUUAUACGUUGCUUGUUCCAAGUCAAAAUUUGUGGCCAAACGUUGGCCUUUUUUCAUUUUCCCUAAGAUUAAUGCUCACCUGGGAUAGGCACUACAUGAUUUAUCUGCUCUUUUACUGUAAAGUUGCUUUGUGUAUGAGUUACACCUCCCCUGCACACCCUCAACAUUUGUUGCUCUGUUUUCCUUGUGUCCAGACGAGGAUAUUAAGUGGGGGCUGACAAAACGACUGCUAGCCAAGGAUUUACAAGGUCCUGGUUUGACGCUUCCGCGAAAGUAUUUUUGAAAAUAUACACAUAGAGAUUGCGCGUUCGGUGCAAUGCAACAAUGUGAGCCAUUCUGAAGUUUUUAAUUUCAGAUUAAUGAAUGCUACAAAAUUCUAAGAAGGGCCGUUUCCAAAUAUUUGAGUUCAUUUAUCCGAACAUCGGAUAAGUAAUGAUCAUAGAUUAUUAUUAUUAUCUGACGUUCUUAUAAUGGUUGGCAUUAUAAGAGGGUAUAUGCUUCUUUCUCUAGCCCCUCCUUCAAGGGAGGGACAAUGUGAUCUGUAUCGUUAGAAGCUAUUCCAUGUCGUCAUCUUUUGGCUUAAGUCAAUACUAAAAUAUAUGGGCGGGGCCCCUGUCAUUUUAUAUUUCUUCUAGAAGGUUUGUUCUGGAAAUCUUUCACCGAAACAUAUCUUUUUCUUCUCUACGUGAUCCGUGGUUGGAAAGUUAGAAAAAUGGGUCCGUUCACAAGCCACCGAGUUGAAAAGUUGGAAAAAUGGCAACACCGCCAACCUCUUGUAUUCGAUAGUUAAAUAAAAGGUCACUGGAAGUGAGAUCCCUUUUGGCCUCUUGAUUUUCAUCCCAGCAUCUCUAUGUCCUGAUAAACUAAAAAACUAAAAAAAAAACAGUACGUGGGUUGGUGUUAAGCAUCAAGAGUCAAGACAUGAUAAUGGAGAGAAAGGAUAUUCAAAUUCCAGUUCUGACAACAUGAUUUUCUUUCCUGAACAACCAUGUUAUAUUUGAUCAAGAAAGAGUAGUGCAUGUGGCCAGGAUCAAGACAUACAUUAAUUUCCACAUGAUGAAGACAGUUUCUGAGAGUUUCUUCUAAAGCUCUUGCGCUAGUAGGCUUCAAGUCAAAAUUUCCCAUGUAAACACUGGAUUUUCUUUAAUUGCCACUAAGGAUACAGUUAAAAUUGACUUAAAAUCCUACGUGAUAUAUAUCUUUAACAAAAGUAUAUUGUAUAUAAUAUUUGAAAUAAUGUUGAUUCGUUGUGGAAAUAUGUUUGUAAGGAAAGUUGUUGACAAUUUAAUAUAGUAUAAGAAGAAAAAAGUUAUCAACUAGAGAUGAGUAUGUAAAGUGAGGCUCACGAUUCAACGCGUAAAUAUAAGAUAUUUUAAGGCUCAAUAGUUAUGAUAUCUAUUUUAUUUUUUGUAUCCCAUAUAUUCAAAGAUACAGUAAAAUGAUUUUAUAUAUAUGAACAUAGCCGAUAGUAUCAUGUUAAAACCUUAUAUGACUCUUUGUGCCAAUUGAUUUUUAUCUUUAUUUUGUGUAUUAGUAAUUAGUAUUAAAGUUUUUACUAACAUAAUAAUUGAUAUAAAAGCUUUUUCCAAAAGAGUCAAACAGAGCAAAACACUUAUUAUAAAAAGAAUUUUGAUUGAAGGUGGAGUCAAUUAUUCUUUAUUCAACAUGUGAUGCAUACAGCGGGUACUUCAUAACUAAAGUAUAUAAGUGCAACAUCUCUUAUACAUUCUCAUUCAAUCUCGAAAGUGGAAAAUUUUAAAAGAUUAAAUGGUUCAAAUUUUCCGUGCAUAAAGGGGAUCAUGUCACAUAACCAAACCAUGGCAUACCAAAGCCAUGAUAUGGACUAAGAAUUUUGUUAAAAUAAGUUUCUUAUUAGGGCACAUUAUGUGACUAUUUAUGACAUAUCAAAGGAGUCAAGUGCAUCAAUAAAGACAUAGAAAAUUCAUGCAUCACAUGUACCACUAAGAGAAAAUUGACUUGAUAGAGUUUAGUCCAAAUAGGAGAUUGUUAAAAGGUGCAUCAAAUUCUUGAUUGAUAUAUAUUUUUUUUAUUAGAAAGGUUAUUAUAUAGAUAUUUCAAUAGACUAUUAAUCCUUUGUAAAAAUAGUUAUAUAAUGAGGAUGGUGAUUAAAAAUAUCUCUAUCAAUAUUUUGGAUUAUAAAAAGAAAAAAAAUAUGAGAAAAUGAUAAACAUAUAAAACUUGUACAAGUAGAUAGAGAUGUGAUGAAAGACACUUGAUGAAUGGAGGCCUUGUAUUUCAAGAUGUAAAUAUAUGGAGCAAAACUCUUAAUUAUAUGAUCAAAUGAUUCUCUCAUAUUCAUGAACAUAAGCAGGAUUGGGGAACCAUGAUAGAAUCUUAUAUGCCUCUCCAUGUAGAUUGAUCGAUGUUUAUCUUCAUAUUUUACACCAAUGAAUGACAUUGAAACUCUGAUUGAUAAAAGGGAAAAAGCAUGGCCUCCACCACAAGAAAAACAAGUAACCUCGGUCUAAAUCACUAGUCUACACCCCGAAGAGAGAACUAGCCAAACCUACUAAAAGAGAAACUUACCAAUUUAGAAAGAAAUCUUCCAUGAUAAAGGGCCCCUAAAAGUCCAAUUCAGUCAGGUUGUGAACAAAAACACCUUCAUGUCAAAACAGGAAUAGGUACCACCAAAAUGUAAAGGGAAAGAUGUAAACCAAGUCGAACUUUGGUAAACAAUGGUAAAGAUAGCAUGAUAGCUAAAAGCACUAAAGCUGUGCUUGGUAUGCAAAAAUGAAAAGUGGAAAUCAGCGUCUUAUUCUUUUUCUCCUUUAUUCACAUAUUAGGAUAACUAAUAUCUAAUGUUUUUUUUAUGUCUCAAAUUCUAUUCCAUGUUAUGGUAAACUUUCAUCUUGUUUAAGUGGAAGAGUAGGAUCACUUUUGUCUGGUUUGGGCUCAAGACGAUAAGCCUAUAGAGACUUCAUAUUGGGUUGAAUUGAUGCCCUUGAUCCGAUCAGUUCGUUAGAAAAAUCUGAAUUAUUAUAAGCAUUUAGAUAAAAUAAAUAAAUAAAUGUGAAACAGAGACUAUUCUCUGCACAACCUUGACCCUAGUUACUCAGUUUCACUGCUCACGGGACUAACCUCUCCAUUCAGUCGAAAUGAAUUGUAAUUUCUUUACUGGUAGCAGUAGUACUUUUCAUAGCAAAGAUAAUAGUAAAUAUGAAAUAUAAAUAUAUAGAAGGAAAUCUGGAUUGUAGAUAGCACCAUAAGUAACACUCAAUAUUUACUACAUAAUAAAAGAGAUAGUGUUACAAAGGUAGAGAAACCUACAAUGAGUACUCAUCACCAUUCUCAAACAGAAACAUAGCAGUGACUUAUACAUAGAACCUAUAGGCUCGCAGGGAAAGAGUAACAUGAUAAGUGCACAGCGGGUAGCAGCUCUUAUUUUACGUAUUACUCAAAAUCUCAAACUAACCAAAGUCACUCAGUUGGGAUGGGUAGGAGAUGGUGGUUUGUGGGGUGGCUUCUGGGUAGGAGCUGGUGGCUUCUUUGUUGGAGUUGAAGGAGGCGUAAUCUUCUGAGGUGGCUUGUAUGAGUCUUUGGCACUCUCUGCAGGAGGGUGCCCAGGGUUGUGACCGGAAGGAGGUGGCUUCUGUCCCUUUGGUGGUUUGCCUAAUGGGCUUGGUGGCUUGUGCUCCGGGAGUUGUUUCUCUCCCUCGAGUAGGUUUCGAGUUUUGUCAGAUGGCUUGUGUUCUGGUGGUGGCUUCUCUCCCUGGGGUGGUUUGCCGAAUGGGCUUGGUGGCUUGUGUUCGGGGAGUGGCUUCUCUCCCUUGGCAGGUUCAGUUGGUGGCUGGUGCUCCGUAGGUGGUUUCUUCACCGCCGGCUUCUCUCCCUGGAGAAGGUUACGAGUUUUGUCAGAUGGCUUCUGUUCUGGUGGCGGCUUCUCUCCCUGGGGUGGUUUGCCAAAUGGGCUUGGUGGCUUGUGUUCGGGAACUGGCUUCUCUCCCUUGGCAGGUUCAGUUAGUGGCUGGUGUUCCGUAGGUGGUUUCUUCACCGGCGGCUUGUGCUCCGGAAGCGGCUUCUCUACCUGGAGAAGCUUACGAGUUUUGUCAGAUGGCUUGUGUUGUGGUGGUGGCUUCUCUCCCUGGGGUGGUUUGCCAAAUGGACUUGGUGGCUUGUGUUCGGGGAGUGGCUUCUCUCCAUUGGGAGGUUUAGUUGGUGGUUGGUGUUCCGUAGGUGGUUUCUGAAGUGGGGGAUGCUUGGGGUAGUCAGCAAGAGACGAGGUAGUGAGAACCACCAGUCCCAGCAGCAAUACUAGCAAGGAUGUGGAAGACAUCUUUGAGUUCAGGCUGAGAUUUGUGCAAGGCUAGAAGAAUUAGGUGGCCUUUUAUAGCGGGCUGGACCCAACAACCAAAUGACACGUAUCAUGAUACACAUAUGUGUUAUAAGAUCCUUGUGGGUCCUACAGAAGUUGAAAACUUUGACAAUUGAGGUGUGAUUACAACUUUUGUCCCUAUUGCUUUCUCGUCAGCCGUUUUGCAAGAUUUUUGACAGGAGGACGGUAGUUUAAAAUAAUAAUUUCUAAAGUACUUUUGUGAAAAAAAAUAAUUCCAAACGUGGAUUUUAUCAAGUAAAAAAAACAAAAAAAAGUUAUUUUCUUUUAAAAUCUUUUCUUCAUGAUUCAUAUACCAAAAAAAGAAUUGUUUUCUGUAGGUAAAAUUUUUAAAAUUCAUUUUUAAAAAAAAAAAAUUACACACUAAAAUUAUCUCUUCAAGAAAAUAUUUUUUAAAUUUUAAAUAAUUAUUAAUUUAUAAUUAAUUUUUUAUUAAUUAUUUAUUAAAUUUAUAUGUGAAAAAUGCAUUUAUAAAAAACAAAUUUUUUAUUAAUUUAUUAAAUAAUUAUUUACAAAAUAAAUAAUUUUGCUUUAUUUUAAUUUUAAAAUUAAUUUUAUUAUAUAAAUUUUAAAAUUAAAAAUAUUAAUAUUUAAUUUAAAAUUUAACUAUAAAAGGAAUAAAAUAUAGAAAAAUAAAUUAAUUUAUUAUUCAAUAAAUUAAUUUUCAAUAAAAUUUUCAGCAUUAAGAGAUAAAUUUUUAAGUAUUAAUCAAUUUAAAAAAUAAUAAUAAUCAUUUGUAUACUAAGAUAUUUUAUUUAGUAAUUAUGAAUGAUAAACAACUAAAGUAAUUUGAAAAAAUAAUAAAAUAUUUAAAAAUAAUAAUUUAAUACACUUAAAAUUAGAAAUGAUUAACUAUUUUUUAUUAAGAAAAAAUUGAAGAAAUAUUUUGUUAUUUAAAAUUUUUUAUUUGUUUUCAAUUUUAAAUGUUAUAGGUUUCAAGAAAAUUGAUCAAAUAAAAAUUAAGAAGUCAUUUUUUCAAAAACUAUAUAUCUAAAUAAAAGCCUUGAAAUUCAAAUACACAAUAUCAUAAAUAUAAACACCAAGUCAAUCCUUAAUUAUCAAAUGUUUUUAAUAUUAAAGAAUCAAAAUCACCUACUAUCAUGAUAAUAAGAAAACCAAUAAUAUUGUUCAUAUAAAUACUAAAAAGCUAACAAAUAUCCCAAACAAUUAAUAAAGUAUCAAACAUGAUAAAAAGUCAAUUAUUAUCAUGAAUGCAAAAAAUCAAUAAUUUUGUUUAUAUGAACCAUCAACAAAGAAAAAAAAAAUCAAUAUCUAAAUAUUAAACAUAAUUUAUAUUUUUAUAAAUAUUAUUGUUGAUAAAUAUCUUAAUAAUUAUAAUUUUUUAUAUAUUAAAUUUAGUAAAUAAAAUUAAUUAAUUUUAUAAUAUAAGAUAUAUAUAAUAAUUAAGAGACUAUUUGUCCCAAACAAUUUAUUUAUUUUUUUUUUAGGAAAUUGUCUCUUCAAGAGACGACUUCUCCCAACAUUUUUAAAAAAAAAAAAAAAAACAUCUAUUCAAAAGACGAUUUCUCCUCAUUUUUUAAAAAUGAAUUUUAGAAAUCAUAUUUUCAAAAAUGAAUUUUAGAAAUCAUAUUUUCAAAAGACGAUUUUUUUUUAUAUAAAUUAUUUUUUAAAAUGACGAUUUUAAAAGGAAAUAACGAUCUCUCUCCUACUUGGCAAAAACUAUGGUAAAUUUGGAAUUAUUUCUUCCACAACCAUAGUUUAAGAAUUAUUUUUUUAUACUUUCGUAGACUUAUCAAAAAUCCCUAUUUUGCAUGUCUCAUUUGGCAUGACUUUCUUACCUAAACAAGCAUAUAUAUAUAUAUAUAUAUAUAUAUCACUUUUGUCUGGGUUGAGUCAAUGCCCUUAACUAAUUUGUUCAUUUGAAUAGUCUAAAUUAUUAUAAGCUUUUAGUUAAGAAAAAUGUGAAACAUAAAUUACACCUCUCGGCACAACUUCGACACUGGUUACUCUGUUUCAGUUUAUUCACACAAGAUUAUUGGUUCUAGGGUUUAUUUGGUUUUGGUUUGAUUCUAAUUGCUAAACUUUCUCAAGGAAGAUGUUAUAUAGGGAGUGAGAAACCUUCACUCCUGGCUACCUCCAAGAGAAGAGCAAGUGGUCUGAAUCAAAGAUAUACUGCUCACUUUUUCUUCUUCUAAGGACAGCUAUGACCUUGCUUUAAAAUGUUCGAAUAGCCUAAUGCAACCUCCCAUUUCUCAAGUCAGCUGAUGAUGUAAGUCACCUUGGCUUUCCACAUUCAUACGGUGAGGACGUUUGUGGGUGUAAUUCUCUUAACAGUUUUCAUUUUAUAUGGAAAAAUUCAUAAUUAAGGGUAAUUACUGAUUCCAUUUGACAGUGACCAAGUUUAAAAUAUUAACUCAUGUAUUAAAUGCACAUUAAAAAAUCAUGGAAUAAAUAUAUUUACUAAUAUAUAGUUCUUUUGUCAUGUUCUGUCACAGAAGCAUCGAACUUUCCCUAGAAAUUUUUGCAUGGUAUUCUGCUUAUGAUUUUGAAAACUCUAGGCACCUAAGGCCACUGAUUGCAUGGUUGGAUGAGGAGCUGCAUGAGAUUAUGUAUCCUGUUGCUCCUUAACUACAAAUAUCAGUUUUAAGUAGCAUCUCCAUGUGACAUUUUCCUGAUGCAAUUUCGCUGUCCACCAACAAAUGUCUCCAUGCAGCUAGAUGAAUUGUAAUUUCUUUGUUGUUAUCAACAGCUUUAAUUAAUCUUGAUAUAUAUAUAACUUAGUAGAAGUAAUUAAUCUAGAUUGUAGUUGCACUAAGAUAAUAGGCAAUAUUAUAACAGUGCCACAAUGCUCAUCGCCAAAUAGAAAGGUAGAAAAACUACAAUGAGUAACUCACACAACAUUCUCAAACAGGACAUAGCGGCGACUGAUACAUAGAACACUAUUGGCACUCAGGAAAUGAUAAGAUCAGUGCCCAGCAGGCAGCACGUCUUAUUUUACAUACUACUUAAAACUAACCAAAGUCAUUCAGUUGGGAUGGGUGGGAGAUGGUGGUUUGUGCGGUGGCUUCUUUCCUGGAACUGGUGGUUUUUUUGUUGGAGUUGAAGGAGGCUUAAUCGUCUGAGGUGGCUUGUAUGAGUCUUCAGCACUCUCUGCAAGAGGGUGCCCAGGGUUGUGACCAUAAUGAGGUGGCUUCUCUCCCUUAGGUGGUUUGCCAAGUGGGCUGGCUGGCUUGUGCUCCGGGAGCGGCUUCUCUCCCUUAGGUGGUUUGCCAAAUGGGCUUGCUGGCUUGUGCUCUGGGAGCGGCUUCUCUCCCCCAAGAAGUUUGCGGGUUUUGUCAGAUGGCUUGUGUUCUGGUGGUGGCUUCUCUCCUUGGGGUGGUUUGCCAAAUGGACUUGGUGGCUUGUGUUCGGGGAGUGGCUCCUCUCCCUUGGGAGGUUUAGUUGGUGGCUGGUGUUCCGUAGGUGGUUUCUCAACCGGGGGCUGGUGCUCCGUAGGUGGUUUAUGAACUGGGGGAUGCUUGGGGUAGUCAGCAAGAGACGGGGUGGUGAGAACCACCAGUCCCAGCAGCAACACUAGCAAGUAUGUGGAUGACAUCUUUGAGUUCAGGCUGAGAUUUGUGCAAGACUAGAAGAAUUAGGUGGCCUUUUAUAGCUGGCUGCACCCAACACUCACAUGACACGUAUCACGGUGACACAUGUGCUAUGGGAUCCAUUUGGGUCCUACAGAAGUUGAAAACUUUUGACUAUUGAGGUGUGAUCACAACUUUUGUCCCUAUUGCUUUCUCCGCAACCGUUUUACAUGUUUCCUUUGUGGUGUUUAAUAGUGUUUUUUUCCUUAAUUCUAAAUAAACCUUAAUACUUAAUAAUGUUAAAUAUUAGGUUAUUUAUUUUUAUAAUAUUUUAUUUAUAUUAAGUAUUAAAAAGUAAAGAAAAAUCAAUAUAUUUAUUUUUCUAUUUAGAAAAAACUAUAUAUUUUUAAUUUUUUUAUUUAAUAAAAAAUUUAUAAUAAAUCAUGAAAAAAUAGAAAAACAAACAACCUAAAUUUUAAAAAUAAAUUGUUUUUAGUAAAAACCCAAAAAAACAAACACCACCUUAACUAAACAAAUAUAUAUUAUAUUUAGUUAAGAAAGAGUAAAGUGUAUAUGGCUCAAAUCAAGGAAGAGAAACAGAAUAAGUGGAAGACAAUCAAUUGUGAUAAACAGAUAUAUUACAUGCAUGUAGUACUAGUGACUUUAUCAUUUACUUUUAUACAAUAGAUCAUCACACUCUUUCUUCUAAAUAUUUUGGAGGAUAAUGGUACAUGUUGCUUGUUGCCAAGUCAAAAUUGGUGGCAAAAAUCGGCAUGAUACGAAAGGAUUGGUGAAAAGAUUCACAUAGAUGGUGCUUUGUGCAAUGCAGUCUUGCUCUAAUUCAACAGAGUGGACCAUGGUGAUGUAUUUUAAAUUUUAAAUUUUAAAUUAAUGCAUGCUUCAAAGUUUUAACUAGAUGUCACUUCCAUGGAUUUUUGUUCAUUUAAUUGAGAACAGGAUAGGCUAUCAAACUUGAAGUAAUAUAAAAAUCCCUUCAUUACUGUAACUAAUGAAAGAUCAUUAUCUGCGCUUGGUAUUUUGCCAAGGUAUUUGCUGCUCUUUCUAGCCCUAUCUUACAGUUAAGGACAAUGUGAUCUAGUUAACCUUAGAAGCUAUUCCAUGUCAUAUACAAGAGAUCAAGCACAUUAUCUUUGGGCUCAGUUCAAAACUAUAAUAUAUGGGUGGGGUGGGGGCCUAUACCAUUUGCAUAUCACCACUAUUGGUUUAGUUUGGAAGGUUUCUUCUGGAAGAUUGCUUUCUGGAAACAUUUCAAAGAAAUAUAUCUUUUUGUUCUCUUGGUGACGAGCAGCGGCAAUCAAGUCUGUUGACAAACAACCGAGUUGAAAAGUUUGAAAAUUGGUCACAGCCCACGUCCAUGGUUAAGGAAAAGGUCACUGGAAGUGAUCCCUUCUGGGCCUGUUGGAAGCAGGGGAGGUUAACACACCAAGCAACAAAGAACAGAGAUAUGCUGCUACUGAUCUAUAUUUUUUAUUUGAUCAUAAGGCUAAAUUUAUACAGAUUGUGUAACAGAUAUGACCUCAAAAAAAAGCAUCAAAUCAAGCUACUUGUUGAACAAACAACUACCUUCUACAAAAUAACAUCAAAAUUUAACUUAAAAGCAAAAACAUAAAAAUAGCAACAGCAAAAAUAGAAACAUAAAAAUAGCUUCAGCAUUCUAGUAAUCUCGUUGACUUCAAUUGCAUGUGGUUGACGAUUUCAGCCUUUUCCUCAGCAGCUACUAAGGCAUAACUCUCAACACUCCUCCUUGACUUAGGAGGUGCAAACUCCAAGUCUUUCUCAUAGAAACUCAAAUCUUAUUUUAGGAAGAGCUUUAGUCAGAAUAUCUACAUUUUGACUGUCUGUAUUGCAGUAGACUAGUUGUAUAUCUCCUUCUUUCUGUACUUCCCUCAAAAAUUACAAUUUAAUCUUGAAGUGCUUUGUUUUACCAUGAAAAACUGGAUCAUUUGCAAUAGAUAUAGUGGCCUGGUUGUCUACAAACACCUUUGUACUCACUUCUUGCUUCAUAUCCAAAUCUGUCAGCAACUUUCCAAGCCAUAAGGCUUGAUUUACAGCUGUAACAGCAGCAAUAUACUCUGCCUCAGCUGUGGAUUGAGCCACGACUUCUUGCUUCCUUGAACUCCAUGAAAAAACACCAGAACCAAAACUAAAACAAUAGCCUGAAGUACUUCUCAUAUCGUCAACACAACCAGCCCAAUCACUAUCAGAAAAUCCAUGAAAAUUGAAACUUUGAACUUGACUGAACUUAAUGCCAUAAUCCACAGUGCCUUUAACAUUUCUUAUCACACGCUUUGCUGCCUGGAAAUGAAUUUCACUAGCACAAUGCAUGUAUCUCGAAAGUAGACUUACAGCAUGCAUUAUAUCGAGUCUUGUUGCAGUCAAGUACAUUAAGCAUCCAAUCAUGCUUCGAUAAAGUCCUUCAUCUACCUUUUUAGCACCGUCCUCCUUACAGAACUUCUCUUUCUGGUUCAUAGGGGUAGAUGUAGGUUUGCAUUCCUCCAUUUUGAAUUUCUUCAUAAUUUCUUUGGCAUAUUUUUGUUGGCAGAUGAAAAUCUCAUUCUGCUUCUGGUGUACUUCCAUUCCCAAGAAGUAAGACAUCUCAUCUAGGUCUGUCAUCUCAAAAACCUGCUCCAUUUCAGCCUUGAAUUUGUUCACAAACCCUGCAUUACUUCCUGUUACAAGCAAAUCAUCAACAUAUAGAGAAACAAUUAAUAUAUCUUCUUCAAUCUUCUUAAUGUAGAGUGUAAAUUCACUCAAGCUCUUGUGAAAGCCUAAAGUUAGCAGGUGAGUGUCAAUCCUGCUGUACCAAGCUCUAGGGGCUUGUCUUAACCCAUACAAGGCCUUCUUAAGAAGGUAUACUUUUUCUUCUUUUCCUUUGAUAGCAAAACCUUCUGGUUGUUCGACAAAAAUCUCUUCCUCUAAGUAGCCAUUCAAAAAUGCUGACUUCACAUCUAGUUGAUAAAUCUUCCAUUUUCUUUGAGCUACAAGAGCCAACAACAUCCUGAUUGUAUCCAAACGAGCUACUGGUGCAAAGGUUUCCGAAAAGUCAACACCAAACAUUUGUGCAUACCCUUUGACAACCAGCCUUGCUUUAUGUUUGUUUAUAGAACCAUCAGAGUUGAGUUUGGUUCUGUAAACCCACUUAACCCCAAUAGGUUUUUUGUGUGAAGGUCUAUCUACUAGCUCCCAAGUGUUGUUCUUGUCAAUCAUAUCUAGCUCCUCCUGCAUUGCAACCCUCCAUCUUUUAUUUUCAGCAGCUUCAACAAACCCUGCAAGUUCAAGAACAGCUAUAUUACACCUUUGAUAAAUAUCAAAAAGUGUCAUGAAACCUCUAACUGGAAGUUCAUCAACAUCUUCAUCAAUAUAUUGCUGAUUCUGCUCAUCCCAACUCCAUUUCUCCGUUUCCAAAAACUUAACAUCUCUACUUACCACAAUUUUACUAUUUUGUGGCAAGUAGAUUCUGUAAGCUUUUGAGGUGCUGUUGUAUCCAAUGAAAAUUCCUGGUUCUGACUUUUUAUCUAGCUUGUCUCUUUUCACCUGAGGAACAUAAGAGAAACACAAGCAACCAAAGGUCUUUAAAUUCAUUAGCAUAGGCUUAUAAGCAAACCAGGCCUCAAAAGGUGUCUGUUUCUGCAAUGCUUUUGUUGGUAGUCUAUUUAGCAAAAAUACUACUGUAUUUGCAGCUUCAACCCAAAAACUUUUUGGCAGCUCUUUCUCAUGCAAAAGACAUCUUGUCAUUGAUUACUACUCAAAAAGUGCUAUUUGAUAGCCUUUAAUUAAUCCUUUUUAACACUUUUGAGUAGUAGUUUAGGCCUUUUAACUCAAUUGGCAUGUUAAGGAUCCUUUAAAGCAAUUUUGAUCACUUUGUGCAAGUUUUGGUGUUUUUGUUAGUAUUUCGAUCACCAAAGCAAGUCAAGAAUGAGGAGAGCUAUGAGGAAUCUUGGGCAAAGCUUAGAAUUCAAUUGCCAAGAGUGAAUCCGGAUUGCAAGGAGAAAAAGCAAAGAGGAUCAGUCAUGGAGCAUAUUCUUGAUGACAGUCGUAGCAGCCACUUUUGGAUCACUUUCUGAAGUCCAAAUGAUGCAAGCUAUAUACCAUUUCAAAGCUCAGGAAGUCAACAAUCCAAUGCUUCAAACGGUGUGCGAUUCGGAAUUGAAACGAAGAAGUUGCAGCCAUUACAAGCCAGACACUCUAAAGUGUUGCGGAAUCAGCCAUGUGUUGCGAGAAUUUCGCAGCACUUUUGUACAGUAAGGUGUUUCUCCUUCUAACGAUGCACGAACCAUGCCGCGAGAAGGGAGCUGGAAACUUCAAGAUGGAAGCCAACUUUGCAGCCUAGUGAAGAUAGCUCGGUCUUGCAAGAUAAUUUCGCAGCCCUCUUGGGUGUCUGCGAAAUUUCGCAGGCCUCAUUUUUCACCUGCGAAAUGGCUCUUGAAGCCUCCCGAAGCUUGCUACCGACAUUGGGAGAUAUUUUCCAUUAGAUUUUUGUUGUCUAAAUCCCAAAAUACUCCUUGUAAACCACCAAUUACAUGAUUCCUUAGUUUUUAAGUUAGUAAAAAGACCAAAUAUCUUUGUAACAAUUAGUUUUAUAUUUUGUUGUUAUAAAUACCUCUCGGGAGCCUGUUCUCAGGGAGGAGUUCCUUCUGUAAACGUUUGGUAAGCAAGUAAAGUCUAUUUUCUUUCUACUGCCUUACCUUCUCACUUUGUAUUUUCAUUUUAUUUCUAAGUUAUGAAUUCUCUGAGGAGUUUUCCCCAAAGAAUGAGUAACUAAACCUCCAAUUCCUUGGAGCUAAGGUUGCCGGGGAAGGUUCCAAGUGCAAGAAUGCAAAGCUCUGUGGUUUUAGCUAGUAAUGAAGAGGAAGUGAAAUCCUUUAGUGAUUUCAAUGUUUUUAGUUAACUUAAAACACUUUGGAGUCACCUGGGCCAACACUUGGUAAGGCAAGUGAUUUCCAACCAUGGAAAUGCACUAGUUUACCCCUUGCGAGCCUCUGGUAGGUGACUUCAAGGUAGGAUUUUCUGGAAUUACCAACACUUGGUAAGCUUUUGGACUCCUAGGAGACAUCCAUUAGUUAUCUCUUGCGAGUUUGUGAAGGGAAUCCAAGGUUAAAGAUCACCUUGAAUGGUAAGUGCUCGUGAGAGGCAUGAACCAUUGCAAGUUGUAUCAGUGAGAGAAUUAAAGUGAAAUCUAAUUGAAGGAGUCUUUGUACAUCACCGGUUAGAGAAUUGACUAUAAGUUGAAUCUCUAAUGCGAGGAAAUGAACCAACUGACCAGAGCCGUGUCUUUUGCAUGAGGAACCACCCCAGUGAACCUAAAUCUCCAAGGAAUGUUUUUUUCUUCCUAAAUUAUUCCAAACUUCUGUUAAGUUAGUUAGUUUAAAUCUCAACCUUUACAAAUCAAAGUUUGUGUUUUAUUCCUUAAGCUAACCGUGAAAUGAAACAAGACCAAUUCACUUGGAAUUGGUAUCAUUGAUUGCCUGCAAAUCAUUCCCAGUGAACGAUCCUAGAGCCACUAUACUAUAGUAGCUUUGUAUUUGCUACCCUAGUGUAUGGUGUUAUAGGUAUAAAUUUUGUUGAUCACUUCCUCAAUCAAGGAGCACCAGCUGAACACAAAUCAGCUGAGACACCAAUUAGGCAUGAGUCAAAUGGCGCCGUUGCCGGGGAAUGAAUGUCAAGUUCAUUGUGAUACCAUUGUUGAGCACUUGUGAUUUUCAUCACAAGUUGGUAAAGUUUCUUUCACUUUACUAAUUUUCAUUCUUUCUUUGUUUAUUUACAAUCUAAGUUUAUCUUUUUAAAUUUUAGUCUAGUUUAAUUUUGUUGUUGUAGCCCUGUUUUUCUUGUUGUCCUCUGUUUUCAUUUUUUUUUUCAGGUAGAUACUAGUUGUGUAUGCCCAAGUGGAUACGAGACAUAGGAGGUAGGCUUGUUAAGUGUGAUACACCUCAGAAAGGAGAAUUUGAAGUAAUCUUGAAUAUCAUGGAGGCUGCACCUGAAGAUCAGCAUAGUCACCAAGGUCGUCAAGACAAUCUCAAUGAAUUCAGAUCAAUGAGGGACCGUAUGCAUCCACCUCGUAUGAGUACACCAUCAUGUAUAGUGCCCCCUACAGAGCAGCUAGUGAUCAGACCAUAUCUUGUUCCACUUCUACCAACUUUCCAUGGGAUGGAAAGUGAGAAUCCGUAUGCACACAUCAAGGAAUUUGAAGAUGUUUGUAAUACAUUCCAAGAAGGAGGAGCUUCAAUUGACUUGAUGAGGCUUAAGUUAUUUCCUUUUACUUUAAAGGAUAAGGCCAAAAUUUGGCUUAAUUCUUUAAGGCCAAGGAGUAUCCGCUCUUGGACUGAUUUACAAGCUGAGUUCCUUAAGAAAUUUUUUCCUACUCAUAGAACAAAUGGCUUGAAAAGGCAAAUUUCAAACUUCUCAGCUAAAGAGAAUGAGAAAUUCUAUGAGUGUUGGGAAAGAUACAUGGAAGCUAUAAAUGCUUGUCCUCACCAUGGCUUUGAUACUUGGCUAUUGGUGAGCUAUUUUUAUGAUGGUAUGUCCUCCUCAAUGAAGCAACUCCUCGAGACAAUGUGUGGAGGAGAUUUCAUGAGCAAAAAUCCAGAGGAAGCUAUGGAUUUCUUGAGCUAUGUAGCUGAUGUUUCAAGGGGAUGGGAUGAACCAACUAAAGGAGAAGUGGGAAAGAUGAAGUCUCAGUUGAAUGCUUACAAUGCAAAGGCUGGGAUGUAUAAUUUGAAAGAAGAUGAUGACAUGAAAGCAAAGUUGGCAGCUAUGACAAGAAGAUUGGAGGAGCUGGAGCUGAAAAGAAUGCAUGAAGUGCAAGCUGUUGCUGAAGCACCAGUGCAAGUGAAGCUGUGUCCCAAUUGUCAAUCAUUUGAACAUUUGGUGGAGGAGUGCCCUGCAAUUUCAGUUGAAAGGGAAAUGUAUAGAGAUCAAGCAAAUGUUGUUGGACAAUUUAGGCCCAAUAACAAUGCUCCUUAUGGAAAUACCUACAAUUCAAGUUGGAGGAAUCAUCCAAAUUUCUCAUAGAAGGCCAGAGCAACUCAAUACCAACAGCCGGAUCCACCAUCUCAGCAAUCUUCAAGUAUUGAACAAAUAAUAGCCAAUCUCAGCAAGGUAGUGGGAGAUUUUGUGGGAAAGCAAGAAGCCACCAAUGCUCGAGUUGAUCAAAGAAUGGAUAGAAUGGAGAGUGUGUUGAACAAAAGAAUGGAUGGAAUGCAAAAUGAUAUGAACCAAAAGUUUGAUAACAUCCAAUAUUCAAUUUCAAGGCUUACAAAUUUGAAUACACUGCAAGAAAAAGGAAGAUUUCCUUCUCAACCUAACCAAAAUCCCAAAGGUGUCCAUGAAGUGGAAAGCCAUGAGGGAGAAUCAUCACAGGUGAAAGAUGUGAAAGCUUUGAUCACUCUAAGGAGUGGUAAGAAAAUUGAGCAGCCAACACCCAUGCCACAUGUUGAGAAAGAAGAAGGGAUAAAGAAAGGAAAGGAAAUAGAAGAUAAAGACAGUGAGAUCAGUGAAGAAAAGAAGGACUCUGAUUCAACAAUCAAAGCAAUUCCAGAGAAAGAGCUUCUGAAGGAAGAAAUGCUGAAGAAAUCAACUUUUCCACCUUUUCCUCAAGCAUUACAGGGGAAAAAGGGGGUUAGAAAUGCAGCUGAAAUCCUUGAAGUCUUAAGACAAGUAAAAGUUAAUAUUCCACUGCUGGAUAUGAUCAAACAAGUUCCAACGUAUGCAAAAUUCCUAAAGGACUUGUGUACUAUCAAAAGAGGGGUUGACUGUAAACAAGAAAGCCUUCUUGACUGAGCAAGUAAGUGCAAUCUUACAAUGCAAGUCUCCUUUGAAGUACAAAGACCCUGGAAGUCCUACCAUUUCAGUCAUGAUUGGAGGAAAGGUAGUGGAGAAAGCCUUGCUAGACUUGGGAGCAAGUGUGAAUUUGCUUCCAUACUCUGUCUACAAGCAACUGGGACUUGGAGAGUUGAAGCCAACAGCAAUCACUUUAUCUUUGGCAGAUAGAUCAGUGAAAAUUCCAAGAGGAGUAAUUGAGGAUGUAUUGGUUCAAGUGGAUAAUUUCUACUAUCCAGUAGAUUUUGUUGUUCUUGAUACUGAUCCAACUGUAAAGGAAGCUAAUUUAGUUCCUAUCAUCCUUGGAAGGCCAUUUCUUGCAACUUCAAAUGCAAUCAUCAACUGUAGAAAUGGGCUUAUGCAACUCACUUUUGGUAACAUGACACUGGAUCUCAAUAUUUUCUAUAUGUCUAAAAAGCAAAUCACUCCUGAGGAAGAAGAAGGUCCAGAAGAGCUAUGUAUUAUUGAUACUUUGGUGGAGGAGCACUGCAAUCAGCAUAUGCAAGAUAAGUUGAAUGAAAGUCUUGUGGAUAUUGAGGAAGGUUUUUCUGAAUCUCCUAUUGGGCUUGCUACUCUACAAAGUUGGAGAAAGAUAGAAGGAAUUCUACCUUUGUUCAAUGAAAAAGAGGAGGCAACUGUUGAAGAAGAAAUUCCAAAACUCAAUUUGAAGCCUUUACCUGUGGAGCUGAAAUAUACAUAUCUUGAAGCAAAUAAUCAAUGUCCUGUUGUGAUAUCCUCAUCUCUGACCAGUCAUCAAGAGAAUUGUUUAAUGGAAGUUCUCAUGAGGUGUAAGAAGGCAAUAGGAUGGCAAAUAUCUGACUUGAAAGGCAUUAGUCCUUUAGUUUGUACUCAUCAUAUAUAUAUGGAGGAGGAAGCAAAGCCAAUUCGUCAAUUUCAAAGAAGGUUGAAUCCUCAUCUACAAGAGGUGGUGCGAGCUGAGGUGCUGAAGCUACUUCAAGCAGGAAUCAUUUACCCUAUUUCUGAUAGCCCUUGGGUGAGUCCUACUCAAGUGGUACCAAAGAAGUCAGGGAUCACAGUGAUUCAAAAUGAAAAAGGGGAAGAAAUUACUACACGCCUCACUUCAGGUUGGAGGGUGUGUAUUGAUUAUAGAAAGCUGAAUGCUGUCACCAGGAAGGAUCAUUUUCCAUUGCCAUUUAUUGAUCAAGUGCUGGAGAGAGUCUCUGGACAUCCAUUUUAUUGUUUCUUGGAUGGGUAUUCAGGCUAUUUUCAAAUUGAAAUUGAUUUGGCAGAUCAGGAAAAGACCACUUUUACAUGUCCAUUUGGAACAUUUGCUUAUAGAAGAAUGCCUUUUGGUUUAUGCAAUGCACCUGCUACAUUUCAAAGAUGUAUGUUGAGUAUUUUCAGUGAUAUGGUGGAGAGAAUUAUGGAGGUUUUCAUGGAUGACAUCACCGUAUAUGGAGGUACAUUUGAGGAGUGCUUGGUUAAUUUGGAAGCAGUUCUUCAUAGAUGCAUUGAAAAAGAUUUGGUGCUGAACUGGGAGAAAUGCCAUUUUAUGGUACGUCAAGGAAUUGUCCUUGGCCAUAUCAUCUCUGAAAGAGGCAUUGAAGUUGAUAAAGCAAAGGUGGAGCUUAUUGCCAAAUUACCAUCUCCAACAACUGUGAAAGGAGUAAGACAGUUCCUUGGCCAUGCAGGGUUCUAUAGGAGGUUUAUAAAAGGUUUUUCAAGUCUUUCAAAACCUCUUUGUGAGCUGUUAGCUAAGGAUGCUAAGUUUAUAUGGGAUGAAAGGUGUCAGCAUAGCUUUGAUCAACUGAAGAAGUUUUUAACAACAACUCCAAUAGUGAGAGCCCCUAACUGGCAAUUACCUUUUGAACUGAUGUGUGAUGCCAGUGACUUUGCUAUAGGAGCUGUGCUUGGCCAAAGAGAAGAUGGGAAGCCCUAUGUGAUUUACUAUGCAAGUAAAACACUAAAUGAAGCUCAGAGGAACUACACAACUACAGAGAAAGAAUUGUUAGCUGUGGUAUUUGCUUUGGACAAAUUUCGAGCUUAUUUAGUGGGGUCUUUCAUCAUUGUCUUCACUGACCAUUCAGCCUUGAAGUAUUUAUUGACAAAGCAAGAUGCAAAAGCAAGGUUGAUUAGAUGGAUUCUAUUGUUACAAGAGUUCGAUCUUCAAAUCAAAGAUAAGAAAGGAGUGGAGAAUGUAGUAGCUGACCACUUGUCAAGGUUAGUUAUAGCACAUAAUUCCCAUCCCUUGCCUAUCAAUGAUGAUUUUCCUGAAGAAUCACUCAUGUUCCUAGUGAAAACUCCUUGGUAUGCUCAUAUUGCUAAUUAUUUAGUAACUGGGGAAAUUCCAAGUGAGUGGAAUGCACAGGACAGGAAGCACUUCUUUGCCAAAAUUCAUGCUUAUUAUUGGGAAGAGCCCUUUCUCUUUAAGUAUUGUGCAGAUCAGAUUAUUAGGAAGUGUGUCCCUGAAGAUGAGCAGCAAGGGAUUCUAUCUCAGUGUCAUGAGAAUGCAUGUGGAGGCCACUUUGCCUCUCAGAAAACAGCCAUGAAGGUAUUACAAUCAGGGUUUACUUGGCCAUCUCUUUUCAAAGAUGCCCACAUCAUGUGUAGAAAUUGUGAUAGAUGCCAAAGGCUUGGAAAGCUAACAAAAAGAAAUCAAAUGCCUAUGAACCCCAUUCUGAUAGUUGAGAUAUUUGAUGUUUAGGGCAUUGACUUCAUGGGACCUUUCCCAAUGUCUUUUGGUAAUUCUUACAUUUUGGUGGGGGUAAAUUAUGUUUCUAAAUGGGUUGAGGCAAUCCCCUGUAAGCAAAAUGAUCACAGGGUGGUUCUCAAGUUUCUUAAAGAGAACAUUUUCUCAAGAUUUGGGGUGCCCAAGGCCAUAAUCAGUGAUGGAGGAGCUCAUUUUUGCAACAAACCUUUUGAAGCUCUGUUAUCCAAGUAUGGAGUGAAGCAUAAGGUAGCCACACCUUAUCAUCCUCAGACAUCCGGGCAAGUUGAGCUAGCUAACAGGGAAAUAAAGAACAUUUUGAUGAAAGUGGUGAAUUCCAACAGAAAAGAUUGGUCUAUUAGGCUUCAUGAUUCAUUGUGGGCAUAUAGAACAGCUUAUAAAACUAUUCUUGGGAUGUCUCCCUAUCGUCUUGUCUAUGGCAAAGCAUGCCAUCUCCCUGUGGAAGUUGAAUACAAAGCUUGGUGGGCAAUAAAGAAGCUGAAUAUGGACUUGAUCAAGGCCGGAGAAAAGAGAUUUCUAGACCUUAAUGAGAUGGAGGAAUUAAGAAAUAAUGCUUAUAUCAAUUCCAAAGUUGCAAAACAGAGGAUGAAGAAGUGGCAUGAUCAACUCAUCUCCAACAAGGAAUUUCAGGAAGGGCAAAAAGUUUUGAUGUAUGACACAAGACUCCAUAUCUUUCCUGGGAAGCUCAAAUCAAGGUGGAUUGGUCCAUUUGUUAUUCACCGAGUAUAUUCCAAUGGAGUGGUGGACUUAUUGAAUUCCAAUGGCAAGGAUAGCUUUAAAGUCAAUGGAUAUCGUCUCAAGCCGUUCAUGGAGUCAUUCAAAUCAGAAAAGGAGGCAAUCAACCUCCUUGAACCUCAAAAAGCCUAAGUGAAAAGGGUUUGCUGGACGUGGCUUUACCACAGUCCAAAAUUUUUGUAAAUUUUGUAAAUUUUCAAGUUGUUUCUAUACUUUUGAUUUUAGUUUUUGAUCUUAAAUCAUGUUUUUAGGUGUGUUUUAAUCGUUUUAAAUGAUCCCAGGUGGAAGAAAUUUCAAGGGGAUUGAAAGAAAAAAAAUCGGGUCGAAAUUGGAGCCGAAACAGAGCAAAAACAGGGGAAAAACAGAGCUCUGCGAAAUUUCGCAGGGUGAAGGAAACCUCUGCGAAAUGAGCAUUUUGUUGCGAAACCAUUCCGCAGCACUGUAGAAGCCUCUGCGAGUGUAUUUCGCAGCUGCGAAAGUGAAUUUGGCACACGAGUGCCACUUCGCAGUACAGUAGCAUCCAUUUGGCAGCUGCGAAACUCAUUGCGAAAUGGAAAAGCGUGAUUUCGCACCAAAAGUCCCAUUCCGCAGGGUAUUUCGCAAUUGCGAAAGUGGUUUUGGCACACGAGUGCCACUCCGCAGCACAGUAACAUCAAUUUCGCAGCUGCGAAACUCACUGCGAAGUUGCUGCGAAAAUGGCAAGUUGCUGCGAAAUUGGCGUUUAGUUGCGAAACUUAAACUGACCCCUGAGCUUCCGUUUUUCCUAUUUAUACCGGUCAAAAGUGCUGCGAAAAGGGUUUCAAAAAUCAGAGCACCAUUCUCGCAGCCCCUUCAUCUUCUUCGCCAAGCCACGCCGUCCGAACCUCCGGUCGUCUUCUCCGUUUAGCAGCGCCGGCCAAAGAUCGAUAUUCCAAAAUGGCACGAACGCGAGGGGCAAAAUCUUCAUCCCCUUCGAAUCGCAAAAGGAGUCUGCGAAAGGAGCCAAGUCCAGGUUCUGCUCCAGAACCUGCUCCAAAGCCUUCGCCGUCGAGACCACAACCUUCUCCAGUGAAGCCGGCGCCACUAAAGCCGCCGGCAAGACGAUAUUUGACAAGGUCAGGCGGUUGGCCAUUGAAGAAGAAGCCCAGGGUUGAGAGCUCUGAACCAAUUGAUUUGACUGAGCAAUCCCCUGAGCAGUCCCCAAAUCCUUCACCAGUUCAAACUCCAGUGCCGUCACCGGUUCCCUCGCCAAUUCCCUCACCUGAAGCAACUCCAAUUCCAUCGUCGGUACCAUCUCCGGCACCCCAAGAAAAAGCUCAGGAGCCUCAAGCGCCAAUUCCAGAGCCCCAAAUUGCAGCUGAAGCACCUCUGGAAGAAGUGAUCCGAAGGCCAAUGCUGCCCCAGCCCCCAAUCGAAGGAAACUUGGAUUGUCGAACACGGGCAUUCCAUUCUGAGCUUUGCUUCGAUUUAACAGCAUUCAGAGUGAGGCCAGAGCUUGCCCAAUCCUUCCAGCUGCUGAGGAGAUAUCAUAUGGAGCAUCUGCUAGCUCCAAGGGAUUUUUUCUAUCCCCGGGUAGUCACGGACUUCUACCAGACCAUGACAACCAAAGAAGUAAGAAAUCCAACUCUGAUCCAUUUCAUAAUUGAUGGAAGGCAUGGUAUUUUGGGAGCAAGACACAUUGCUGAAGCUCUGCAAAUUCCUUUUGAGCCAACCCAAUUCGACAAUUUUAAAGCUUGGGUAAAUCCUACUGAGUUAGAGAUGGUUCGCACACUAACCAGAGGAGCUGCAAAUCGAUCACACCUGUUGAGGGGGGAGCUACCUCCAGUGAUGUUUUUGAUUGAUGCCUUUUUGAGGCAUAAUAUCUAUCCCCUGCAGCAUUGGACCCAAAGAAGGGGAAUUCUCCUGGAAGCUUUGUACAAGAUGUCAGAAGGAUUCUUCUUUGGGCCCCAUCAUCUUAUCAUGGCAGCCCUUCUAUACUUUGAGGAAAAGGUUCACAAGAAGAAACUUCAAAGAGCAGAUUGCAUUCCACUCCUCUUCCCAAGGCUGCUAUGCCAAGUUUUGGAGCAUCUCGGAUACCCCUCUGAGCCUCAGCAGGAAAGAAAGAGAAUAUGCCGUGAGCCAUUUACUCUUGAUAAAUGGAAUAAUAUGACGGCCUACAAAAUUGAUCAGCCUGGGCAGCCUCAGCCAGCAGCAAGGAGAGCCUCCCCAAGACAUGCACCUGAAGGUAUAACACUUGCUACUCCUGCCAUCCCUCGAGCUUCACCAGCUGCACCUGCUGCAUCACAGCCAUCCACAUCAGCUGAGCCGAGGAUGGCCAUCCCUAUAUCCGAAUAUCGAGAGCUGUGCCGAGCAUUGGAGACUCUUACAGCUUCCCAGAGCAAUCUUGCUCAAGAGUUGGCAGCCAUCAAAGCAUGCCAGGAGCAGAUGUUAGCCUCUCAGGCUCAACAAGCUGCCAUCCUAAGGCAGCUUCAAGUCCAUUUCGAUCUGCCACAAGCUGUAGAGCCCUCCACUGAGACUCCACCAGAGCCACACUCUCAGCCUUCAGAGUCUCUUCCUCCAGAGCCAGAAGCCCCAACUGAUCCACCUACAGAGGAGGCGGAUCCUUCUGCUUAGCACCAUCACCCCACUCAUCAGACAUUAUAUAUAUUUGCUGUUUAUGUUUUUAUGCAUGUUUGUUUUGUUUUAGUUGAAAUGAAAUCCCAGUAUUUUGGUACUAUAUAUGGGAUUCCUUGUGAUUACUUGUCCUUAGCAUUGUACUCGAAUGAAUUGAAAGUAAUACAAGUUGAAUUUUUCUUGUUAAAAGUUAGCAUUAAAAUUCUCCUUAUUUCCUUUUCUCACAUAUUCUAUUCUUUUUGAAACAUGUGGUUUUCCCCAAUCAAUAUUCGAAUUUGAUAUCAGCAUGGAGGUACCACUUCCUCCCUUUUAUUACAGUCACUCAAAUCACAUUGAGGACAAUGCUCAGUUCGGUUGGGGGGUAUGAGGAAGGAAGUAUUCUAAAUCUUUUUGGUAUUGCAAUUAUAUUGGUUAAUUAGUUGUAGAUUUUACGUUUUACUCUUGUUACUCUAUUCUCCAUGAAUUUUGAGGAAAAAUUUUCAAAUUAAACCAAGAGAAAUUGAACUGUUGUUUUUCACUUGACUUAGAGUAUGGAUUAUGCUUACUAAAGUGGUUCAAUUGUUGAAACUUCUACUGAAAUUGAAUUGAGUUCUUCCAUUUUAAGCUAUCCACACACUGUGCACAUUAGUUUCUGAUUAUAAGAUGAAAAGCUAUUUCCCUCUUGACUUAGGAUAAUUUUGGGACUUGGUAUAUUUGACCUCAUUUGAUAAAAAUUGAAACACCCUGCAAAAGGCCAAUGAGCCUUUGAAAUAAAGAAAGAUGUUUGCUUGCCUUGAAACCCGAGCAAGGUCUGAGGGGCAUAUGGUGAAAGCCUUUAAAGCCUGGUGCCCUAAGCCUUAAUUGGUUGGGAGUCACCGACCUCAAUGCUCGUUACAAGGGUGAAUAGGUAGAGCUAGCAUAUGGUAGAUGCUUGGGUAUUAGAAAUUCAUUCUUAAAAGUCCAGGGAAAAAUCCGAGGAGUUAGUGGUUGAAAGAUCCUUAAAACUUGGUGCCCUAAACCUUAAUUGGUUGGGAGUCAUCGAUGGACCCCCAUUACAUGGACAAGUCAGAAAGAGUACCCCAUAAAGCUACUUUAAAAAAAAAAAAAAAAAAAAAAAAAAGAUGAUGAAAGUGUGUUCUUUUCUUAUUGAUUUUGGUCAGAUUGCUAAAGUGUUGAAAAGAGAUAGGUUGGGGGGGGAGACUAGUUUAGCAUAUUAUUCUCGGAAUCUAAGGAACCAAUACACAUAGAUUUUUGUGGAAGAUUGAAGUUUAGUUCUUAGAAAGUGAAAUGAUUUUAAAACUUCAGUUUGCAUAAUGCACUCCCUUGAUUGACAGUGUUUAGCAUAGGUGUUAUGACUCUUGUUGAGAUUUGGGUUUGUAUUUCUUUAAUGAUUCAUGUGAGAAGUAAAUCAUCAUGCCACUUAAGAAUUAUUUUCCUUUCAGCAUGAUGUUGUAAAUUUUAGAUUAGUUUGCUAUUUAUUUUUAUUUUUCUCUCCUUUAUUGCUAAGGGACUAGCAAUAUGUCGGUUGGGGGGAGUGAUUACUACUCAAAAAGUGCUAUUUGAUAGCCUUUAAUUAAUCCUUUUUAACACUUUUGAGUAGUAGUUUAGGCCUUUUAACUCAAUUGGCAUGUUAAGGAUCCUUUAAAGCAAUUUUGAUCACUUUGUGCAAGUUUUGGUGUUUUUGUUAGUAUUUCGAUCACCAAAGCAAGUCAAGAAUGAGGAGAGCUAUGAGGAAUCUUGGGCAAAGCUUAGAAUUCAAUUGCCAAGAGUGAAUCCGGAUUGCAAGGAGAAAAAGCAAAGAGGAUCAGUCAUGGAGCAUAUUCUUGAUGACAGUCGUAGCAGCCACUUUUGGAGCACUUUCUGAAGUCCAAAUGAUGCAAGCUAUAUACCAUUUCAAAGCUCAGGAAGUCAACAAUCCAAUGCUUCAAACGGUGUGCGAUUCGGAAUUGAAACGAAGAAGUUGCAGCCAUUACAAGCCAGACACUCUAAAGUGUUGCGGAAUCAGCCAUGUGUUGCGAGAAUUUCGCAGCACUUUUGUACAGUAAGGUGUUUCUCCUUCUAACGAUGCACGAACCAUGCCGCGAGAAGGGAGCUGGAAACUUCAAGAUGGAAGCCAACUUGGCAGCCUAGUGAAGAUAGCUCGGUCUUGCAAGAUAAUUUCGCAGCCCUCUUGGGUGUCUGCGAAAUUUCGCAGGCCUCAUUUUUCACCUGCGAAAUGGCUCCUGAAGCCUCCCGAAGCUUGCUACCGACAUUGGGAGAUAUUUUCCAUUAGAUUUUUGUUGUCUAAAUCCCAAAAUACUCCUUGUAAACCACCAAUUACAUGAUUCCUUAGUUUUUAAGUUAGUAAAAAGACCAAAUAUCUUUGUAACAAUUAGUUUUAUAUUUUGUUGUUAUAAAUACCUCUCGGGAGCCUGUUCUCAGGGAGGAGUUCCUUCUGUAAACGUUUGGUAAGCAAGUAAAGUCUAUUUUCUUUCUACUGCCUUACCUUCUCACUUUGUAUUUUCAUUUUAUUUCUAAGUUAUGAAUUCUCUGAGGAGUUUUCCCCAAAGAAUGAGUAACUAAACCUCCAAUUCCUUGGAGCUAAGGUUGCCGGGGAAGGUUCCAAGUGCAAGAAUGCAAAGCUCUGUGGUUUUAGCUAGUAAUGAAGAGGAAGUGAAAUCCUUUAGUGAUUUCAAUGUUUUUAGUUAACUUAAAACACUUUGGAGUCACCUGGGCCAACACUUGGUAAGGCAAGUGAUUUCCAACCAUGGAAAUGCACUAGUUUACCCCUUGCGAGCCUCUGGUAGGUGACUUCAAGGUAGGAUUUUCUGGAAUUACCAACACUUGGUAAGCUUUUGGACUCCUAGGAGACAUCCAUUAGUUAUCUCUUGCGAGUUUGUGAAGGGAAUCCAAGGUUAAAGAUCACCUUGAAUGGUAAGUGCUCGUGAGAGGCAUGAACCAUUGCAAGUUGUAUCAGUGAGAGAAUUAAAGUGAAAUCUAAUUGAAGGAGUCUUUGUACAUCACCGGUUAGAGAAUUGACUAUAAGUUGAAUCUCUAAUGCGAGGAAAUGAACCAACUGACCAGAGCCGUGUCUUUUGCAUGAGGAACCACCCCAGUGAACCUAAAUCUCCAAGGAAUGUUUUUUUCUUCCUAAAUUAUUCCAAACUUCUGUUAAGUUAGUUAGUUUAAAUCUCAACCUUUACAAAUCAAAGUUUGUGUUUUAUUCCUUAAGCUAACCGUGAAAUGAAACAAGACCAAUUCACUUGGAAUUGGUAUCAUUGAUUGCCUGCAAAUCAUUCCCAAUGAACGAUCCUAGAGCCACUAUACUAUAGUAGCUUUGUAUUUACUACCCUAGUGUAUGGUGUUAUAGGUAUAAAUUUUGUUGAUCACUUCCUCAAUCAAGGAGCACCAGCUGAACACAAAUCAGCUGAGACACCAAUUAGGCAUGAGUCAGUCAUCUCCAUUAUUGUUUUAUUUUUUCUUUCCACCACCCCAUUUUGUUGUGGGGUGUAUGGUGCAAUGAGCUGGUGAUCUAUGCCUGCAUCUUCACAAAAUUUGUUGAAUUUUUCUGAAGUAUAUUCUGUACCAUUAUUCGACCUUAUAACCUUGAUUCUGUAUUCACUUUGAUUUUCAACCAUGGCCUUAUAUCUCAAAAACACAUCAGCAACCUCAGCUUUGUAAGUGAGAAAAUAAAUCCAACAAAAUCUUGUGAAGUCAUCAAUAAAUGCAAUAUAGUACUUACUCCCUUUCAAAGAUGGUGUCUUUUGAGGUCCACUCACAUCUGUGUGAACCAAUUGUAGUUUCUGUGUUGAUUUCCAUGCUGCUUUUUGAGGAAAAGGAAGUCUUGUUUGCUUCCCAUAUUGAUAGGCUGCACAUAUAGGAAGUUCUUCUUCCAAAUCAGGGAGUCCUUCUACAAUCUAAUUCUUCUUCAUGUAGAGCACGGUAUUGUGGUGGAAAUGCCCUAAUCUUUUAUGCCAAAGCAUUGUAUUGUUCUCGUGUUGUGCAGCAGUAAUUUGCUCAUCUUCUAACAUAUUUAAGGCAAAACUUUUGCCUUUCAUUUUUAUGUUGAACACCUCUUUGCCUUCAGCAUCCUUGAUUAUGCAAUUUUUGUCUUCAAAACAAACUUUAAACCCUUUCUCAACAAGCUGUCCAACACUUAGCAAAUUUUGGUCAAUGUCAGGCACAAACAAAACAUCAGAAAUGAGCUUUAAACCUGUUAGGCUUUCAAUAGCUAAUGUUCUUUUACCUUUUACUGGAAUAUACUCACCAUUUCCUAUUCUAACUUUGGAAAUAGUUGUCCUAUCAAUCUCCCUAAAGCGAUCUUGAUCAUGUCAUGUGGUUUGUGCAACCACUGUCCACGAGCCAGCUUUCAGAGGUGCUACCGUUUGCAAAACAUGUUGCUGAAAAUAGUUGUUCCUCCUGGUAUUGUUCAGCUGCUACAUUGGUUUCUCCCUGCUGCUGCUGAGUUCUACAGAUCCUUUCUAUGUGUCCAUGUCUACCACAUUUGUUGCAUUUCACAUCUGGUCUCCACCAACAUUUUUGUUGAGGAUGAUUUGUUUUCUUGCAAUGAGGACAGGGUGGAUAGGUUCCAGUUUUUUUAUUGUUGUUGUUGCUUGGCUUAUUGUUGUUCUUUUUGUUCUUCCUCCUUCUUGUGUUACCUUCAUUGGUCUGUGUCUUUGCUUGAAAAGCUCCUUCUACAGAACUUCCUUGCCUCAUGAGUCUUCUUUGUUCCAAAGCUUGUAAAGCAUUUAGUAGUUCUGCCAAGGUGAUACUUGACAAAUCUUUUGUGUUUUCCAAAGAAGAAAUUGUAGCUUCAUAUUUUUCAGGAAUUGUGACAAAAUUGUUUUGAACAACUCUUUCAUCAGAAAACUCUUUACCUAGCAACCUCACCUUGUUUGCUAUGGUAAGAAGUUGUUCUGCAUAAUCUUUUAUGGUUUGAGACUCUUUCAUCCUCACCAUUUCAAAUUCUCGAAUUAGAUUCAUUACCUGCACAUUUCUGACUCUUUCAUUGCCUUGAUAUUCUUCCCGUAGAUGCUUCCAGAUUUCUGCAACAGAUUCAAGUUGCAUGAUUCUGGUGAGAAUUAAUGGUGAGACUACAGAAAAUAAGCAAGCCUUGGCCUUAGCCUUCCUCGUCUUUUUCUCCUUAUGGUUUUUCAUCUGUGACACAGUUGGAUUGGCUCCAAGUGGAGAAAUUUCAUAAUCUUCCUCUAUUGCUUCCCAGACAUCAAGAGCCUGUAGAUGAACAGUCAUCCUGACAGCCUAAGUUUGGUAAUUUUCUCCAUUGAAGACUAGUGGUGCUGCUGUGAAGCUUGCUUCUUCCAUUUCUGCAAGGUUUUCAGAUUCAGGUUUGGUAUACGGUGUUUAGGCUCACACACCUCACUGGUCCCUCAAGACAAAAAUUGCUCUGAUACCAAACUGUUGGAAGCAGGCGAGGUUAACACACCAAGCAACAGAGAACAGAGAUAUGCUGCUACUGAUCUAUAUUUUUUAUUUGAUCAUAAGGCUGAAUUUAUACAGAUUGUGUAACAUAUAUGACCUCAAAAAAAGCAUCAAAUCAAGCUACUUGUUGAACAAAAAACUACCUCCUACAAAAUAGCAUCAGAAUUUAACUUAAAAGCAAAAACAUAAUAAUAGCAACAGCAAAAACAGAAACAUAAAAAUAGCUUCAACAUUCUAGUAAUCUCAUUGACUUCAAUUGCAUGUGGUUGACGAUUUCAGCCUUUUCCUCAGCAGCUACUAAGGCAUAACUCUCAACAGGGCCUCUUAAUUUCCAUUCUGGCAUCUAUAUGACCUGAUAAAUAGAAAGAAAAAAAAACAGAAGAAAAGCGGCACCUGGGUUCAUAGUAAGCAUCAAGACAGGAUGCUGAAAGAAGGGAGAGAGGAGAUUGCAAGUCCAAUCCUGAUAAAAUAUCAACAAAGAGUAUUAAAUGGGGCCAACAUAAAGACCCAUUAAGGUCAGCAGAUGGCAUGGCAUUUUUCUCCUUAAGUUUUCCAUGAUUAGGCUUGAAGUCAAAAUUUCACAUGUAAAUUUGUAUUUCUACAUUUCCCACUGACGACACCCAACUUCAACUUGAGUUAGAAUAACAUUGUGUGAACUUAUCUGGCCCUCAAAAUUUACUGUGAAGUGCUUUCUGCGUGUGAAGAUUCAGAAAAGCACCAAGGGAACAUGUAUGGUCUGCCUUUUUCUGAUGUUAUGUUUGUCUCUAAUUCUGUUCCAUGUCAUGGUAAAUGUUCACAUUGCUUGUAUGGAACACACCAGGAUCACUUUUUCAGGUUUAGGGGGAUACAAAAGGCUUCAUAUUGGGUUCAAUGCUUUUAAUGUGUUCAUUGGACAAAUCUGAAUUAUCAUACGCAUUUAGAUAAGAACAAUAAUGUGAAACCCUAGUUACACCUCCCCUGCAUAACCCCAACCCUGCUUGCUCUAUUUCAGUUUACUCACAAGUUUUACUGGUUCUUAUAAGUCAAGAAAAGGCAACUGAUGUUGGAUCGACUCUCUUCCAUGUAAAAAAUGCAACUUUUAUACAUAUAAAAGAACUUCUUCCCCUCACCAAUGUGGGAUUUCAUAGAUUUAUUCUGGAAACACAUCAAAGGAACAUCUUUUCUCUUGGGUGACCCUAAGUGGUGAGUCAGAUCAUUUGCAUGCCAUUGAGUUGCACAGUUGGAUAAAUGCACCUGCCUCCUGGGCUCCAGAGUUAAAAGGGUGGAUCCCUGGAUUGCAACCCUCUUGGCAUCUUGGUUUCUAUUCCAACAUCCACAUGACUUGACAAAACAAAAAACAGAAUAAAAUCAGCACUAUAUUCAUGCUAAGCACCAAUACAUGAUGGAAAUCAUUGCUUAAAGAUUUGGGGUCGUUUUAGGUUUUGACUGCCUCCUACCACCUCACCUAAUGACAAGUUUUUAUGCUUACAAAUCAAAUAUCGUUCUUCAUUAUAUUAAAAUCAUUUUAAGAUUUCAGAUCCAUCUGCUAAUUAUGAUUAUGAUAACAUUUAUUCACCUGUGCUUCUCAUUUUCGACACACAAGGCAUCUAGGUUUGCAGGAUUUCCUUAUUAGAUGAGAUAAAUGAGUACGUAUGGUUAUGUAUCCAGCAUUCAUUAACCAUGGUAUGUGACAUUUAGAAUUAAGAUAGCAAGCAAACUUUCCCUGCAGCUAGAGUAAAUUGUGAUUUCUUAGCCUCUAUGAGUGGUUCCCAAAUCAAAUUAACAUAGUGAAAUAUACGUAGUCCAGUGAAAGGAAAUGUAAAUUAUAAACUAACAGCACUACACUACUGGUAACAAUCGAUACUCUCUAUAUAAUGCAAUAAACAAUGUCACAAUUGCCUACAAGCAAGGCACAAACACUAGAACAAGUAAAGCACAAACCUUUCCCAACAGUUCCCAGUGACUGAUGCAUAUCAUACCCUCAACUCACAGAAGGGGAUGAUAUCAGUGCACUGCAGCACUUAUUUUACACAUACUACCACUACUACUACUACUACUACUACUCAUUAGCCAAAGUCACUCAGUUGGGAUGAGUGUGAGGUAGAGGUUUGUGGGGUGCUAUGUGGAAAGGAGUUUGGCUUCUUCUCAGGAGAUGGUAGCUUCUUUGCAGGAGUUGAAGGAGGCUUAAUCUUCUGUGGUGGAUUGAUUGUAUGAGUCUUUGGCACUCUCUUCUCUAGUACAGGUGAAUACCCAGGGGUGCAUCCAUAAUGCGGUGGCUUCUAUCCCUUAGGUGGUUUGCCAAAUUCAAAAUCGAAGGAUUUUUUUUUUUUAAGUAUACGUAUCUUUGAAAGCUUUUAUUUUGUAUGGCAAAUGGAAUGAGAGGAGCAGUCAUAUUCUAUUUGGCCAGAGCAACAUAUCACAAAUGAACAAGCUAUUUACUGCCACACUGGGCAAAACAUACAUAAUCCUUGUACUUCAAACAUCCAUGAAUUCUCAUCAUUUUCAGGACACGUUGCAUGGUCUAUCAUUCUAUAUGUCGGCAUAGUAAGUGCAGCUAAUAAGCCUAUUCAGAGCUGAAAUUCAAAAUCUAUUCACAGGAUAAUGACCUUAUUAUUGGAUUUUGCUCACUGUCAUACACACAUAUCAGAUAAAGCCCCACAUGCUCAUAAGCUACAAGCAACCUACAAGCACUAAAAUGAGUGUUAGACGUAUGAAACAUUCCCCAAUACUAGUAGUAUUACCUGUUCCAUAGAACACUAAAUUAGAAGAGAGAAGAUGUGAGACUCCAGCUUUUCUUUCUACAUAUUACUCAUAUCAAGUUGGAAUAGUUAGGCGGUAGAGGCUUGGGGUGGCUUGUGUAGGGGACUAGGCAGCUUCUCUCAGGAGUUGAUUUCGUCUUAUUCUGGAUGUCCAGGUUUCGUCCUUUCGAAUUUCCCAUGCAAAUCAGCAUUCUCCUUGGGAAACUUCACUCCGUUGGGAAACUUGUGUGAAUCUUUGGCAUUCUCUACCAGAGAAGGCCCAGGGCAGUGACCAUAAGGUGGUGGCCUUUUUUCAGGUGGUGGCUCCUCUCCCACUGGAGGCUUGUGGUAAUCAGCAAGAGAGGCAGUGGAGAGAAUCAUCACCCCAAGGAACAGCACUAGCAAGUAUUUGUGAGCCAUAUUUGGGAUCUGAUGAUGAAGACUAGAAGAUAGGAGUUGCCUCAUAUAAUGGGUUGGAGACUAUAUCUCAAGGGGACGUGUAUUUAUGCAUAUGAUCUAUAUAGGACCAUCCUCCUAAUAUUUUCAAAAUAAUGUUAUUGUCUCUCUUGGGUGACAGUUUGAUUUGGUCUAUUUCCAUGCCACUGAGUAGAAAAGUUUGACAAUUGGCUACACCACCUACCUGGAUUACAUGGUUGAAAGUGAAGAUCAGUACAGUGUGAUCACACUUGACCUCUUGUUCCCCAUUCCAGUAUCUAAUUAACCUGACAAAAGUAAAAGGAAAGGAAAAAGGGAAAAAAUAGAAUAAUGUUCAAAUAAAAACGAGAAAAAAUAGCAUAAUGUUGAUGAAUCAUGAUAAGCAUCAAGGCAUGAUAGUGAGAGAGAGGAAAGAAGACAGUGUAAUUUGCAAUCCUGAUAAUCAUUAUAUAGCAGUAACUUUAAUCAUUUUUCUAUCACAGGGAACAUGACACUCAUCUUCCUAUGGAGAUAUUGCAUAAGUUUUUUUCUUUGUAUGUCAACACUAACCAAUGAAGCAUGUUAGCUGGUUUGAAACUGAAACUGUAGCCCUCUGUUUGGUUCUUGAAAAACUUGAGAGAAAAUGGAAGUAAAGUUAAAAGGAAAGAAAAAGUGAAAAAAAAUAAAAAUAGAUUGAAAGUUAACAAAUUAUUUUUACAUGUUCCCUCAAAUUUCUUUCACUUAUUUUUCCUUUUCUAUAUAAAGAUUAAAUGAUUUAAAAAUCAUAAAUUUCUAACUAAUUAUAACUAUAUUUGAUUUUCUUUCAUAUUUUCCAAGAUAAAGUCAGACAUGAGAAAAUCAUUUUCCUUAAAAAAGAAAUUCUUUCCUUUACAGUUUCUUAGAACCAAACCUGGCACAAAAGUCCAAAUUGGGGUUUCUCCAUGUUCCAUUUUUUAUGGCUACCUUUAUGGACCAUAUAAUAUAGAAUGUACUUCUGCAUACCUUCAAGAUCAAGCUGAACUAUAAGAAAAAGACAAGCCAUGGCCCACGGAGCAGGGAUACCAAGCUGCCUUCUCCUAGAUUAAGUUCCAAGAUUUCAGUCUUCAAACCUGCUAAAAGCUAAAGGCAUGUUUCCAGCCUGCGGCAGAUAACAUGCACUGUCCAACAAUAAAUUGCAAACACAUUCGAUGCAGUUUAUUAGUACAAUAAGAUUAAAUCCACCAAAUCUUUUACAGUUCAACCAACACUUGAACUAGUAGCUAGCUUCACUACUGGGUAAUAAUAUAUAAACCAAACUCUUGAUAGGAACCAACCUAUCGCAGAUCGAACUUCUUACAUCCACCAUGAAUUACUGAACCAAAAGAAGAAUCGAAGAGACUGCCAAGGAGGAAAGCCUUCCUAUAACUAGAUAUUUAUAUUCCAAAUUAGGGAGAGCACCCACUGCCCAGGCCUCGCCCAGCAUAAACAGAUAGUAUACAUAUACAUGCAAAAAGCUCCAACCUUCAAGAUUUUAACUAUUAACUUAACACAAUUAAAAAUGUAUCCAAAAAGCAAAUCCCCUUGAACUCCUGAAGCAAUUACUCCAACCAAAUAAAGAUUUUAAGAGUUCCAUGUUCAUAUCCUGCAAGGAAAUCAUUCAAUGUUCAGACCUCUAAUUUCUGUCUUUCUAAAUGCCCAGCCAAAAGGCAUAAAGUAUCAUCCAAAUUGGAUGCACAGCAUAUGUUCUUAAAUCAUGGGAUUUCACCAUAAGUUACUACACUCUAACAGGGCCCAGAAAUUGACCUCCAGAUAUGCCUAUCAAAAAAUUAUCCCCACAUACAUUUUUCUGCUGAAAAGACAAUAUUGUUACAUUUGACAUUCAACCACUACUUGAACUCAACAACCAGGGAAAAGAAUAUAGUAUUUCUACCAAUGAGGAUGAGAGGGGCUGGUGAAUUAACAGGUAAAAGUUUGUUUUGGGUUCAUUGUUUGCAUAAUAAUGUAAAAAUGGAGUAGUAUAUUAUAAAUUAAUGUAAAAAUGGAUUAGCAUAACAUAAAUUGCCAUAAGAGAACCACAAACUACAAAGAAACUUAUUUUCCAAACAAGGAAAAUUAUUCAUAGCCAUUAUUACAUAAGAAAGGAAAUUGAUAAAAUUAUUAUCCAGUUCCCCAUCAGGAAAUAUGAAAGUACUCCUAAAAGCCUCAAUUCUAACCAGAAAACCAUAGAAAUGUAUUAGAAAUAUUGUACAGGGUUCUCUCCAAUAUUAGCUUCAGUUGCUAAGGAGAUCAGAACCUUGAAAGUAAGUCACAAAGGUCGUGUGGGUUUCCCAGAGUCUUCAACAACCAGUAUUCACAUAUGUACACAUUAAAAUUAAAUAAAGCAGGUAUCAAUUCCACAGGCUUUAAGAUUUGAAUUGCUUCUCCCUGGAAUCAUACACCACUCAUAUUGUCACUGACUUUCAAUUACUUCUCCCUGCGAUCAUAUGCCACUCAUAUUGUCACUGCCUUAGGGAACAAAGUGAAAAUCUGCAAUUUCAAUUAAUUCCAACAUAAAAAUAAAAAUCAAUCCUCAAAAAAUGGAUUGCCAGGAGGUAAAUAUAAUAGAAGACGAACAACUCUCACAACCAAGUUAAAGAAACCAGCCGCUAGGUACCUUUGAGUUCUAUACUACCAGGAACAAAUUGGAUGAGAUUAUUUAAAGGCUAUUCCACAGUGGAAAUUCAUUCGUUCAAAAAACAUUUGUCAUGCAUAUAGGCAAUCUAUCCUAUGCAUUCAUACAUCAUGGUCUCAUGCAAUCUUAAUAAAAGUGGUCCUGGAAAAAGAGAGAAAAAAGUAAUUACAAGCCUGUGCGACCAGAUUUCUUUUGUUUUUUUUUUUUUUUUCCUUUGCCAAACAACCAUGUUCAUAGUUUCAGAAGUUCAUUCUGUCUUUAAGAGACCAUGGCAGUGACUUGGCCAUUCAGCUAAGANNNNNNNNNNNNNNNNNNNNNNNNNNNNNNNNNNNNNNNNNNNNNNNNNNNNNNNNNNNNNNNNNNNNNNNNNNNNNNNNNNNNNNNNNNNNNNNNNNNNUCACCAAGGACUCCUCAACCUCAAAAUAAUAGAGAAAGUCUAGGACACCAUGUCACUACUGAGGACAACCCAACACCACAACAUUUCAGUCCGUUCAAAAAGAGUAAUUGGAAUUGUUGCAAAAAAUGUUCAACUAGUCCCAACAGGAGGCAAAUUCCUCCAUUUCUUCAUCGGGUCCGGAUCCUUUGCUCAAAAAGGUAAUUUUCUUACUGCCCUAAAAGAAAAAGGGAAAAUGUGAGUCAUUGGAUUGUUGACUCAGGAGCUUUUGAUCACAUGACUAGAGUGCCACAAUUUUUCAAAAUUAUACACCUUGUUUUGGGGAUGAUACAAUUCGUAUGGCUGAUGGUUCUCUCUCAAAGGUGACUGGUACAAGUUUUAUUGUCAUCUCUAAGGACCUAACUCUUGACUCUAUUCUUUUGGUUCCAAACUUGGAUUGCAAUCUAUUGUCCAUUAGUAAACUCACUUAUGAAAAGAACUAUGUUACUAAAUUUUUCCCAAACCAUUGUGUUUUUUAGAAUUUGAAUUCGGGGAAGACGAUUGGCAAUGUUGAAGUGUGUUUAGGACUCUAUGCCUUCAAAGUGAAUUAUUAUAUUGAAAGACAAUCUUAACCAACAGUUGGUGAAAAAUGGUGUCUUUUUGUCUUUAGUUCUAAUAAAGAUAGUGAUGUUAUGUUAUAGCACUAUUGUCUAGGACAUCCUAGUUUCUUAUAUCUCAAAAAACUCUUUCCAUGGUUUUCAGUGUGAAAUUUGUCAACUAUCCAAGCAUCUUUGCAAGCCCUAUCCAUAGUUUUAAAAGACUUAAGGCACACCAAGACGCAAAGUCCUCUUGGAGCCUUAGGCGCAAGGCACACCUAAGGCGCGAACUUUAGUAAAGUGAGGUGCAUCCUGUUUUACAUAUAUAUUUUUAUAUAAUACAAUCAAGUGCCCGAAAAUUUUCCUCUAAUUUUCCCCUUCUUCUUCAUCCUCUUCUCUUCUUCACAUUGUUCGGGAGGCUAGGACAUUUUUUUUUUUUUACAUGUCUAAAACAAGCAUAUAUUGGGUUUUGGAAGAAGAACAAGCCAAAAUGACAUCGUUUUGGAGCCUAAUCUUUUAAAUAAAUAAAUAAAUAAAUAAAAACCAGCCAAAAAUGACACCGUUUUGGCCCCUGUUCUUUUAAAAGAACAAACCAAACAACGUCAUUUUGAUCUCAGGAAAUUAAAAAAACAAAACCCUCGUCAUUCUCCCUUUGCUACUCUACAACUCAUCGUCAAAGGGUAAAAAGAUGACCAAAAGAAGAAGAAGAAAAAAAAAAAACGACGACAGAGGAUAGAGGUGCACCUGUUGAGGGCGUUGCGCCUAGCCAAGAGGCGAGCGCCUUGCACACUUAAUCAACGCCUCUGUGAAGGGGCGGCUCCUGCAAUCAGGCGAAGCGCUGAAGGGUGAUGUCACAUCGUCUAGAGCCUAGGCGCACCUUUCACAACUAUGACCCUAUCCAACUCAACCAUACAAACCAUCUCAUCUUUUUUCCAUACAUAGUGAUGUUUGGAGGUCAUCUAAAAUAAAGAACAUAACAGGGACUAGAUGGUUGAUGAUCAUACUAGAAUUUCUUAGAUAUUUCUAAUGAAAAAAAAAUCAAAAAUUAGUCAAAUUUUCUAAAAGUGGACCAGAAUUUCUUUAUUGAAUUAAAAAGUUGAAAUUAAUAUUUUGGAAAAGUUAGGGCCGCUCAAGAGGUAGAAAUAGCGCUCGAGUGGUAGAAAUAGCGCUCGAGUGGUAGAAAUAGCCCUCAAGUGGUAGAAAUAGCGCUCAAGCGCUAGGACCGCUCAAGCACUUAACUAGCGCUUGAGCGCUCAUAUAGAAUCUGCCAGAAUAUGGAAGAAUAUUUUUUGGAUAAUCAUGAAAAUUGGAUUUGGAAACUUUAGAAUAUCAAUCUCCUUCGGCCUAGAGGUUUAUAUAAACCCUAUUAUAACCCUUUAGGGUUAAGAAAUUCACCAAGUGGUUUACCCUAACUUGUCAUACCAUUCCCGAUCUCUCAUCAAGGAAUCAAAGUGUUUAAUCUUGGGUUGUUUGAAGACCUGCAUCCCUUCAACAAGGCUAAGGUGUAUUCACUAGAACAAUUGAAAUUGUUGCAUUGCGGACAUGAAUCAAGUUGCAGGUUCUAGAGAGUAAGUCUUUAGAAUAAAGCAGACAAAGAGUUCUAUGUGACUUUAUCUCAUAUAGUGGAUUUAGCUUUGAGGUCUUAGACCUCGUGGGUUUUUAUCUCCAUAGUUAGUGUGGGGGUUUUCCACAUAAAAAUUAUUGUGUCUCUUGAUCUUAUGUUUGAUUUUAGAUAUUCUAUUUAUCCCUGAUAUCUCACAGGUUAACUUUAGGUUAAAAAUUCAACUCCCUAUUUAAUAAUUUUUAAAAUACACCCAUUCACGAGUGUUAUCCUACUGGACAUUGGUUUUUCACCAUAUAUAACACUCAUACCAAAACCCAUGCAACAUGGACUCCAACCUUAAGCUUAACUUUCUACGAAUGGAAAAAAAAAAAGACAUAACAUAAAUAGACAGAUUUAACAACAUGCUCCUAAUCAAGGUGAAUGUCCCUCUUUUUGAAAGAUAUGACCUUUUCCAUACGAGGAGCUUUCUUUAAAAUUUCACCUCUACCAAUUCCCAUGCCUUUACAAAGUUGUGGAAAGCUCCAAAGAGAAGGCCCAGACAUGUAAUGGGUAGAUUCCCUACCUUAGAACCUUACACCAAAGCUAAACCCCUAAUAUUUGUGACUUCUAUAAGAAUCAAUUCAUUUUUUUCCAUAUUUAUUUCUAAAUCAGACAUUGCCUCAAACCACAUGAAGUUAUAACUUGGAUGUUACAGAUGCUCUUAAUUAGUGUCACAAAAAAAUAGGGUAUCAUCAUCAAACAAGAAAUGUGACACUUCCAUCCCCUCCUCCUGUCUUCCUCCCACUUUGAAACUUGAGAUGUAACCCCUUUUAUCUAAUUCUCCUCAAAAUUCAAUUGAAAGCCUUCAUUGCCAAUAUGAAAAUGUAAGGGGAGAGAGGAUCUUUCUACCUCAAAUCCCUUGAGCUCUCAAAGAAACUGAAUAGGACACUAUUUACUAGAAUAGAGAAUUGAGUAGUGGAAAUGAACCAUUUGAUCCACCUCACCCACUUAUGAUCAAAGUCCAUUUUAUCCAACAUCAUUAACAAAAAGUUCCAAUUUACAUGGCCAUCGUCCUUUCCAAUGUCUAACUUGCAAAUUACCCCACUAUUGGGACUCUUUAACCUUGAAUCUAGAGCAUCAUUUAUGAUUAGAACUGCAUCUAGAAAUUGUCUGUCUUCCACAAAAGCAUGCAAAUAAACUAAAACUAUUUUACCCACCACAUUUUUUAGUCUUUUAGCCAAGACUUUUUCCAAUAGCUUGUACAAAAAAACCCCCAACUAAGCUAAUCAAUGUAAAAAAUUUUAGGUUCUCUGCUGCACCUAUAUUAGGGAUCAAGACCAAGAACAUGACAUUUAAAUUUUGCUCAAAGGAACAAUUAUCAAAAAACUCCCCAAGCUCAUUUGCCAAAAUAUUAUAAUAAAUCCAUUUGGCCCCUACAGCUUUAUCCCCACUCAAGCUAGACAAGGCAACAAGAAAUUCCUCAUCAAAGAAAGGUAACUCCAAUUUCCUAGAAUCAGCACAUAGCAUAACUUCAAAGGUCAUCCCAUUAAUGUUGAGUCUCCACUCGCCCAUAUCAGAUAGGAGAUUUUGGAAGGCCCUAAACUCCCCUUCCUUUAUAUUUGCUUCCCAAGCAACCAUUUUGCAUUCACUCAAAUUUUAAACAUGAAGUUUUUUAUUCUUUGGGCAUUGACCAUUUCAUGGAAAAUUUUGGUGUUUUUAUCCACCCCCUCUUUUAACCAAAUUUCUCUUUAUUUUUGCCCCCAUACAUAUAGAUUCUUCUAACAAGGCCCACUUGCUAAACUCAAUCACCACUAACCUUUGGCCUCAACGAUUUCAAGAGAUAAGGUAACUGCUCUCUACUUUGAGUCCCAGAAGUUGAUCCAGUUUAGCACCUCUAGGUUUUUUGUUGAGACAUUCCCAAAACCUUCUUCAUUCCAAGAUUUUAAAUCUCGUUUGACAGCCUUUAGUUUAACUUCCAAAAUAUGACCAUACAAGCCAUCCACAUUAUAACCAUCAACCAACUCCUCACAAAAUCUUUUAAGCCUUUUGUUUUAGGCUACAUAUUUUAAAAUGUAAACUGUGUUUUCCCACUCCUUAUCCUACCUCCAUCUAAAACUAUGGGGUAAUGACCAAAAAUUGGUUUAGGUAAAAUACUCUAGAUUAAAGUAGAAAAACGAUUCUACCAAUCAUCUGACACUAGGAAAUGGCCAAGCUAGCCUUGAAGAAGACAAAAGAUUAUGAACACCACUCCAAGUGAAUAGCCCUCCAACUAGCGAAAGAUCCCAAGGUCAAGUCCUCUAUGUCCUCUGAAAAGAACCUCAUAUCAAACAACAUUCUAAGGCAAUUCCUCCUUUUCAUGGGGAACUUGACCAUAUUAAAAUCCCCUCUGAAGCACUAGAGGUCAUCCCAAAGGCCUCUUAUGGCACCCAACUCUACCCAGAAAUCCACUCUUUCUCCCCUUUAAACCAACCCAUAAACUCUUACGUAUACCUAGACAAAGCUAUCUUCACAAUUCAUAGACAAGCAAUAGAGAAUGCUUCCACCUCCUUACCAAUUAACUCUAAUACCCUACUAUCUUGGAAAACCAAAAUGCCUACUAUCAAGCUUCUAACUUCCAAUACCAUUUCAAAAAUUUUCCUACUCCUAAACUCCUUACCAGUUGAACGAACAUCUAUCGAACCUUGGUUUCUUGUUAACAAACUAGAUCAACCCCUUGAGACCUUAUCAAUGACUUUAUUAUCAUAUACUUUUCCUCAUCAUUUGCUCAUUUGACAUUCCAAGACAGGAUUUUUAGCUUCAUCAUGCAACCUAUGUUGGAUCCUAACUGCUACUCUUGGAGCCCUUUUCCUUUUUGUUGAGCUUUUAUAAUUGACUAAGCAUCCCAACUUGUUGAGGUCCCUCUCAAACCAAGAUAUCGAGGUUAACUUCCUCUUCACCUCCAACGAAAAAACAGAAACCCCUCUCCUUAGCCUGCCACACAAGGGAAAAGAUCUCUUUUUCAAAUCCAUCAACUGGCAUUCUUGAGAAACUAUUGAAAUUUGCCAACUUACAAGAUAUACAAUUGGAGGAGUGCUUCUCUACCAAACAACUACUAAAAUUCACCUCAAAGGUGACCUUUUCCCCUGAUCUCUCCCCGGCCUCCAUACCCACUGACCCUUUCACAAAAUUUUCUAGAAUUUCCACUAUCAAGCCGUUACGGAGAACCAUCCUCAACAAACUCCUUUGACUAAUGUGAAAAACCCCACCCAAGAGCAUCUUCCAGAAGUUAACUUACAAGAUUAACUAUAAUCUUGUGAAGACUCGUUACCUAAUGGGUAAAAAAUUUGAAAUUCUAUUAGUAUAAUUCUUUUUAGGCACAAAAGCUGUGAAAAUAGCAUUGGUGCUCUAAUUAAUAACCCCAUAAUUAUUAAGCAAUAAAACAACUUUUAAUAAAUUCUCUUUCACCACAUCCCACCAAUCCUAAUGCAAAAAAGCUAGGAAAAAGUCAUCAUUGCUCUAAGCAUUUCUCCUCACUAGUUGAAAGACUGCUUUAUGAACUUCCUCUUCGACAAAAGGACAAUCCAACCAAUUAGCACCAUUUUCCAAAAUGAGAGACCAACCCCCACUCUUCUAUCCUCUAAGGAUCUUCAUAUAACCAUUAAUGCCUUUCUAUACCAGCUAGUAUAUAUCGGGUUUUGGGCAAGUCCUAUAAAUUGGUUUGAGUAAGAUUUUUAAUUACCCUGUUCUUUCUUUUUAGUUGAUAAAUAUGCAUAUAUGUAGUAAUUCAUACAUCAGAAAAGAUUUUGCUAAAACAAAAGAAUUGACAUGCAGAUAGUGACUUCUUGAUAAGAGUAAUAGCUUAAGGGAGGAAAAUGAACUCCUCCAGUGGCCCCAAAGUGGUAAGUUCCUUCAGAUCCCAUGUUGCUAUUCUGCAUUUCUUUGUGUUUUGGCAUCAGCCCUCUUAAUUAAUUCACUAUCCAGCUUCUCAAAUUCCUCGGAUUCUUCCCUUGUUCUUGUGGAAACAUCUGCAUCUUGUCCUUGCAUUGUUAUGGAUUGGUGAUUAUCAUUCUUUGAGAACUGUGUGGCAGCUGCUCGUGCACCAGCUAUGGCUGCAAGGAGACCUUCUGGUUUCUUGUCUUCAGCAGCUUUGGAGCCAUCAAAGCAAGAAACAAGUAAUCCUGGUUUCAAAGAGAGGGGAUCUUGUGGUUCUGGAAGCAGAAACUUGACAGGUAGUGGAGCUUGAACAGGACGAAGACCCCUAACUGCUGCCUCAUAUAUCUGCAACAAUUUCAGGGGGGAUAAGUAAUUAAAAAUCAGUCACUCUAUUGCAUUAGUUAGACUUGCUUUCAAUGCGAUAGCAAAGAAAGAAUCAUCAAUGAAAAAAGAAAAAAUAAAUGAAAAAGAACAAAAAGGAGAGGGAAAAAAAAAUGAUGGGUGCUCAAUUUGUACUUUUCUUUCCAGGUUAUAAAUACGUUGGUACCCGCGCAUCUCAAAUGGUAUGAUUAAUUUCUGCAUCAGGUCAGGAGAACUAAGUCCAUCAAUAUACUAAAAAGCAAAUAUACCAAAAGGCAAGCAAAAAUGUUUAACCAUCUUGAGUGUCAAACUCUCCAAGAAACUAUAUACUUUUAGCUGAAUGAAAACACAUGCCUGUGGUUGCUCACAGAGCCAGCAAAACUCUGUUUGCGCUUCUAGCCUUACCUACAAAUAGAGUUUAGGUUAUCCAACCAAAAUGGAGAUACAUCACACAAAACAAACUGUACCUAAUCAGUUUACGAAGGGGACGGGGGGAAGCAAAAAGCAAAAGUAAAUUUCUAAGAUGCCCACCCCUUCAGGUACCUCCUUCCAGCACGCCAGCUCUUCACAUUUAACACAACCAACUACUUCAAUACAACCUGUGGCAAGAAUAGAGUUUGUUGGAUUUAUUGUAGCAUGCCAUACAGAAAAAUUUAGCAUUUCAGUAAGAAUAAGAAUAAGAGAGCUACUUUCCACUAAAAUACGAAUCACCCAUCAACUGUUGCAAACAGACAACAAUGUGAAUAACAGGUUUUAUAUAUAUAUAUAUAGAGAGAGAGAGAGAGAGAGAGAGAGAGAGAGAUAGAUAGAUAUAGAGAGAGAGAGAGAGUCAAAUAAUAAUAAAGGACAAAAAUAUUUCUUUGAGAAAGACUAAUUAGAAAGAAGAAACAAAGAACCCACAUGAAAUCAAUUUAGAUAAGAGAAAUACCUUUAAGAAUCUAGUUCUUUUUGCAAAUUGCAACUUAGAAUUGGAAUGCCACAUAUUAUUAUAAGGUAUCACAAGAGAUUAUUGCUUCAUUUUUUUUCUUUGCCAGAUCAGUUUUAAUAAAUAUAAAUAUAAAAAUAUAAGCAUGUACACACACACACGCAAACACAUUAUGUGUGUAUGUUUAUGGAUAUGUAGAUAUAGGUUUUUAAUAAUAGAGCAUGAAAACAUAUCUAGUCAGAAAUUCCAAAAAUCCAAAACCAUUAGCAACACCUAACAGUCUUGAAACUGGGUAAUGUUCUGGAAACUUGAGGUCUGCUAUCCCAUUCACAGCAUAGAUCUCCCUGUAGAAAUUCUCCAUUGCUUUGAUUGUGUCUGAAUCUGGGACCUUACUAGCAGCAUGAAUCCAGAGUCGGCCUUCAUAAAACAAAACAUGUAUAUUAAGAAAUAUCCUUGUAGAACAGUAACAUUUUUGCCAGCAUGCAAUUCGUGUUAAUAAUCCUUGGUUCUCACCACUCAUUGUACAUUACAAUGUAAAGACCUAAUAAGCCCUAAUAUAGGUAGGUGUCUGUGCAGAGAGAGAGAGAGAGAGAGGGGAGGGGGGUGAAAGGAAAGAUGAUUAUAGAACAAAUACAAGUUGAAUCUCCUGAAAUAAUGUCCAUCAAGUUAUUUCCUAGCAACAAGUACUGAUUAUGCUUUUCCUGAUAACAUGAUUUUCUUUGCUAACAACCAUACUAUAUUUUAUCAAGAAAGAGUAGUGCAUGUGGCGUGCAUCAAGACCCAUUAGAGUUCCGCUAAACCUAUAGUUCUGUCAACGUUAUCAUUUACGUUUCCUCUAGAUAAUGGCAUUUUCCUCUAAAACUCUUGCACCAUUAGGCUUCAAGUCAAAAUUUCACAUGUGAACUUUGGAAAUUUUCUCCAUUUGCCCCUAAGGAUACAGUUAGAAUUGACUUAAAAUCCUGAUUGAUGUAUACUUUUAACCGAAGAAUAUUGUAUAUAAUAAUUGAAAUAUUGUUGAUUCAUCGUGGAAAUACAUUUUGUAAGGAAAGUUGUUAAGAAUUUAGUAUGCUAUAUGGAGAAAAAAGUCAUGACUUAAGGUUGAGUAUGUAUAUUCUAUAUCAAAUAUUAGGUAGGAAUGUGGAAAAGAGCAGAGUGUAAUUAUAAGAAACAAAGAAAUAUAAGAUAUUCUUGAAAGUGGAAAAUGUAAAAUGGCUAAAAGUCAAAUUUAUGAUGCAUAAGGGGGAUCAUGUCACAUAAGAAACUCAUGGCAUACCAAAUACGUGUGGUAUGGAGUAACAAUUUUGUUAAAAUAAGUUUCUCGUUGGAGUACAUUAGGUGACAAUUUUUUAAUAUCAAAUUAAAGAGUCAAGUGCAUCAAUGAAGUCAUAUGUAGAAAAUUUGUUUGUGACAUGUACCAUAAAGAUAAGAUUGACUUGAUAUAAUUUAGUCCAGGUAGGAGUUGUUAAAGGUGUCUCAAAUUUCUAAUUGAUAUAUAUUUUUUUCUAAAAAAAUAUUAUAUAGAUAUUUCAAUAAAUGAUUAAUUCUUUGUAAAAAUACUUACAUAAUAAAAAACAUCAUUAGAAAUAUCUCUAUAAAUAUUUUAAAUCACAAAAAGAAAAAAAAAAUCACUAUGAGAUAAUUAUAAACAUGCAACAUUGUACCAAGUAAACAGAAAUGUGAUAAAAAAAUUUUGAGAAACACUAAAUAAAGGAAGGGCUUGUAUAUCAAGAUGUAAAUAUAGAGAGCAAUAUUUUUAAUCAUAUGAUAGAAUUAUUUUCUCUCAUUCAUGAUUAUAAGCAAAAUUGGGAACCAUUAUAAAAUCUUGUACACCUCGUGUAAAUUGAUGUUUGUCUUCAUAUUUUACACCAACAAAUGACAUUGAAGUUGUCAUUGAUAAAAGGGAAAAGGCAUGGCCUCCACACCAUGUGCUUGAAUCGUAUGGUUCAAGUUUAAAGAAUUUUCUCCAUAAUUUGAAGAUCUAAAACAUUUUCACCUUUAAAUUUCAUUUAAUUAUUAAUAUCUACAAAAAAUAGUUAAAUACUCUUUCUAUUUUUGAGUUGUUGAAUUUUUUGAAAGUUUUUAUAUUUGUUAUCAAGAAUUUAUAUUUUAUUAAGUGUGAAUAUUUAUAAAUAAGAUAUUAUAUAAUAUUUGGAUAAGAGAGAAUGGUGGAAUAUAAUAAAGUUUUAAUCCUUCCCAAUUUUUAUCUUUUUUUUUUUUUUUUUUUAUAAUCGCCUUUCUCUUUCAAUCCUAUUAUCAGGUACCUUAUAUUUGCUGAUGCUAUCUGGAACUAAAUUCCAAUCAGACAUUGUCCAAUUACUAAUAGGACAGAUCAUGUCUCUCUGUUUCUAAACUAACAUGUAUCGUAAUGUGGCCUCAUAAGGAAGGCUAGGAAGAUGGAGGAUUUUGUGGGAAGCGACCAGAAUCAGAUGGAAGAGAGAUAGCCCUGUUGACCUAAUGGCUGUAAUAGGAGAAGCGUGUGGAUUUAUGGGACUUAACUGAUACUAAACCUAUAUGAUGCUUGGAGUGGUGUUUCUUUCAUUUUGUUAAGAAAAUAUGGCAGCAUACAUCCUUUCAAUUGAGUGCAUCAGAGCAUCCAUAAUAGAUGGUCUGCAACCCUAGGUGCAUGCCACUUUCUGACUGAUAAUGAAACUGUCAGGUACUUGGCCUUGACUAAGCUCAACAGCAUCACAUAAAAAGAAGCUUUCAUACUUAGAUUACUGUUUAAAGCUUUUGCUUAUUUGCUUUCUUAAUGCCAUUAUGACAUUAUUGUUUCAAUUCUGCUACCGAUUUUCGAAGUUCUGGGCAUCUACUGAUUGCAUCAUUAUAUGAGAAGUUGCAUGAGUUUAUGUAUCCUGUUAUUGCUCCUUUGCGAUUUCACUGCUCACGGGACUAACCUCUCCAUUCAGUCGAAAUGAAUUGUAAUUUCUUUACUGGUAGCAGUAGUACUUUUCAUAGCAAAGAUAAUAGUAAAUAUGAAAUAUAAAUAGAAGGAAAUCUGAAUUGUAGAUGGCACUAUAAGUAACACUCAAUAUUCACUACAUAAUAAAAUAGACAGUGUUACAAAGGUAGAGAAACCUACAAUGAGUACUCAUCACCAUUCUCAAACAGAAACAUAGCAGCGACUUAUACAUAGAACCUAUAGGCUUGCAGGGAAAGAAGGGAAAGAGUAACAUGAUAAGUUCACAGCGGGUAGCAGCUCUUAUUUUACGUAUUACUCAAAAUCUCAAACUAACCAAAGUCACUCAGUUGGGAUGGGUAGGAGAUGGUGGUUUGUGGGGUGGCUUCUGGGUAGGAGCUGGUGGCUUCUUUGUUGGAGUUGAAGGAGGCGUAAUCUUCUGAGGUGGCUUGUAUGAGUCUUCGGCACUCUCUGCAGGAGGGUGCCCAGGGUUGUGACCGGAAGGAGGUGGCUUCUGUCCCUUUGGUGGUUUGCCUAAUGGGCUUGGUGGCUUGUGCUCCGGGAGUUGUUUCUCUCCCUCGAGUAGGUUUCGAGUUUUGUCAGAUGGCUUGUGUUCUGGUGGUGGCUUCUCUCCCUGGGGUGGUUUGCCGAAUGGGCUUGGUGGCUUGUGUUCGGGGAGUGGCUUCUCUCCCUGGAGAAGGUUACGAGUUUUGUCAGAUGGCUUUUGUUCUGGUGGUGGCUUCUCUCCCUGGGGUGGUUUGCCAAAUGGG